rnacentral:lncRNA from 1 species
CUCUCUCCUCUUAUUCAGUACCUUGAGAGCAAUGGCAGUCUCACGCUCCGCAGCUUCGGUUGUACCAUUGUUGGUCGUGGUGGCCAUGGUCUUCUCGCUAGUCGGAGCCUCGUUCGCCGCCGAGGCUCCUGCACCGGCUCCCGCUUCUUCCGCCGUGUCAGUUUCGCCGUCAUUGGUGGCCGGAUUCGCCGUUGCCUUCGCUUCUUUCAUCUUCGGAUCUGGAUUCAGAGUUUGAAGUAGUACAGUUAUUUAUAUUAUUUGCAGGAGAUAUUUGAUUUUGGGGAGGUUUUGUACAUGUGUUUAUUACUACUUAGCUAUGAUGUUAGUGUAGUAACCGCUGCUGCAGUUUGUUUUUCCUUUUUCAUUUUUUUUUUAUUAUUUUGUGAGUUUCUCGAGGGGUUUGUUUCUAGCAUGUUAUUGCAGAGUUGCAGUUUAUUUUAAAUUUCUCUUCACUAAUAUUUCGUUAAAAUAUCUUUUAUUGAUUUACAAUCUUAAUUGUCUCAUUGCACCGUUAUUAUUUUUUAAUUUUGUGGGGUAAUUAAAAACACGGGGAAAAAAUCCCUAUUAUUCUACAAUUUUUUUUGUUUUUACCCUUGGUAACUAAUGAAUACUAGUACUAUUAGACAAUUUUAUGUGUACCAAUAAUUACAAGUAGGCCUAAAAACAAUAGCAGACAGGAGUGAAGCAUUAUGUGACUUAAUUGAGUCUAGCAUUUAGUUGAAACUCGAGUCUAACAACACACAGAUUAAGACUCCUAUUUUAGCGAAGAAAAAUGCUUGAUUAAACUAGAAAUUCGAAUGAGAAAAAGUAUUCAAUCAAGAUGCUUGAUCAAUAAAUGGGGCUAAUACAUAAUUUCCAAUUUGUGUCAGGAGCGGAAUUUAUAUAUAAGCCACUAAAUCCAGCGUUGUUCUAUUUCGCUUCUCAACCAUCACAAUGGUCCUAUCCUCCAUCGAGCAAGCUAAACCAAAUUAUGGCAACUGAGCUAGGGGUGUACUCAAUUCGGACUCACGAGUAACUCCAACUUCAAUACAGUGUUCAUCUAGUUGGAAUCGAAUUCGACCUACUUGAUAAGAAAAUCUAGUCUACUUUGAGAGUAUUCGUCGUCAAUCUUAUCAAGUAAGAUAUUUAUAAUUAAUUUUUAAUUAUUUCUUAUAAAAUUAUGAAAUUCACGAAAAAAAACCGAACCUUCCUCUUAAACCUUGAUUAAUGACUCAUCAGAAAAAGAAAAUCCCGAGUUGGAAAAGAAAGGUGAUAGAUACUCAAGACCAACUGAAUUUGCUUUGGAUUCUUCUCCAAGUGUACUUUAUCAAAUACAGGGCACAUUAAUCUUGCCAAAAGUACGCUGGCGUACUCCACUUGACAAAAGCUUAACCUUCUUUACCCAUUGAUUAUCAGCAGCAGAUGAUCACCUUUUAGCACGAAACCUACAAGUCAAUCAAAUCCAAAGGGGGGUUCUACUCGGAAUCGGAAUCCAUGUUUCCCAUAGCCUCAGUCCUCGUGGUCUCUACAAAUGUGAAAUUAAGAGGUCACAGUUGAAAUCUCCGUAAAUGUUCGAUUACAGAACCAACAAAUGUUCAAUCUAAUCAGAAGCGAUACAAAUAUAUAAGAAGCAUACCUUUUUUGACACCUUUUUCUCCCUAACCUCGUACGUUCUAGUGUAAGAUCACAGAGCCAUGCCCCUGGACUUACCAACUGCACCACAAACAAAAUCGCAACUUACAUUUUUUUUUUAAAAUUUUUUCCCAAAAGUGAUAAAAACAAACAAGUCAUAAAAUGCUAAAACCAAUUUCGGAAGAAACAAGAACAUAGCAUACACAACCACAGGGUUUUGUAUUAAAAAAAAUCAAGACAUGAAAAAAAAUCUCAGAUUGAUAUUAAGUACACAUGAAAUAUUAGAAGGACAGACAAGAGCAAUCACCAACCACACUACUUUUAAGUUAGGUAGGAAGUAAGUAAUACAGCAGAUUAGAUUAAUUGCUAACUGCUGCUGCAUAACAGCCUUUGAAUAGUGAAUAAUUAAAUUACUCAAGCACAUAAACCAGUUUUGGACUGCAAAAAGCACUUCUUAAACAUAAUCACGCCCUGUGUUUUUUUAUGCCAUUGUGCUUUGUCCCUUGUGCCUUUGUCAGUUGGUCAGGUGGUCCAAAGAGAUGGAUUCCACCAAAUGUAAUAGUAAGAAUAUGACACUUCUACCAAAAAAAAAGGAAUAUGACACUCAUGGGUAUAAUGUUCUUCCAUUAUCAUCCACAAGCUGAUCAAACCAUUUGGCUAGGAAUUAGAAUCAUAUCGAGCUUGGUCUCCAUGUUCCAAAGAAAUUUGUUUGCCGGAGCUAUGAUCCAAAUUCCAAAGCAAUUAUUGAAUGGAGUAGGCAUCAUUAUACACAGUGCUUUACUUUUCUUCCUUGCAGAGCACAAUUAGACACUGUCCAACUACUAAUAUACAUACACAUACAUACAGAUAUAAAUAUAUAUAUAUACACACACACACACACACAACAAAUAACGUGUAAUAUGUGAUUUAGUGCAAGUGAUACAAUAUCUUUGAUCACUUAGCUAAUCAACUUGUCUAACCAAAUAAUUAAUUGGGUUCUCGUCACUGUCCAAAGGCCUCGUGGCACCUGUAUACUCUUAGUUCAACCAGCUACGUUUUCUAUGGUCAGCAAUUGCUAAAUUAAUCUGCAUCCAUGCUACAUCUGCACGUGUCCUGCAUCAACCAGAUGUCAUCCUCUUGCACGCAUACAUAAGCACUUAGUUCUUUAUGGUUUGUAGCCCUUUGUGAAAAAAGCCAAAAGCCCACCAAGGUCCUAAGUCACGGAGGAGGAGAAGACCUCACCAAAAAGCAUGGUGUUGUUUCCACCAUUGCUUUUGCAAUGCUUUUUGUACCUAAACCAGCAACUAUUAUCUAAAGUGAAACUAACGUACUGAUUCUCUAAAGACCUUCUUCUUCGCAAACAAGCUACCUUUUGUUCAGAGGCAAAAAUUCAGUAAAUGCGUAAUCAACAAGAAAAAUUAAACAACCCAGUUGACUCAAUAAUAAAAAAAAAGUACUAGUAUACUUGAUUUUGCUAGAAAAACUGAAGCAGCAACUCUAUUGCUGUGGCAACAAAUUUUAUACUCUCUAUGGAUAAUUCUAAAAAGGGUAAUGAAGGGAACAACAAGAAGCAGAGAUUACUUGAAAGUUCAAAACAGAGCAGUUGAUCACAAAUUAUAGCAACUUGAUAUAAAACAAAAGAUAAUCAGAGAGUAGAGAACUUACAUUGAGGGUGCGUUGGAUGAACUUAGCUCUUUUCUUGGGUCUUUGAGGGAGUUUGGAACCCUUGAUGGCCAUAAAAUCUUCUUCUUUCUCCUUAUUCGUCAAGGCGAUCACGAACUUAGGCGGCCAAACAGCAGGAUCGCAUCACUCCCGGAUGAAGUCCUCCUCCUUUCUUGCUAUCCGAUGAUGCCGACCCAUUGAUAUUAUUGCUGUUAUCAUUAUUGUUGUUGCUGUUAUCAUUAUUGUUGUUGCUGUUGUUCUUGGUACCAUUGCUGUGGUGAUGAAGGCUGUUGUUGCCCCUUUCCUAUCAUGGCCACCAGCCCCUACCCUGUCCGGGGAAGCCAAACCCCUCACCCCGUUGCUUUGUCCCCUCAUAGCCAGUGAACUAUCGGAAUUCCUAAGAAAAGAAAAGAACCAAAAAAAAAAAACACAAAAACAAUUUGUAAUCAGAAAACACUGAACAUAAAUUUCUAACAUCAUUCCUCCUAGGACUAGCAUGGGCUGUAAAAUAUGCACUACCAAUAACAUUUAGGCCCUUUUACUACAAGGGAAAAGUAAACUACCAAAAUAGCCUUUGUGGGGUAGUCACGAAACGAUAGAUCUCGGGGUUACGUUGAAUUGUACGCUAUGAAAAUUGAAAACAAGAAUCACGCUGGGGAAUUGCGUAGAAAAUGGGCGAAGGGUAUACGGGCGCUGAUUUCUUGAGCCCGGAUAAAAGCUUUAAAAAAAGUGAUCAAAAAAGAAAGAUUAUGUGGGUUGGGUGCGUGUUAUACGCUGGGAAUAUUUUAGGGGAGAAGGGGAAGCUUUUUACGGUUUUUGGUUUCUGGCCGUAGGAUCGAUAUUCCCAUUACAUGUAAGGGAAGGGUUACGUGUCCCAACACCUCUCUAUUGGAUGGAUCUUCUAAUGAUGCUGGAAAUUGAUAGGGAAUUGGAGUUUACAUGAUAUCCUUAUUGUUAUACAUACACAUACAUGGACGUGUUGAAAAGGGCAGCGAGUAGGGCCCACUGCCUUAAUUGCCUGUGAUUGCAACAACACACAAAAUAGAAAGAAAGAAAUGGGUUAAUUGACCCGAUCAUAAAAAUGGAUUCUCAGUUUCGUCUUCCCCAGCCCAUCAAGAAAAUCAAAAUAAUUAAUAUGUUUUGUUUUUUUAUCAGUUGAUCCGUUUUGACCUUCCAUAAUGACACCAGCAAUCCUCAUUAUCUGUGGUUAAUAACGUUUACACCCACCCAGCGGAGGCCCGCCCCAUCCACGUCUUCUCAAUCAAAACAUUAUAAUUCCAUUUAAUCAUGACAAAAUUGCCAUACGUGGAGGGGUUCAAUUCUGCAACUAUCUGAUGGUUACCUUUAAAGCGACCAAGGAUCAAGACGCGCGUGACAAUAGAUCACUUCAAAAUUUUUUAGAGAUCAAAGAAUUCAUUGAGCGUGAGACAGACAAAAUAGCUAGCACGCCAUAUUAUGCCUAUCCAUCCAACUUAAAAGUGACAAAGGAUCCAAGUCCCAAAACUAUUAUCUUAAAAAUGGAAAUUUCCAUGCCAUGAUCAGCCACACGAUCUAUUUUGGGCUGGACGUCCACCCAUGUGAUAAUAUUCUAUUACUAUUUCAUUUGGGUCCGUCUGGAUCGGAGAUUAUUUGAAAAAAAAAAUAUUAAUUAAAAUAAUAUUAUUGUAUCACUUUUUGAGAUGUGAUAUAUAUAUAUAUAUAAAACUAAAAAUUAACUAAAAUAAUAGUCUAUUAAUUUACUUUGGGUCCAUUUGAAUUAGAGAUUAUUUGAAAAAAAAAUUAACUAAAAUAAUACUAGAGAUAUUUUUACUGUAACACUUUUUUUGAUGUGAUGUAUGUGAGAUAAAAAGGUAAUUGGGAAGGUAAAAAGGUGUAUUGGAAAUUGUAAUGAUGAUGUAAGCAAAUAAAUUUGGGGAAAUAAAGCCCAAUCCAAACAAACACACUGUAUCACUUUUGUAAUACAAUGUUUAUAUAUAAAAUAAAAAAUAAUUAUAUUUAAAAUAAUAUUAUAAUAUUUUUUGUGAUAUAAUACAUGUGAGAUAAAACGAUGAUUAAAAAUGACGCAUCUAUGUGAUGUAAGUAGGACAACUCCUCUUGCAAGCCGUAAGUAGGAUAUUCAAAUAUGAAAAAAAAUUAAAAGAAAAAAAAGAUUGAUAAUAGGUUAGAUUAUAAAAUUGGGGAAACCGUCUUAAAUCUUUUAAUAAUUCUAUUUUGCCCAUCAAUCAAUCCAUACCCCACCCACUAAACCAUCAUCAAUCAAAAAUUAAGGAGCCCCACCACUUCCAUCAACCCAAAUCCCACAAACUCUCCAAUCCCAUGCGCCGCUCACGUGACUCAACCACACUGAGUUGGAUUUUUAAACCCCACAAAAAAAACCAGAAGAAAAAAAUAACAACCAAUUUUAUCAAAACAGAAAACAAAACAAUAAAAAAAUGUACCUAAGAAUUCGGUGAGAUGGAGAAGCCGGCCGCUGACGGAGGUUCAAAUAGACAUUUCCGCCGUUAUUGGAAUUCCCAUUGUUGUUAUUAGCAUCACUGGGCUGAGAUAAAUCCUUAUUAUGGUCCGAUCUUACUAGCCGCCGAUCAACCCGACCACAGCUCUCAGACCGCCCGGCUGCAACCCGGAGGAGUCGCGGUUAUUGCCGUUGUCCCGGACUUUGGCCUGGAAUUUCAUACAACGCAGCCUUUUACGGCUCCCCCACUGUAAACCGAAGUCAGACGACGUCGUAGCAGGGGACCUGGUCUCAUUGCUACUAUUAUAGUGGUGGUUAGGAUUCGAAUUCCUCUCCAUCCUUAUCUCUACCUUUUCUGGCCCUUUUUUUUUUUACUUCCACCUGUCGGACAAAUCACCACUGUAAUUAAAAUUCUUUACUGCAGCAUUUAACUGGAGUUAAAAAAAAAAAGUCACAAAAUUAACACCAAAUCAGAGUUGGUGAUCAAUUAUUGACCAUUCAGGAUUUGUUUGCUAAAAUUAGGAAAUUCUGGGUUUCUAAAGUGGUACUAACACUGGAUUUGGAAGACGAGUUGGUUUCCAGGAGAAGAUCUUAUCAAUUCAUAUGGAGGAAAAUUACAUUAUUCAAGAAUCAAAAAUGGAGGAAAUGGAAAAGUUUAGCCAUUUAUGUUCAAAACAAACACCAUUCAAGGGAGGAAGAAAGAAGGGGAAAGGAUAAAGAAAGGGUCAUCCUCCUGAGCCCAAAAUUGCGUAUACAGUCAAGGGAGCAAUUAGAAAAUAAAAUGCUUCUCUUGAAAAAACAGAAACUGAAAAUUUUCUGAGAGAAACAGCAUAUGAAGAUGAUUUUUUACCUUUCAUAACAGGGUUCGUUCAUUGAAGCAAAUCUCUGAGUAAUUCAAUUGGAUUGUAGAGAUAAAAGGCAGGGGAAAAUCCCAAAAGAAAAAAAAAAAAGGUUUCCAUCUGAAAAACUGGAAUAGAGAAAGAGCAAAAGUUGAAGAAGAAAAUAUUCUGAUCACCAAUUCCAAUCAUCUGACAGGCUUUUGCUUGCUGAAAUUUAGACCAGCAAAUUUUCUGAAACUAUUGCUUGGGAAUCCAAAUAAUCACAUUACCUCAAAAUUAUGCUGAAAUUCUGUAAUCAAAGAAGUUGCUCCUGGAUGAAAUCUUGGCAACCACUUUGGAAUCUCUGUCAGAGAGACCUUAGUUUUGACACAUCACACGAAUCGGCCUCAAAAUCUGUAAAAACAAAGCCCCAUAAAAAAAUUCCAUCAGUUUAUUGAAAAUCAAACAUCAGUAGUAGAUGAAUUCUCUGAUUUUUGGCAAAUGAAAGAAACAAAUUUUAGUACCUGAAUUUGUAUUUAUACACUUGGAUUUCAUUUUGAAAACUCAUAUCAACAACCGAGAAUCAACAAUGGUUCUGAUCGUCUUUAGUCCUCAGAAUUAGGAACUGUUUCAAGUAAAUCAGAGCUUUAAUCCUCUGUCUGAAUUCCAAAUCCGAUCUUCACCAACCCAGAAACUGAUCCUCCGACUUGAAAAUUCCUGCAAUCUCCCCUGUCGAACAGAAUUCAGCAAAAAAAGACAAGCUUAAAUCGCCAAAGAUUCAUACAAGAAAAUCCACGAAAAUCAAAUUUCCAAUACCAUCACUAACCUCCAAAGCUUCAGGAUCAGACAGAAAAAUGAGAUUUCUAAGGAAACUCAAAUCCCAGUCCAAACAAAUUCUUCUGAAAACAACUCCAAUUCCUCUUUGAAUAAUGUAUCUGUUUAACAAAAAACAAGCAACAUAAGAUCAAUUUUCUCAAUUACUACAGAUAAGCUGGGCCUUUCACCACAAUUUCUCAGUACAAUUGUAACAGAGCAGCAGGCAGGCAGAUCUUUCUCAGUUCAAGAAAAUCCAUCCAACAUUUUCACCUACCCAGAUGUUUCCAGCAAAAUCAAGACGCUCCGCUGCUUCUAUUUCUCUUUAAAAGAAUAUGGCAGAAAGGAAAAACAGAAAAUUCAGAGAAAGAGAGAAGAGAGUGCUGUUUCCUUCUUCUUCUUCAGAUAAAAACUACAAAACAGAACGAAAUAGUCUCUCUCCCUUUCUUUCAAACCCCUGGUUUUAUACCUCCUUUUUUUUUUUUUCAAUUUCCAUGCUCUUUACAUCAGGCCGCCCAUCUUCAAUCCCCUGUGUAGUAGAUAUUAUCGGACGGCCCAAAUGUCUCCUCGUUCCACACGUCAUCAUCUUUGUUAAUUCCCCCGUUUUCGUCGUUAAUUCGUCGGAUGGAAUCUUAACACUUUUAACAUUUUCACUCUACCCCCUCAAAUUUUAAGCCUAUUUUACCUCGAUAUUUCAAUUGCAUCACUCAAUUACUCUGCACAAUUUAUUUGACCCAAUCUAUUUCGCUAAAUGAAUUUUUGGUUUUACCAAUUUUGUAAGAGAAUCAUCAUGCUCGAAAAAGUCAGGUAAUACCCCAAAAAAAUCAUAAUUCAUUUUCAAACCAAAUCUAACAAAACUAUUUUUCCUUUUUUUUUUUCCACAUUUACGCCAUAGUUGGUUUUUUAGCGAGGGAGCAAGGUUUCACUGACAAUUUAUUGUUCUGUCAUCGUGCUAUGUAAUUUGAGUGUAAUUACAUAAAAUUAUAUGAUUUGAGCAUAUAGAAUGAAAAAUCAUUUGAAGAGAGAUAUAAAAUUUAUCAACCCCUACAUAAAUAUAUAUUGCCAAUAUAUCAAUUUAGGGAAAGAAAACAAUUAUUAUGCAAAUAUUGGACCUUUAUCAUAUUAUAAGCAUCAAUUAUAUGGGAUGAGGACACUAAAUUUCAAAAAAAAAAAAAAAAACUGCAGGUUAUUUACAAUAUUCAACUGCAUCUAAAGAAAAUCUAAUGAUAUAAACAAAAAGCCAUAUAUCAUACCUUUGAUUGGAUUUUACAUACUCUAAAACAACAAUUUUGCACUUUCUCUAACUAGUGAAUCAUUUGUUUUUCUUCCACGUUCGGAACAAGCAUGUCAAAAAACUUGUUUUAGUCAUACUUUUUAGAAAUUUGUUAGAAACUUCUAAAAUUUCAAAAUGUCUGAUGCUAUUUUAGUCAUACUCUUUAUGUACUAAUUCUAAUUCGCCUCAUCAUAUGUUCUUGAAUCUACUCAUGAAUUUCUUACGUGUGAUGUUUGAGCUCAUUGUGUCAAUGCACCGAGAUUUGGAGGAAAAAGAUAAGUUAAAAACAAAACAAAACAAAAUGUGUUCAGAAUUUUGUGUUUGUAAAACAUGCUCGGAAGAAAUUCUAUUAGUCAGUGGAUGCAAGUACUUCAUAAAUAUAAGUAUAUAGCAUGUAGCGUUGAAGGGUGGAGGUUGUUUUUUUUUUUUUUAUCCUUUACACACAUUUUUUCGUCGGCCUAUCUAUUUUUAGUAUGUUUAUCAGGUAAACAAAAUUAAACAUUCAUCAAAGCAAAAAGCAAAACUUACUAUUCCGUGUUGCAUCAAUUUUUUCGAUUAAUCUUAUUCACAGUAACAACAAUAAUGUAUGCACUGUCUUCAUUGAAUGGAUAAUAACUGAUUAUCUGAAUUUAGAUUUAAAUUUUAAAUUUUAUACAUCCAACUGUAAUAAUAUAUAUAUAUAUACACUAUCAAUCCAUACAAGAUUGAUUCUUUUUUGAUUAUUAUUGUUAGUCAAUAGAGAUGUUGCGUUAAUAGAUGCCCUGUAUUUUGGACAACGGAGUGCUGAUGAAGAAGCCUCAUUAUGCUCUGUCUGUCUCAUUACUGUAUGAAAUGAUGGCAUGGAUCUCAAAAGCGCAUGAAAAAACCGUUAAUUCUUUGUUAUUUUGGCCAUUGUUAUUUGUUGCUUGUGCUCUAAGUUUGAACCUAAGCUCGCUCCAAUUGUGUCCUUUUAUCCAUUGAAAAGAAAAUGUUUUCUAUCUCCCCACAAUCACUAUGCUACAUCACGCACUCCUUUACGACCGUUCAAACCAAAAGUAAAGACAAGAAAGAAGCAUAUCAUCACUAAUUCUCAUGCAUCGAAAAUUGACCAAAAAUCUGCCCCCCAGAAAAAAAAAAAAAAUCUAGAGUUGGCAAAUAUUAUUAUCUGUCUCUGUCUCUCUCUUUCUGUUUUUUUUAUUUUAAAAAAAAAAAAAAGUCUCUGGAGUGUUUUAUUCGUUCGGAUGAAGAGAUGAGAUGGAAAAUCUUUUUCUUUUGGGUGCUACUUGAGGAAGGUGAAGAUUCCAGAGUUUUGUGUGGGGGAUAAUUUUGAGCAAUGAUGGUGAUGUGCAGAAUUGUCAGAGGAUGGAGAGUGAAGAGUAGCGGUGGAUUUUGAGAGUAGGGGCAAUUUUGUCACAAACAUAUAUAAAAUAUUUAUUAGUGAGGCUCGAGCCAAAUUUAGAGUGUAAGUAUCGUUUAUUUUUUUUUUUUUUUUUUUUGGUCACAAACAUUAAUAAGUUUUAUGAAGAAUUAUUAAACAUUUUCAGAUUCCUUUUGUUUAAAAAAUAGGGACUUCAUUACGCAGAACAAAAAGAUAUAGGAGCAAAGCCAAACUCAAGGGAAAAAAGUUAUACAGAUGAUUACAAACAUAAUCAUAUAUAUAUAUAUGCUAUGCUUCCAAUUCCAUGAGACAGAGCACAUUGGUUACCCAUAUUCCCCUCUCAUGCUGUCACAUAAGCAUUUUGCUGCAGUAUAAACUAACACACACACACAAACGCAAUGAUGCAGCAAGACUAGAAAAAUACAGCCAUAUGACAAUUGUCAUUAUCUAAAUAUAGAGCACCUAGGCUUUUCGGUAGAGAUAUGAUAUGCUUCUCUGAGGAUUAUUUACAAGGAAGCAAAUCCAAUGAAAAGCAAGUAGGCUAUUUUACAAUCAUAAUUGAUCAUAUGUGCAAGCAAAAAUAUGCUGUCACAUUCUAGGUAAUUUUGUUAUCAAUUUCUGAAACAAUCAUCAUGCACUGAAUCCCCGGUGGAGGGAGCUCCAUGAAUUGGAUGGAAGGCUGACACAGGCUUGGGCUGCGCCUCAGCCAUCUGAUCUUUUUUAAUCCCAGCGUUACAGAUAUUCGCAUGGAUCGCAUGUGUUUCAUUCCAUAUUGGGAUAGUGAACCACAAUGUGUCUCAAAUGUUCUGACCUGCAAGAUAACAAGAGCACUUGAAUGUAUAAGAUAAGGUUAUUACAGGGUGAAAUAUGUUGCAAAACCUUGCCAAAAACUGGAGUUGUAAACACUUAGCAAUACAGUUCCCUUAGCUAAAGAAAUACAGAAAAGAAAAACCUAAAACAACGAUCCCUGCAAAAAUAUGUCAAUAACUGUAAUUGGUGUCAUUUCAGUAUGUUGCUUGGGAUUUCAGAAUCUAUUUGAUAGAAAUGGAUAUAAAAGUUUACCAAAGAUUUUAGGCAGUCCCAGUCAUCAGCAAGAGGAUGGCCGGCUGGCCGGACAGAGUUCAGUAUCUCAGAACCUUUCUCAAUUCCAAACAAAAGCUUUCCAAUUAGUUUCACGCUAUUGUCAAUAUGCAUUCUGUGUGACAUAGCUUCAACAACCUGCUUCUGAGCUUCAACUUUCCUCGCAGAGCCUUCAGGAGCCUUGCGGAACUACAAGCAUGAAAAAAGUAACAGCAAAGUCAGCCACAUCUUGGGAAGGAAUUUAAGCUUUUGCACUAUUAUCUCCCCCUCGUUACGAAAGGGGACAUUCUAAUUCACCCAGUUGAGGAUUUCUGGCCUGUUCUCAUGAAACAAAAAAUUACUAGUAUAAUUUUGGCUAGUUCUCUUGUUUACCCUACAAUAAUACAACAUGAGCACAUUCUUAAUUAAUACCUGUUCUAACCAACAAUCUUUAUACUAAUCAGCACUUAGUUCUAUAAACUAGGGAGCAAAUAAAUCUCCAAGAAACACUUUUCGUUCCUGCAUAGCAGUGGAGCCAAAUGUCUUAACUUCUUUUCAAUCUACCAUGGGCUGAGGGGCAGAUUUACCCUUGUCCUGCUCCACAUCACUGUUAUAACUCAUAAACUAAAACUUGGACAUCACAAGAAAAGCAUCAAAAUAACUCAAUGCACUACAAGGAAGCUGUAAUACCUUGUCCCAGAAAUGCAACAGAUCAGCGUCACGUUGAUUACAGCUUUUGAAGAUGGCCGUAGGGAAUUUUCAUCCACAAAAGUGUAAUUAUCAUUUGCAGGGUUGGUACCCAUGUAGAGGAAAAGAUCCUCCAAACUCAGCUUUAGGUCACCAUAUUGCAUAACAUGGGAGCCAUAAGCUGAAUUACUGCUUGAGGUUCUCUUUUUAACCUGCCAAUUUCAAGCAUUUUGAAAUCACAACAUGGUACUUGCUAAUUGUUUUGAGUAAUGAAACAUAAAAUGUUCCUUUCAAUGUAAUUUAAAAUGAGGAACAAGCCCUUACCAGGUGAUAUUGCUGCUUCAGAGUUUCAGUGUGCAAAUUGUGUAUCUCGCUGUAGAAGGAAAAACUAUUAUGAUGAGCACCAAAAACAAACAAAGAAAACAGAAAUCAUGUAGACCACUUUGUUUGUUAGAGAGUAAAAAAUACCCAAUAACUAUAUUCAAAUGUUACACCUCCAAUUCAAGUCCAUAUAUUGUAUUCAAUUGUGGCUCAUUGGCACUUUUCUUCAUCAUACUAGUGAUAUGUAAAAGACAGUAUCAUGAUCACACCAACAUGAAACCUUUAAAAGAUUAGCAUUUAAAACAAGUAUAUCUCCAGAUUAAUAUCUGAAAUCACAGUUAAUAAUAUGCACAAGUGGCUAGGAUAUUUCAAUACCAGUCAAACAUACCUGUCUUCCAUCCAAGCAACGCUAUACAAGUCACCCAAGCAGGUCUCAUAUUCUGGGGGAGGGCUAGGAUACUCUCCAGGGCAAUAGGUCCCCCAGCUACUUUCCUCAGCAUUUGAUGCUGUGGUAGCAUAUAUAUUUAGAUCUUCAGGAAGAAGUCCCUCAAAUAUACUUCCUGACUCGCAAGCUUCUAGGUAGAAAACCUAGAUAUUGAUAACAGUAUCCAACACAUUUUAGACUUCAGUAACCAUCUAUGCACUCUCUCUGAGCAUGGGAUAAUUCACAAGGAAAUGUAAAAAGGAAAGAAUAUAUACCAGACUUUUAUAUGUGCCAGAAGCAUGCUUCUUUUUCAAGACUUCAUUCAGAUCGUCUGCAUAGAGAUAAGGACCCGACGGCGUCCCUGAUUGCAUGCCAAAAUAAAAGUAAAUAUCCUAAAGUCCAAGUUAUUGAUCCAUGGCAUGAUUUUAAAUGACCACAAUGUUAUCAAUAAAAAAAAAUCCUACAGUCCAAGUUAUUGAUCAACGACACAGCAUUAAGUGACAAAAAUAUAAUCAACCAAAAUUUUUUUGGAGUUUAAACUUCAACUUUAUGAUAAUGUAGAUUUCACUAUUUUUCUUUCAGAUGAUGGACAUAUGCUUUGACCGUACAUAGGAUUCAAAUUCCAAAUAAUAAAGGAAACAAACAAGUAGACCAUCCAACACAAAGGAAAAGUAUUGCAAAUCUAUCAUUUCAAAGCCUAAAAUUAUAAAUUAGAACUGUAUUAUAGGACAUGAAAUAUAAAAAUUAGUUUUUGACCAUCCCACAAAUUUCCCCAGGUACACAAAAUUUGGGAUAGAAGAAAAGGUUUAUGCAAAAGAACGAUGUAUUAAAGGAAUACAAUUUUCCCAAGCUACAACCAAAAAUCAUAGGUACGUCUCUUAUUUUGAAAUGGAGAGGCUUCCUAUCUGCCGGGGUUUCUUUUUCUUUUUUUUUCCCCUUCCUAUAAUAGGUCAAGUACCAUCAUAGAAUGGUGCUUAAGGACCAAUCUCUAGUAAGGAAAGCAUAAGUGGCAGAUGCAGCUUUCUGAUUAGCAAAACUAGAAUGUGACCCAUUUUUGGGAAUUUAGACAGUCGAAAAGAACAUCAUCACAAAAUGAUUUAAGGGAUGAGUUAACUGCCAAUAAGAAGAGAUCUUAAAGGUAAUUACCAAGAACCCCAGGACCACCAUGAUCUGUAUAGUAGAUAAAUAUAUGAUCAUUUGGACCACUGUCCACAACCUUGCCACUACCCCCAGUAAUUGCAGUUUUGUCCCCCAGGAUAGCAGCUAAAAAGUUUUUGGCAUGAACAUCAUCUCCAGUAUAGUCCUGCCACACAUGGGUGCAUCAAGUCUCAAUAGAAAAUAUUAGAAUUCUACAAGAAAUUCAUUCUUCAGGAAGAAGAAGAAGAAGAAGAAGAAACCUUUGGGACUCCUUGAUAGACAUCAUCACCAUGAGGGCUGUUAAUGAUAACUCCAGGCCUAGGGUUCUCUUCAUUGUAAGCAAUAUCAUCGUACAUGAAGACAACAAUAUUUUCAUCCUUAAGACCUCCCCUCUUCAGGAUUUGAUAGGCAUGACAAACAUCAGCCUAGAUCAAAGAACCAUCAAAUCGUUAAAAUGCUAACUAAGUAAAACAAGAAAAUAACUCGUAUCCUCUAUAAAGAUGGUCAAGACAACAUUACAGCAGGAAUUAUUAAGCAAGAGUUGUACUUAUGAACACCAACAUUGCACUUCAUGAACAGAUAGACUACAUUAAAGACCAUAGUAUCAAUAAACACAAUUGUACAUAUUUCAGUGUCAUGGUAUGCGAGUGUCCUAAACAGAAUUAACAAUCUUCCUUUUUCAACAAAUUGUCAACCAUAACAACUAUAGUACCAAAGUUCUUCACAGAUCCAGAACAAAAAAUCUAAUUUAUUAGCUGAAAGAAGUAAUUAAACAAUUCCAUGGCGGUAAAAAUCACAAAAGCCUCGAGUCUCCAAGAGUGGAAUCCCAUGUUUGAAAAAGAAACCUAGCCACCUUAGCAUGCAUGUUUAGAGUAGAAAUAGGAAUUUCCUCUUCCAGAUUCACUAACACAAUAAGACAAAAUCACAGCAUCUCAAAUCAAUUAGUUCUUCCAGCCAAAAACAAACAUGUAGCGCGCAUAAGCAAUUAGAGAUUCUUAACGUUGUAGAAAACAGGUAUGCAGCCCCAAUAUUGUCUGUUGGCCCAAAAAACGAACUAACAAUGGUAAAGAUUUAGACAGAAAGUUAACAGAAGCCUUUACUUUUUCAGAUAUCCAAACAAUAAUUACUCUUCAACAGCCAAAACUGGAGCUUUCCUUGUCUUAGAUUCUAAAACGUGGAUACUAUAUCCUACACUGCCAGUAUUACCUGUGCUGAAAACCUCGGUUAUAUAGCCCAAAAUCAUUUUCCCCUUCUAUGGAACAUAACUCAAAGGCUUAGAUACAGGACAUCAAGCUGAGCUGAGCAACCAAAAAGAAAAAAAUUCCCACACUUAAGAAAGGCUUCACUCCUUAAAAGCCUUUAACAGUAAUCAAGUUAAUAUUAUAUACCACGUAAUUCAGUUCCUAAUCAGAUGAAAGAUGAAAACUUUUUGUCUCAGCUGACAAUGUCACAAGGAUUUAAUUAUCCUUAACCAUUCUCAGCUGUAGCAAAAAUCAUGAAACUAUGAAGCCUUCAAUUUAUCUGGAACCCAAAUUCUUAAUCCAAAUAAUCCUUUAAAAAAAUCCGUUCUUGUUUUUUUGUUAAGGGGAAAAAAACGUUGCUCUGCAGCUCGAUCAUCAGGAGUAUACUUCAAAAAAAAAAACAAUCUUACGACAAAUAAACUCAAUGGAGAAAAAUUCAGCAAAAUAAAACAAUUCGUCAAAAGUACAGAUUUGAUCACCUGGUGCGGUAAUUCCAGUAACCGUUGGAUCCGGCAAUCAGAACAGCCCAUCUGGUCCCCACUGAGUCGCCACCGGCGUCGCUCCUCUCCUUGGGAUGGAAAAAAUCGGCAAUUUCCGACGGUAACUUUAGGAAGUUAUCACGAGCCUCAGCAACGGCGAUGAUCGAAAGUGCAAGGAGGAGCAAGGCAGCGGUAGCGUACCGCAUCAUUUUGGAUUGCUGUCUCUGGUUAUGGAAAGAGAGGUGAAGUUAGGUAUAGAAAAUUCGAAGUUGGGAUUGCCAUAUGGCAUACCCUCCAUAUUUAUAGAGAUAAAUCUUAAUUUCAAUUUGCCCCUUCCAAAGAUGUCAAUUAUCACUCUGCUUUUACCAAAAAUUAGUUGUCUUUAUCCAUACCCUUCAACAUUUUUAUAAUAAUUUUUUGCUCAAGAGAACAAUUAAAAAUGAUUUUUCCUUUUUAAAGGUAAGUGUUUCUUAGACUACUUUAGAAAUAGGAAUUUUAAUGGCCCUUAUUACUUUAGAAACGACAAAGAUAUUUACUUGCACAUGCUUUUAUGUUUAAUUGUGAAUCUUAUACAUUUUUCAAUUCAUGUGUUAACACUUUAGAAAUGUAAAGUUAAAGACAAAAAACUUAUAAACGCAAAGUGGAGUAAUAUUUGUUAACGUGUGCAUUAACACGUGAUUAGAUCAGUGUAUGAUUUAGGCCUUGUUUGGCAGACAAAUUUUUUGCUAAAUUUGUCUAUUACAAGUUUUUUAAAAAUUUAGUUACAGUAAUCUCAAAAAACUUUUCAAAAUUUUUAAACUAUAUAUUUUAAAAUAUUUUUAAAAAAAAUACAUUUUAAAAACUUCUACAGUAAGUAAGUUACAAUAAAAUUUUAGACAAACACUAAAAAUCACUUGCUAAACGGACCUUAGAUAUAUGAAUAAGUGUUUAUUAAACACUAGUUAAAAAUCCCAUUUAAUUACAAUUAGUUACGAUAAUAUAAGAUCAUGGUCCAAUUAUCAUGAAAGAAGAUGCGGAGCCACAAUUAGAAUAGCUCUGAGUUUGAGGAGCUAAAUUGGAUUUGCCCAUGAAUGGGAACAUAUUUUCCCUACUGCUCGGAGUCCAGGUCUGACCUGCAAUCUGAUCGGAGAUUCUCCGGAUUCUUGAUAGAUACUUACGUGGAAGCUUCUAGUCCGUCGGUCGUAAAUUCUAAAUACUGGAGUAGUUGCUUAAAAUUCGGGGCAGCCUCAGUGGACCCUGCAGGGCGGUGAUAGAUUGGUUACUUGCUGAGCUGAAAAAACCAAACCAACAUGACAGGUUGUGGGCACUUUUCUAAGCCGUCGUUGUCCCUGGGGUCUGGGGAGGGACAAUUGCGGCGUGACCCUUUCCUUCCUUCCUGCAGAAGUACGAAUCAUUCCUGAAGAAUGGGCAAAUGGGGAAUUUACACAUAUACCAAUCAGUCAAAGUCAAAGAAAAGUGUACCAAGAAAAUGGAUGGAAUUAGGAUGCAGCUAAUCUUCUGAUUUGAGAAAAUGAUAGAGGGGCUGCUGCUUCUGGGAAAGUACACUGUCCCUACUGUAUACUGGCUGCUGGGCGAUCUACUCAUUUGAUAACCUCGUUCAACUACCGGAAUCUUUUUUCUAAAUCGCCAACCUCGUUUAACUACCCGAAUCUUUUUUCUAAAUCAGAAUGGAUGUAAUAAAGGCCGCAAACUUAUUAGACUAGUCUUGGCUAUUAAUUUUUUUUCUUCAAAUUUCUCGUUAUUUUAUCUCCUCAUCUUUAUAUCUCUGUUUGGAUUUGACUAUUUUUUAAAAAUAAGUUUUUCAACUCCUAUGUUACAUUUGCACAUAAACAAAAUAAAUUAAAAAUACAUAAUCCAUACAAUAUUUCAAAUACAAUAUAUUAUAAGUCCGUUUGGAUUGACCAUUUUUUUGAAAAACAAGUUUUUCAAAUACAAUGUUACAGUAAUAUACAAAUAAAAAUAAUUCAAAAAACAUCUCAUUCAUGCAAUAUAUUAAAUAUUUCAAAAAAUAUUUAUAGUAAAAGUUUUUUAUAUUCAUUGCAAUAGUAAAAUUUUUUAAAAACACUCCCAAAAAUACUUAAUACAAACGAAGUAAAACCAACCAUUUCUAUCUCCUUCCCUCUCCACCAUAUACCACACCCACCACCAGUCCCCUCCUCUACCACUACCGCCACUUCUUCCUCUCUCCAUCUGUUCUCCUCUCUCCUGUCUCUCCUUUUUUCUCCCUUUCUCUCCUAAUUUGUGAUUUGAUUAUGAUCGAAGAAGGUAGGAAAGAGAAAAGGGUCAAGCAGGGAGGAGGGGAGAGAAAAGAGGAGGGAAGAAGAGGAAGAAGGGGAAAAGAGGAAAAGAAAAUAGAAGGAAAGAAGAAUGAGGGAAGGAAUGGGAAAGGGAUGAGAAAAGGAGGAGAAAACAGUGAUGACGGUGGAAGGGGUGGUAGGUGAUAGUGAUAGGUGGUUUUUUUAUUUUCAAAAAAUGCUAGUAAAAUUUCAAUUUUAAAAUCACCCCAAUAAACAACUAUAAUAAAACUUAAUCCAUACGAAGUCUUAGGUAUUUUCACCCCAAUUUUUAGACGCUUUAAUGGGUCUUUAAAAUUCUAUAUAAUAUAAAAUAGGAAAAAUCGUUCAAAACAUCACUUACAUUUUGUUUACUUUUAAAAUGAUAAUUUUAUGUCCCUUACAAAAUUAAAUCAGUAAAAUUUAGUCCAAAGCUAGAUUUUUAACCACUUUUUACAUUGAAUCCAACACAUGAUCCACACAUGAUUAUUUUUUUAGGGGCAAAAAGGAUAGAUCUCAGUUAUAAUUAAACAAAUGACCCAAUUUAUAUUCAUUUUUCCCCUAAAAAGUGAUAUCUAACCCAAACUAUAUUCACUUUUUUUCCUAAAAAGGUGAAAUUUGAUUCAAUCCAUAUUCAUUUUUGCUAUUAAAAAGUAAGAUUUGACCUUUUGUGUAUAAAAAAAUGACUGCAUGUGGAUUACGUAGUGAUUUCAACUUUCAAGCCAAAAAAGUGGUCAAACAUUUAGGUUCGGAUCAAAUUUUAUUAACUUGAAUUUAUAAAGGCAUCAAAUUAACAUUUUAAAAGUAAAGGAUGAAAAAAUAUAUUUGAUGGAAUGUGAGAAACGUUUUAAAUAAUUUUUCCUAUAAAAUAACAUUAAAAAAAGUUUAAUAUAUAUUCUAACUCCCAAAGUUAUGCUACUAGAAUCUGCCUUUUUUUUUUACACAAAAAUUUUACGAUUUUAACAAAUAUUUCAUUUACAUAUUUUUUUAGUCAUCUUUUUUAACAUAUAUAUAUUACAUCCUAAAAAGUGUACAUAUACAUCACAUCCUAAUAAGUGUUACAGUAAUUUUUUUUAAAAAAAACUAUGAGAAAAAUUAUAACCCAAGCAACCUUGAUGUUUCAGAAACUCUCAAGCAUGCGCCAUUGAUUAUUCUUCACUAGAGAAACAUCUGUGCAUCUUUUUUCCUAUAUACGCAAUCUACUAACUACAACCAAAUUUACCUAAACAGAAUGAAUGCAAGUUUUUUCCCUAGAGAAAGAAAUGAGAAUUCCUUCAAGUUUAAUCCUGUUCUUAAUCUAGACAGCACUUAACCAUGCAUUCACAAAAAGAAAGGCAACCAAUAACAAGAAUAAAUAUAUAAUUAAAUUGUCAUUUCGUUCUCUGUUCAUUACAUUGACAUCUUUGAAUCACCUCUUGCUCCUGUUCAAAACAAACAAUAAUAAAACCCUAUAUCUUGAUUUUUUAUUUUUAUUUUUUUGUCAUCACAGGGAGUAUCCCUUGCGAACUAAUUUCUCUGUGUCUGUGCAUCUGCCCCAAGAUACACAAAACGGUAGAAGGAAUCGAACCGCGAUCACACGGUGUCAGGGCCUAAUGAGCCCAGCCCAGCCCAGCCAGCCCGACCCGACCCGAGUGGCUAAACCCUGUAUCUUGAUCGAGUGAAGAAUAAUUGAAUGGAAUCUUUUGCUAGUAUCUCUGAGCAAAGGACAAAAAAUGAAUAAGAUUGCUGAAAUCAGCAAGUUGGAAGUCUCAUCCUGAUUGAGUGAAGGAUACUUGAAUGGAAUCUUUCAGUAUCUGUGAGCAGAGGACGAAAGUGAAUGAGAACGACAAUAAAGUCAUUGAUGACGAUUCACAUGAGUGGAACAUGCGUUUCCUUUCACAAACACGUAAGCAGGACUAUGACCGCUCCAUUUCUUGCUCGAAACAUUUUCAGACAACCAUUCUGCUACGCCACAGACUUCCCAUCUCAAUAAUUCAAAGUUCCUGUGCAUUUUCUUGCGUAGCCAACUGGCCAUCAACUUGCAGAAAAAGCUUCAAUUAUUAUUGGAAGAAACACAUCGCCUCAGUUUUCAAUCAAUUGCAGCUGCUUCAGAUAUCCAUCCAGCACUGAAUCGUGAUGCAGCAGCUUUCCUGAUAAAUACGAAUGGUUGGAAAAUCAUCAUUUUCUUUCGCUUCAUUAGUGGCGUUAGGUGUUCGUGAGUUUGAUAUUUGUCACGCAUAAGAGUUCAAAUCAAAAUUUUUGAGUGAAUAUUGGGUUCUGAUUUAUGUGAUCAAGGCCUAAUUUGGAGGAAGAGAUUUUUGCCCCUAAUAUUUGCCAAUUUAUUUGACUCAAAAUAUUUUCUCCCUUGUCGUUGCCAUUUUGUCUGACGCCAACAAUCUACAUUUUGUUGCCGUAAAUGUUACUUUGGUGAGUUUUUUCUUUUUUUCUUAUCGCGUCCAACUGUGAAAUUGCAAAUAUGUGCUUCAUAUUCUUUGAAUCCAAUUCUUGUUUAGAGUAGAGGAAUUUUUUUUUUUAAUCAUCACAGGAAGUAUCUCGUUCGGACUAAUCUCUCUGUGCAUGUGCAUUCGUUCCCCAAAAUACACAAGACGGUAGAAAAAGUCGAAUCCUGAUCACAUGGUACCGAGACCUAACGAGGCAAUCCCAACACCAGGGCGGGCGGGCGGGCGGGCAGGAGGGAUUUAGAAAGUUGCUUCUUACACGAAAAAAAAUGGUAAUUGAAGAGUGAUGGCUGAUGAUAAAGAUUCUUGAAUCUCGUUUCCAUCCUGCUUCUCGUUGUCAUCGUAUUGGUACCCAAAGUCCAACUUUGGUCCCUACAAGUGGAAUGAAUCUUGUUUUUCACAUCAUGCUGCUGUGUAAAUUAUUUUUACUUUUUCUUGGGCUAAAGCAAUAGUUUUUAUUUUUCGUUCUAUUAUUGGUGGCAGUAAAAAUGCAAAUUGUUCAUUUGUGGGGGAUCCACGGGAUCCAGGAAAGAUACGAAGAACUGGUGUCACGGCCUCACGGGGGGGUUCGUUAGAAAAUCUGAAGGCGGCGGCCAAAGGGCCCAAGAAUAUUAGUGACUGCUGUCGUCAAAGGCACUGCAGGAAAAGCUGUUAUGUUUCUCAAUCAAAGAUCAUACAGUUGUGUUUGUUUGUUUGUCCAUCAUUUAUUUCCCAGAUGCCGUCUCCCAUCGUACUUCCCUCUCUCAUUAGUUGGCGGACGAAGGAAAUUUGUUUUGAUUUGGUUACCUCUUUCUACCUUUUUUUUUUUUUUUUUAAGUUUAAGGGUGAUUUCAAAUCUGACAAAAAGAAACAGAGAAAAGGAAAAGUUGAAAGUGGAAUCAUAAAACUCAAAGUAACUUAAAGUUGAAUGUUCCUUAAUCUUGGGAACACCCGUCUUUUCUAUUUUAUAAUCCAAUUUAACAGUUAAUGCUAAUAAGUUCAGACUUUAAUAUCCUCAAACGAACGUGUUUGAUAAAUAAAAAUUAAAUAUUUUUAUUUUAAUCUUAAUUUCACGUAUUAGACUGUAUGAUAAAAUUAUAUUUAGUGUUUAUAUUCAAAUAAUAAAUUUUACACCAUAAAACCAGAAACCUCAAAUGAUGCUGGGACUUGGGUCACUCAUGGGAUAACUCUUAAGGAAUCCAGGAUGACACAGAUUAAAUCUUAUCCCUGUGAGCUAUGAAUGCCAAUCUUAUCCCUAUGAGCUAUGAAUGCCAAUUUUGAGUCCAACUAUUAUGGUGCGACAUAGACUCCUCGUCUCAAUAAUUCAAAGUUCCGAUAUUUUUUUUUAGUAGUCAUAUCAAUAAUUCAAAGUCGAUAUUUUCUCGAGUAGCCAUCAGCUAGCUAGCUGAAACCAUUACUCCUGAACACGUUGCCUGAGUCCAAGCAAUUGCAAUUUCAUAUGGUCAAGCAUUGAAUGGCGAGGUAGCAGCUUUCGUCCUAAAUGCAAAUGCUUGAAUUUCAUUUUCUUCCACCUUAUACAUGGUGAUUCACAAAUAGGAUACUUGUCCUACAUCAGUUUGAAGGAGAAGAAAUAGUGCUUAAUGCAUAGAAAUGGGAUGAGUUUUUGAGCCAAUGUUAAUUUACAAUUUAUAUGUUGAGCCUCUUUAGUAGGUGAGAUUCUUUUUUAAUAGCUGCCAUUUUAUUGUGCCAAAAAAUGACCAUUUUAGUCUCUUAUCGUCAAAAUUUUGAUCAAUUUAGUUUCAAAUCUAUCACCGCGACCAUUUUAAUCCAUUGUCUUUACUAUAACAAAUCAAUCUAGGCAGCCUUGUUUGGAUUGCCGUUUUCUGCCGGAAAAUUACGUCGUUUUCCGUGAUCACAUUUCCCUAUUACCUUUUUUCCUCACAUACAUCAAAUCGCUACAGUAAAUUUUCAACAAAAAAUGAUGGAAAAUGCAAUCCAAACACAAUAUAAAUUUCUAAUGGAAUUAGUCCUAUGCACAAUAUGUGCACCAUUGAAAAUUUCAUAGGUAGACUUAUGGUGCAUGGAACUGGUUACAUUAGGGUUUUCUAAUUUCUCAUUAGAAGUCCUAGAUUUACUUUGUUUUGUGAGGAUAAAGUUUAAAUUGCUGUGCAAAUAUACAAUUGGGCACAGCUUUGACGAUAAUGGAUCAUUUUUAAUGGUGCACAUACAUUCCAUGUGACUAAGUCCAUUAGAAAUUUUUAAUUUUCUGUUUAAGAUCAUAGAUUGACUCUUUUGUUAAAAGUUAAGGGAUUAGAAUAGUCGUAAUGAUAAAUAAGAAAUUAAAUUGGCUAAGACCCUAUCGUAAAUGUUAUUAUUAUACUUCGUAGUCUUUUUGUCGCCAUUGUAUUUGUGACCCAAAAUCCUGGAAAGCUUUUUCUUACACGACAAAUUGUACUAAAUACUUAGCGUCGUGAUGAUAAGGAUGCCUGAAUCCCAUCUAAUGACGUUUGCAUCCACUUUCUUCUUGUCAACUUGUCAUUUAUACGCAAAGUCCACCGUCGGUUGCCACAAGGGGAAUCUUGUUUCUUACGUUACGUCAUGCUAGUAUAAGUAUUUGAGUCACAAGAAACUAAAAUGGAAUUGUAACUUUUUCUUGGGCUAAAGAAAAGGUUUAUUUAUUUUGCAUAUAUUUUAAUCGGAUUUCUUGUUCCCGACCAACAUAAAAACAUUAAACAAGCAAAUGGUGCAUUUCUGGGGCGAUUUUUGGAUAGCUCAUCUCUUCCUUCUGCGUAUGUUUAUUUCGUUUAUUUAUUUUCCGGUUGGAUCUACCUCCGUCCCUCAUUGCAAGCCUUUUUAGUCAUAGCGAUAAAAAUACACCCAUACUUCAGCCAUUGGCAUGGAAGGAUACGUGUUUUUUUUUUUUUUUUUUUUUGUCUUAUCUCUUUCUACUAUUUUUUUUUUUGAGUUCAAAAAAAGACUUUAAACUUUUUUUCUCGUAUGCGAGGGGUGGAAUUUAAGAAAUAGAGAAGGAAAAAAAAUUUUAAUUCAGAAUCUCUACGUUUUAGAAUCUCAACUUUAAUGGCUAAAUUAGUGCUACUUUUACAACAAUUUCAAACUUUACAAAAGAGACAGAAAGAAAAAAGGGAAAAAUUUGAGAGCCAAACGAAGAAACUCACACUAACUUGACUAAUGUUCCUUGGAUGAUGAUCUUUCUACUAAACUAACCACCUGCAUUUGCACGAAUUACACUAUAAAACAAGUAAGCUCAAGACGUUGCUGGGAUUCGUGACUUGAGCGUUGGGGUGACCUAAGCAGUCUAAAUCACAUCAUUUAUAAAAAGCGAGUUUAGAUUACGACAUUCUUAAACGACAAAUACAAACAUAAAAAUUCCUAAGAUUAAAGAGGUGUAUUACGCAUCAGUUUAUUUCUGUCGUUUAAAUCGUGUGUUGUUUAGUAUGGGAUUUUCCUAUAUUUUAUUCCUGGGAACUCUCAGUAUCAUCUAUGAAUUGUAUUCAACUUUGAAGUGACAAUUUGCUUGAAGGAAAAACGGGUUCAUUUCAUUUUGUAUCCUUUAACUAUAUUCAAAUUCUCAAUUUGGUUUCUAAACUUUAAAAUAGGACACUUUGGUCCCUAUAUUAUAAAAUUUGUUGUACUUUAAUUCUUAAAAUAUAGUACUUGUCCAUUUUAGUCCUUAAAGUAUAAAAUUUACCCCAAUUUAGUCCCUAACGUAUAUCCGUUUAAGCAUAAAAUCUAUCUCACUUCCUUCAUGAUUUUACUUAAGUGAACCAAAUUUUACAGUUUAAGGAUUAAAGCGUACUGUUUUAAAGUUUAGGGACCAAAAUGAAAUUUUGGAUAUGGUUGAAGAGUGCAAAAUGGAAUUAACCCCGGAAAAAUCGGAAAAUAAUGACACAAAAAGUGUCAAAAUUAACGCAACAGUGAUAAGCCCAAUAGUCUUUUUGUGUUUCCAUUCUGGAGUCUCUCCAUUGUAGGGGUAAAAGGAGCCCACGGAUUUCGGGCCAUCACAUUUUUGUUUUCCCUUAUCUAUGAAAAUUUUGUUGAGCCCAAAAUAUCCAAAACCCACCGAUUGGCGGUUUCCUCUUUCCAACCAAAAUCCACAGCGUCGAAAGGGAAAUUAACACAAAACCUUCCAAACUACGGGUAGCGAAACAAGCGUCCUUCGACUGUUCUUCAGAACCCCUCAUCAGGUUGUCCGAUUCUCCCUUGCUUCGUUUGAUUAUUUAAUUUAUCUUAUUAUUUUCGGUAUGCAUAUAUCUUUCUAUACUUGUCGAUUUGGUUUCUUGCUUUUGAGCGCUUUUUUUUUUGGGGACACUUGUACUACACUUGAUUCUUGAUAUUAUUGUUCAUUUCCCCUUACCGUCUUAUUUACUUAAUUUAGUGGCUGAAAAGUCUGAAGGAAGAUGAUGCUAAUAAAUGAACCCUUUUGUCCUUUUGUCUUUUUAUUCCUGGAAAAUCACUAGCUUUGUAGAAUUUGUGAGGAGACAAAGAAAGGAUUGGAAUUUUGAACAAGGUCGGGUGUUGUUUUUGAUAGCGUGGGUAGUUUUGGGUUAGGCGUUGGAAUAGUCAAUCUAGACUUGUUCCUUCUUUUCUUUAAGAGAAUGGGAGAAAGCUCCUUUACAUGAAUGUGAACAUGCAUAAAUGGUUGUAGCUUGAUUCUGAGAAGGAUGAGGAAUUAGCAACUUUUUCCUGAGGACUCCAUUGGCUAAUGGCCCUUGAUUGCAAAGGGGCAAGCUCGAAUUUGCUACUUUUUUCCGUAUGUAUCUAAUUAAAAAAAAUAAGGAAAGAAAACUUUGACCUGGGAGUGAUUAAUCAAAAUUUUUCUAGGAUUGAUUUUUUUUUUAUUUUAAAAUUUUUUGGGGUUAUGAAUUAAAUAUUAUGCAUUAAUAUUACUGUGUAUUAUUAAGUAAUCGUGUUUGUGAUGGUUGCAGAAGUUUAUGUCUUGUCUUAUGAUUGAAUCUGGAAGUGACUUUUUGUUUGGACACAUUGCAGAUUAGUUUGUGGCAUGGAGAGAGGAGACACAAUGUACUUGAAACCAUUUUUGAAGAUGAGAAUCUCGAAGAUGUUGAGAUGCUUGAUGUAGAAGAGGGAGAGUUGGUUGAGGUUAGUACAGAGGCUGAACAUGGAGAGAGCAAUGCUGGCAUAGAAGUUAAGGUUGGAAAUUCUGAAGGCUGCACCAAUAAUCCAGGAGAAAAGAAGAAUAAGAAGAAGAAGAAGAAGAGCAAGAGAAAGAGAGGCAGUUCAGGUCCUAAUGUGACAAAUAUCAACAGGUGCUUUCCUGCUCUAAGGAUUUUUACUACAGCUUCAACUCUUGGAAUGUUUUUGUUCUAUUAUUCAAUAAUGAAAUGAUCUCUUAAUAUUAGUAUCUUUCAAGGAUUAUGUCAUUGGUAACCAGUUACUUUGCUGUCAUAUGCAGAUUUGUACUGGAUGUCUGUAGGCGCUUGAAAGAGAGGAAGUCUUAUUUGGUUUGGGCUGCUGUGGGUUGCCUUGGUGUCUCUGCUUUGGGUGAUCUUGUAACAGAGGUAAAAUUCCUGUUUUCCUUCUUUGUUGGGUGGUAUUUAUUUCAAACGUCUAGCCUUUUCUUGUAUGGGAUUUUAAACUUUAUUUCAAAUGAAGGCAUUGUACAUACUGCAACUUUGCCCUUUGUUUCUCUAGUGCAUGGUGUUCAUGAAUAAGUAGUUAACAGCAUCAAAAUGACUUCUUUUUUAUAUCAAUUUUUCUGAAGUACUCUCAAAUUAGUUGUUGGGAAUUAAUUUGAUUGUCUCAUUUUAUACACAAAUGGAGGAUUAUUUUUCUUUAUUCAUGCAAUCACCAACAAACAUUAAGUUUUGAAAGAUGGGGAUAACAAUGGUCUUGUAUGGUAGAUAAGGAGGUCACUGCCAUUGGUCUUUGUUUCCUGGUAUUUUCAAAAGUAUUAUACAAGUUUUUUGUUCUAGUCGAGAAUGGCUACAUUUGAAUUGAGGGUACAUAAUUUUGGCUUCUGGGCAUCAGCAAGAUUAUACUUGCUAUCUUGGAAAUCACAUAUAUUAUUUCAUGGCUUGUAUAGUUGUAUGGUGUGAAAUUUGGUUUGCGCUUCUGUUUCUUGCAGAAUUUUUCCAUGGACCUUCAUAAACACAUUGUGCUUGUGCUCCUUGUGGUUCUUUGUUUUUUGACUUUAAUUUUAUUAAAUUGCUUAUAUUUAUAUUGUUAGUUCUUCCCUCCCUUGGUAAAUUUCCUGUAGGCCUGUCAUGAAACUGAUGCAUCUUUAACAUUCUAAUAUUAUAUUUAGUAAAAGGGAACAUCUCCCCAUCUCUCUUCAUACUGUUUGCAACUUCCAAGAUGCUCCCAAAUCUACUCCUAUAAGCAUAACUAGAGACAGCAGCUUCUGAUAAACCUUCUGGAUUCUAUCUAGGCGCAAUUAUGGUAGUUAUGUAAUGACAAUAUGUUAGCAUUAUCUUACACAGGUUGUAAUUGGGAAUAUUAGAGAUCAUUCAUAGACCUUUUUUCUGGUAAAUAGAGAAAUAAAUCACUAAUUGUUACAACCAAAGUGAGAGAUUAUGGUCCAAAAGGUUGCUCAAUUUGUAUCAAGAUCUUCUGCCUUUAUUGAGUUUCUGAUGCCUAUAGUUUCCUAUCCUUUUGCAGAUGCAUCUUGAAGAAGCAUUGUCACUGGUGACAGUGUUGUGGCCCUUCUUAUCUGAAAUAGCUUCAGACUGAACCAUUGACCUUUCAUAUUGGCUUAGGCAGACUAAAAUGGUAUGAUACAGAAAUAUCCACUUGUAUACAACACUUAUCGUAACACCCGUCUCAGACAAUUAGAUAGAAAGAAAGAAGCAGAAUAAAGCGCAGGGGCAAGGGAAGAGACUAAAAUUUUGUAGUGAAUAAAGUCAAAUUCUCCUUUUCCUCUACUGAAAUAUUGAGUCUUGAAAUAUUUUUCGAUUUAGUUUUAUUGUUGUUCACAUCAGAGUGAAUGAGAGUAUAAUUUCAGCUUCGUAGGUGGACAAUAGUUUUGAUUGCAAUGAAAAGCACUGACAUCAUAUUUGCAGUAGGAAGGAGUUGUGGUAUUUUGUGAUGGAACAAUUAUAUGGACAGAAAAAUAAUUGAUAAAGAAGUGAGCUAAACAAAGUUCUUGUGUUAUUCUUCACUCUGAUGACCAGUUAAUAUAUUGAUGUCAACAUUUUCGCUUCUCCAUUUUAUAAGUUGGAGUUAAGGAAGGAGUUUUAUUUUGCAUUAAGUGUUGAGCUUGUUAGUUGUUAUUAAUUAUUGAUGUUAAAACGUGAUUCUGAAUAUCAUGAUAAAAUUUUAUGAUUGAAUUUCUAUUUGUAGAAUUUCUUGGAUCUGAGCAUGCAUAUUUAUGGUUAAGAUUGUUUUGCCUUCAAUGUCUUCUUGCUUUAUUAACUUCAAUACUAAUUUACGCAUUACAUUGUAGGUGGAAGCAAUUCAGGCCUGUGGAGGUCAGAAAACUGCAGAUGGUAGACGUUUCCGAACAGGUGGUGGCAUAUUGUGGAGUGUCCUUAAAGUCCGUGAUCCAAAUGCUUACAAAGAGAUUAUGAGAAGAGGAAAGGAAUUUGAGGUAUACUAUCAUUUUGUCUUUGUAUUUGAGCUAAGAAAUUUCUUAUGCGCGCUUCACAUACUGCUUUUUCUGUCUUUCCUGGUUAAAUAUAAGAUUGUAAAAGUUUAGUACAUAAAGCAUACUUAUUCAUGCAUGAUGCACUUUUUUGGCUAUUAGUUUUCAUGUUUCAUGGGUAACUGCAGCUGGUUCCUUAGUAGGAUAAGAUGAUCAAUAUGGUAGCUUGCUCACUCGGGUUUUUGAACUAGAAAUGUGGAACACUAAGAGCAACAAGGGGGAGAGUGAAAAUUGAUUUCUAGCUUAAGUGUAAGGUCGUGUCCACCUUUAGUCCAUUUUAUGGAAUUAGUUUUAUGCUUCUCCCACUAGGUAUGGAGCUAAGCAUCAUCUAAGCUGGAUAAUCUCAUUUGUGGUGUGCACUAAAUCUAUUUAUAAAGCCAAUUUACCAAGAUGCCAUGGUCCUGUUAGUGCCCACCUUUUUUCGGGUAGGAUGCAUCACCCAACGAAUUCGCUAUUGUAGGUUAAAGGUUCAAUUGGAAACAUAGUACGUAAAUCUUAUGCAGUUGCUUGUUUGAGUCCAUUGCCUUUCAUAAGGCUUAUUCUUUGGUUUCCUUAAAUGCCUUGAUAGUGUUGCUGGAUGAAGUUUUUUUGUAAUAGAGAAGUUAUAUGUUGAACUCAAGUAUUUCAGAUAAACAAUUGCUUUUCACUUUCAUUUAUUCCUGAUACCAGUUAUAUGAAAAUUAUGCAGAAGCAAUUUAAGCCACAAAAUGUCAACCUAGAUACCAUGCACAACAAAGAAAACCCUUCCCAAACUACUGGAGAAGUUGUGGAUGGCCUUCAAGAGGCAUCUCAUCAGGAGAACCAGCUCAAACAAAAUACUAGCGAGCGGAAUCGAGUAUCUGUGCAUGAGCGUGUUAGGAUACCAGUUGCAUAUGAUGAUUUGCUUGACGGAGAGAAUCCUGGAGAUGGAGGAGCAUCUGUAGCUUAAAUUGCAUGUUGUUAAUGCUUGAACGACCUCAUUCUAUUAUAUGAGAGAAUUUUUCCAUUUCUGUGUUUUUUUUUCUGUGGCAUUUUGCGACGCCUUGCAGUAAAUCUUGGGACGAGAAACUACACAUUUUUGAAGUAGGCGAGAGAAUUCUGUAUAUAAUUCGGAAAGUAAAUUUGAAGUUAAAAGCUUACAGGAUGUCUUGAAGGGUUAGCUUUCCGAACGUAUAAUCUGAAUUUUUGUUGGAUGAAUGCUCUUUCUUUUAUUUUGUUAUUCGUGAUUGUCUGACGACAUUUUCACGCAUGCCUUGGAAGCCCAAUAAAGUUCCUCCCACCAUACUGAACUAGUCCUCUGCUUCUGAGCCUCUUCUGCUCUCAUCAAUAAUCAUUAUAACCCUUCUCUAUUUUUGGUUCUCAAGACUGGAGGAGCGAAGGAGACAAAUGGUGUGGGAAAGAAAAUGAAAAAAUAAUAAGAGGGGGAUGGGGCGGUUGUUGAUAACAAAAAAGCAAAAAAAAAAAAAUUGAGACACUAAAAAUAAAUUCAGGAAUCAUCUGUGUACGUGGUGGAAAGAUCCAUCAGGGUGAUAAUUGAACUACCUUGCGGAUCAGAAUGUGACUUGCACUUGUAUCGUGUUCAAUUAGGAGUUUGCUAGAUGGAUUAAUAAGCAAGAGUAUAUUAGGCAUUACUGCAAAACAGGGUAAGAUUUGUUGAACCAUCUCACGGUCCAAGUUUUGUGUUAUCGAAACACUUCUUCUAUCUAGCACAAGUGCUCCUCCUCCUGUUCUUGUUCUCUGAAACUGCAAUUCUUGGACUCGUGUGCUGAAGACGAAUGUACAGGCAGUUGCUUGUACAUUCCACUUGAUCAUAUCCAAGAAUAACAGUAACAUGCAAAGUUUCUUACAACGCCUAUACUGCCUUCAUCCAGCACAUUAGUCUCAGAGCCUGAGACAAGGUCUCUCGCAGAGCAUUUGCAGGUCUGCAGCCCGAGGAUUUAGGUUAGAGUACAUGGUUGACUCUUUUGCAAGAAGAGGCAGAGGACAGUGCAGUCAUCUCUCUUUGAAUUAGGAAACUUUUGUUUCCACGCUGCUAUUGAUGCAUCGACCACUGCUUUUGCUGCUGCUUCUUCACUAGCCGCUGAAGAAACUAAGGAUGUUACUUGAUCAUUGGAAAGUACAUCCCAAACCUGAAACCAAAUAUGCAAUGACAGAUUAAAAUCCAAAUCGUCUUAUGAUUUAAGCAGAUACAUAGCAAUUUUUUUGGCCAUGGCCAUACCCCAUCUGUCGCCAGAACAAGAAACUGAUCUUUCUGAGACAACUGGUGAUAAGAGACCUCAGGGAUGGCAAUGAUGCCAUGGUUUUUAAGCGCGAAGUCUCCAAAAGCUCGUGACAUGGCUAGGCCGGGAGAAUCAUCCAGUGGUAGCCACACUCGCUGAACAUGUGGUUCUUCCUUCAAUGCAAGCACUCGACCGUUGCACUUCCUUAUUCGAUCUGCUUCCCCUGCAUCAAGAUGAAAUUAAAGCACACACUUCUGUGUAUAGUUUAAGGUAAAAUGACCUCUUGUUCAACGUGAAUACUGCACGCUCAAGCUGUGAUUAUGUCCAUGUGGACAUAAAAAGAGGUCUUACCAGGUAAACCAGGCUUGAGAUCUGUAGUUAAUUGAACUGGAACAAUUCCAUUCUCUGAUUUUGUUCCCACAAUUGCUCUUGAAUCACCAAGAUUCCCAACAAUAAGAUAAUCGCCCUGUAAAAAUCUUUACCAAGUCAAAACUCCAGAGACUUGCAAACACAAAUUACAUAUUCGAUGUUCUAUUCCUUCAUGCUUUUUUAGCCUCAUACCUGCCUUACAACAACAACAGCAGUAGUUCCACUGCAAGAGCAAUCCACGUUCUCAAGAAGCUUGAUUUCCUUGUCCAUCACCUUGAAGGCACUCAGAAAAGCGUCUUUCCAUUUAUUAAACCUUUUGCUGAAUUGUACUUCACCGUUCACUUUCUCAUUAUAUUUUGGAGGACUGAUGACCUUUGCCAUUGCAUUCAUCUGGUUCAGAAGCAACGAUGGCAACCGGUUCCUCACCAUCUUGCUGACCUUAUGACCAUAAUAUCCAUGUCCAUCAAAGACUCCACAGAAAGCUCCAUCUUCCAUUCCAUAGCCCUGUCAAAAUAGGUCCCGUUCCUUGGUACCAUUACCUAACAAAAAACACAUGCAGAGCAUACAGUAACAAUAAUGACCAUCUUGAUUCUUACCUGAUAGAGAAUUGCAGCAUCUUGGUUUAGACCUUUGCUUCCUUGAUGAGAAUGAAUGGAGCCAACUCUCACCUGGGAUUCAUCUGAAUAAUUAGUAUCUUCAUGGUAGACCACAUUUUCUUGAGCACUUUCAGCAUUCAGAAUCUCUGAAGAUGCUGUGGAGAUGCAAGAACCCAUGUCGAGUCAAGUCAACUGCUGGUGUAUUUCUUAUGGUGCAUAUGCUUUUGGAAUCCAGGAACUGGUAAUAUAGUCUGUUUAUAUAUGCGGUUUGGGAACCUUUGAAGUCUACAUUCGCUUAAUCUAUAUUACUUGUGAGACUAUGGGUGGCUCCUAGCACGCUUGGAAACGCACUAAGGUUCAAUUAUCCAUGGUUUUUUUUUUUUAUUCUGUUUUGAGUGUUAUCAAGACUACCCCAAGAUUCAAUUGAGGGGCCUCUGAGGUGUACCCGUGUAGGAUUAAGCCGCUCAAAUAUUAUAAUUAAGUCAUUGGCUGGUUUUUCCUCUACUUCUUUCCAAUAAAAAAGGUGCUGGAUCAGAGGUCCUAUUGUUGAUAAGCAACCAAGAAAGUCCUCCACUUACUAUAAAUUUGCUUCAUUUGACAUAACAGUUAUCACCAUCUAUUGAUUGCAAGUAUAACCAACUAAAUUUUCAAAAGGAAAUCUCUUUCUUCCUGUAAGGAUAUGUGAAUAGCUUAACUUGUUGGGAAUAGUCUAAUGAAUGGGAAGGGCAAUCAGAGUGAAAAGUCUUAAAUGUCAGUUCUUUAUAAUUUUCUUAAAAAAAGAAAACAUUCAACUUCUAAUUAAGUUCCGUAUUUAAAAUAGUUCCCGACAAAUAUAACAAGGGUUUGUAUGAGCGCUCGUUAGAAAAAUCAUACAAUAAUCAUAUAGAAUGUUCGUAAGAGUUCUAUUAUUUUUCAUCCGGUUGCUACUAUGUUUCCUUUUCUCGCAAACAGAAAUUUAGUACAUUUUCCUUUUCCUUUGUUGGGAUGGAAUGAGUGAAUGACAACUCAACUUGGGUAGGUUUUUGUCAUUUUAAAGCCGUGGCUGAUCUAAUUAGCACUUUGUCAUACAGUCCUAUUAGAUGGUUGACCUUGGCCAACUUGAUGCACUUUACAGGGUGAAAGAUUCAAUUAGAUGGCAAAGCCACAAGGUAAGAACCCCCUUUACUUAGUAGGUUGAAGAAGUGCAAGGAGAAAGUCGAAUCAGUGGGUCAACCAUUUGGGAGACACUAGGCUCUUCACACAUGACAUCAAUCACCAUGAUUAUAUGAAUCAUUAAGUUAAUGACAAGAUAGCUGUUAAAUCAAUGGUCUCUUGAUUUGGAUUUUACUUGAAAAGCUUUAAUAAUACGUGGUUUCACAUCGUUGAAGGUGCCAAAUGACCUGGAAGAAAGCAGAUGUGGAAGGACACGACUUUCUUGAAUCUCAAAGACCCUACAUGAUGCAGAUCAAUAACUGCCACACUUUAGAUUUCCAAACUCCAUCUACUUAUUGUGUGGUGUCAAUAAUAGCAAUCUAAACAGUGUUUUGGUCUUGAACUCCAAGCACGGCUUUGUAAAUUUCCAAGCCAUUGUAUAAAUUUGACAUAUUCCUUUACAAAACAAGAUAUAAAAGACUAGUCUUUCACACGCAAGUUCUUUCUUUCUUUUUCUGAAAAAAUGUGAGAUCUUGAUUCAAACCUCCUCCCCUGCAGACAAACGCAAGUUUGGCUAACGGGUUUAAGAUUCUCAUUUUUGGUAAAUCUCUCGUUCGAAAAAUACAAGAAUGGUCAGUUUCUUAUGAAACGUGAUGUAUUAGCUGUUUUUUGAGGUGUGAUCAGCAAGUUCUCUUUUAGAUUCUCGUAGGACAUGUGACCAGCAAGUCUUGAUCUCCCAAGUGUCUCAAAACACUCCAGCAGGAAAUGUGAAUGUACAAAAUCUUGAUCAAAACCUUAAACUAUAAUCUUCAAACAAUUUUCAAUAGUUGCUUGUUUAGAUCAUUGCAGGCUUAUCUGGCUGGCUGGCUGGCCAGUGGAUGGUUGUGGCUUGAGGGAGAGUCUUUUGCUUUUGUCAAAGUUUAAGUAAGAUUAGGACGAACUCUAACAUAUAAUAAAAAAGCAAUCAGCCUUAAAAGUCAAUUGAUUCCUCAAACAAACAGAAAACUUAACUUGACAAGUAAGGACAAUGGUGCUAAAAAUAUUGAUACCCAAUUCAGUUGAGGUCACAAGGCGCAUUCUUCAAUGUAUACCAACCUAAUCCAGAGUAUCUGCAACCAUCCAAGAAUUCUAAAGCUCUUAAUCAGAAAAUUGGGAAACGGAUAGAGUUGGAAGUUCUCAAACUAAAAAAAAAAAAAAACAAAAAAAAGAUAAUUCCUGAUAGAGGGAGUAUGAAAUAGCUAUCAAUUGAAGUUUGAAUUAGUAGUUCCGAAUUAUUGAUUGUAGAAUUUUCUACUAUUAGGCAAUGAAUCUGACCCAUAGAACAAGAUCAAUGUCUCAGGAAAAAAGAACUCUCCAACAUAAACGACUAAGGCAUGUGGGCGACGCUUGCCACUGAACGUUGAUAUUACCAUCUGAUGAGAAGAAUAAUUUAUGGAUGGCCAGCUGUGUUCCAAACCCAGGCACAAAAUUAGCCAAAAACAAUAAGAAUGUUUUGGAUGAGAUAGUUCUAGUUCUCUGUCUCAUUUUCUGAAUUAUUGUUUGUUUUGAAGGAAUAGGAGGGAAAGGAGAGCAAAAAAGAAAUUAUUGUAUCAGAAUAAUUUGGUUCUUCCAGUUAUACUUGUCACAUGGAAUGAUCAAACUGCAAUUAUUUGUGCAGAAUGGUUCCCUUGGAAUUGUAUCGAAAUAAUCUUGGACAGCAGCUAUGCUUGAAAUCCAGUCAGAUGGGAUGAUCAUGACCCUUUCGCUCACAAAGCAACAAAUGUAUACAGGAAAAGGGCCACAAUGCAUACUUAUUAACAAGCUCGUCCCUCAUAGAUAUGGUAAUCCAAACUACAAUAACUUCAUUGCCAUAAUAAUAGAUCAAGUCUAGAAUUUGAAAUAUGGAAAAUGAGGAAACUUUACAUGCUUUGCAUUACAAGACGUGUGUAUUAUACCACAUACGGGGAAAAAAAAAGUUCAAUGAACAAAUGUUAGAGAUACAUAGAAUUACAGAUCAUGCUAAGCCAAUUCAAGGAUGCCUAAAAGCAGGUAUGGCACCCAUGCACAUAUUUCGCUUUUUUUUAUCUUUUUCUGUUAUUGACUGGACACAGGAGCACUUUCAUCAACAGAUGCCGACUCAGUCGUAGGUGACUUCUUUGUGAGAGACUUAGGCACAUCAACAUCAUCUUGCACACACGCUGCUGAGGGUGAGAUAACAGUAUACACAUGUGGCGCAACAGGAUGCGAGUUAGCCCCUGGCCACUCUCAUAAAUGUACCCCUCAUAUUCAGUGACAAGCUCAAGGGCUUCAACAAGAGAAUCAUACACCUUCUGAGGACAAUUAUCAGGUCCAGGCUUGUCAUGCAGGUAGAUCACAUCCAAGGUGAAGACUUUCUGAGUGGCUAGCCACUGAUGUUGUGGUGGUACCGAAGAUCUACAGUACAUUAGAAUCUACAAUUUGUAGAAAGCACCAUGAUAAGAUCUUGUGAGAAUCGAGCCAGUUCAAAGAAUAGGACAAUCAACAUAGUCAAGGAAAAUCAUGGCAGCAUGGCCCUAAAUUAAGUUGAAAAAAUAGCCUCAAAUUGUUUACGAGAAGCAGGGGAACCAAAGGUUCUUGAAAUUCAGAUCUGAGGACUACACAGACAAAGGUUUUAAAUUUCAGCAAAAUCAUUUGAAAUGCUUUCUGAAGCAAACCAAACCUUCACCAGCUUCCACAGGAAAAAAAAGAAGUUAAUCAUGUCUUUUUGAGUGAUUCAAAGAUCACAGAAACUUUAUCAUUCAAAGUCAAAGGUGUCAACAGAUAACAAUUUAACUUGGAUAGUGGAUCAUCAGUUUCUCCAGGAGAAGCUUAAUUGUGUUCAAGCAAAUCUUCAGUAUGAAGCCUAAAGUAGAAAAGGGUGUCCUGGAUCUGGCUCUAACUGAAGUCUGGUCAUUAAGUACGCCAUUUCAAUGAAGCUAGCCAACUCUGGUACCACUGCACUAGGGUACAAGCGAGGACACCUUCAGUUUGAUGAGCAAAAGGAAUAGGAGUUGGUGGGAAUCUCUAAUCGAAUAUUAUAUUUUUCCAAUUAUUAACCUACAAUGGAGCAAAUUACUGUUUCUUUCACAUGAGAACAAAAAUCAUUAACAAGGAUAUUUCCUUGUAAAACUAUAUUCAUCUUGACUAUAUAAAUGCAUGGCAUCAUAGAUCCAUAAUGAGAAAAUGUAGCUACUCAAAGAAUGAAUCAACUUUAUCUACUUGAACAAAUCCUAUGCUCUAUCUAAUGCCUGAUAUCCCAAUGGAUGACAUGCUACUAUAGAUCCUAGUAAGUGUCUAUUUUUUUUUUUAAUCUUCUUAUCUAGCCUCAGCUUCAACACCAUCAUAAUAUAUCCUAUCUGGUAAAUCAGUUGAUCCUUGCCAACAACGUAGUCUUUUGCUCAGAUUUUCUUGUAUGGUGACUUGUUAAACAUAUUAUGAGAAUGGUCAUUCUUCAUUCUAGUACAUUUUCUUAGUUUUGCUUUAUCACAAAGCCAUCUCAACAUUUUGGUUUUGGCUACAGUUAUUCAUGAGCAUGUUGUUUUUUAGCUGCAUAAGGUCUUUAUAUAAUAGACGGUCUAACAGUUGCUGAAGAAUACUUCUUCUAUAAAUAUGAAUGCUACCAAAACAGAUAACCUCUUUUAUCACACUGUGCUUGACCCACAGCUUAUUUAGUCCCAUGACUUACACCAUACGGAUCUAGUCGUUGAUUGUAUAUAUUGGUAAAAAGGAAAAUGCAAACAUACAGAUACUUAAUAGAUCCAUGACAUUUCAGCUUGAAGUAAACAAAAGAACAAAUCCAGCUCUUCCAAACCCUCCCUAAACAAAAUGUUGCAGAUGCAGUUCAAAAGGCUGAAACUUGGCAUAUUUUAUGAACAAAAUUCCCCAACAAAAUCUGUGAAAAGUCAACAAUUAUGUGAAUUACUAAAUUGUAGAAAGAAUGCAUGAUCUAAUAGAGUAUCACAUCAAAAUUCUUGACAAUAUGUGGGCCACCAACACACAGAGAGAAAGAAUAUUGAAUUGUGAAUCGCAGCAUCACCCCUAACCAGGCUAAAGUUUGGGUAGACAGAAGUAUGAGGUGGGGGAGAACAUAUGACUAAACAUUGAGCAGAGACAACUUCAUCAUACUAAAGUUGCAAAUAGCUUGAGCACUGGAUCGGAAGAGAAAAGAAUAAAUAGGACAACCAAAGACAGUGUUCAGCUAGAAGGAAGACCAUUUUUGAAUUAACACUACAAGAUGUGGAUAAGGACUGGACAGAGAACAUAGCAGAUAUUAGCAAUACAACAGAUGCAAAAAAGUAAUCAUCAACUUUGAACACAUGAAAUGUGCACUUAUGUGAAACCAUUUGUACUCACCACUCUCAGGAUUCGAUUUUGUGCCCGAGAUUUCUUUGCUUCAUGAGCAGCUAUCCUAAACAGUUGCGUCAGAUCAGCUUGACCAGAAGAUGAUGAAUCAGCAGAAAGCCCCAAAUGCAGAAAGCGCAGCGUCUACUCUCCGCUGAACUCUUUUCGAAGCUUUCAAAAAUCAAAUGGAAAAGAAAGGAAAGAUCAGGAGGUUGUGUAUAUGAUCCUUGACCCUUUAAAACAACUAAAAGAGCAGGAAACAUAAAAUGCAAACAAAUGAACAAGUUCCUCGAAUGCACGCAUGUUUUAUCAGUUUAAUGGUAAAUGUUGAACUAAGCAUGACAUGAUUUGAUGCCCUUUAGGGACCCCUCCUUAGAAGUCAUUUUAAUGCUUGUUAGGGAUCUAGACAAAACGGACUCCCUAAAGCAUAAACAGAUCUUUAUUCAUUCACUAAACACAAAUUUAAGAUCCUCUUGGGAGGAUAGUCUCCUUUACUCAACUCAAAGAAGUCUUUUCCCAAUUCUUUUUAUUACCCUGCUUUGAGUAUAUCACAAAUCUUCCACAUUGUCAAAUAUUCAGACUAAAAAGUACUAAUUGUACCCGUGUUUCCUAUCCUGACAAAUGAGAUCAGUGAAAAGUUAAUUUGUCCUAAUGCGUCGUUUGAAUUAAAGGCAAAAAGACUAAAAAGUGUCCUGAGAUAACAUCAAGCAUUUCAGAACUUCCGUCACAUUCAAGUUGCUUUUCCAAAGAAUUUUUCGUUGCUUUCCUUUAACCAAUUCCAAUCUCCACAGGCCCAUGUUGACAUACAUUAAAAUCGAAUUACCAUGACACUAUAAACUGCAAUAGAACGACAAUUAGACAAAAAAAAAAUUAUGUCACAUUGAAAAAUCAUAUCUAACAAACAUAUUACACAUUCACUGCACUAGAAUGAAACAAAAUCAUUUCAUUUUACUCCAAGAUUCCAAAUUCAUCACCAAAGCUUUUGAACCCAAGUCAGAACAUUUAACAUAAUAGCUCAACUUCUUCAUAAUUCGGUAUCAACCCACAAAAUAAAACCAAAAAAGUAAAGUAAUUUUAGAAAAUAAAAGAAAUAUUAAUGCAAGAAGUAAAGGUAGUGGGGGAUACCAAGAAACGGAUUUUCCAAGAACUGUGAAGGCAAAACGAUGAUCAGGGUUGAUGGCAAGCUUAGAGUGGAUGAAGAGAAGAAUGCCUUGCUUGAUGGUGUCCAAUCUGGUAAAAGGUCUGCCAUUGGGGCCGGUCACCUUCAUUUCCACCAAGCAUUCAGGGUCCACAUCUAUGCAAAAUAGUAUAUCUUCGCUUGAAAAUCUGGUCGGUGGCAGGGUAUAGAGACCUCCUCCUCCAGCUGCUGCCGCCGUUGUUGUUGCAGAAUUCUGUCCCUCUAUUCCCUGCAUCCUGCACCAAGAUUCACACCCUUAGCCGUCUCUGCCACUAUAGCUCCUUCCUGGGUUGCCUUCUUUCUUUCUUUUCUUUUGAUAUUUUCCUUUUUUUUAAAAACAUUUGCCUUUAAGGUACUUAUUAUCUCGGAGAAACUGUGUACUAUGUCCUUUGAUUUUAAGGAAAUUGUAAGGCCAUCCUGUUUCGAGGUUAGGCUCCAAGAACCCACCCUUAACAAGUGAUUGGGGUUCCAUUUGAAUAAGAAAUGGAAUUCAACUAACCACAUAUAAUAAAAUAAAUUUAUGAACAUAUAUGAAUAUAGGAUUAAAUUUUAAUUGUUUCCUUCUAAUAAGACAUUUCGUUUGGCGAGUGAAAUGAAUUAAAAGUCUCAAAAUAAUUAAUAUUUUAAGUAUUUUAAUUACCUGAGCUGAUAAAAUACUAAUAACUAAAUGGUUAAUCUGGGAGAUUAAAAUGGAAAGUAAAAGAAGAGAAAACUUAAGUAACAAUAGGAAAGAAAAGAAGAAAAAAUAUUUUAAUGUUGUUUGAAAAUUUAGAAAAGAAAUUGAAUAAUGUCAAAUAUCAUUAAGAUUUUGCUUUGUAGUCAUUUAAUAUAGACUUGCACUUAAAAAAAAAUUACAAGGAUAUCUCUAAUUGUCUACCAAAUCAGCUUAUAAAUGGGCAAAAGACAUUUUAAACAAUAUCAUUAAAAUAUAUUCUUAUAAAUUGGUUAAAUUUAUUAAUUUUUUAUCUUAAAAAAACUACUUAACGAGCUUAAAAUGAUUUUCAAUUCUCUCACUUUUUUUAUUUUCUCAUCAAGUUCCAACUCCCAAACUAGUUAUAAAAAUUUUAUAACUCGUUUGGAAGGGAGUUUUGAUAAGAAUAGAAAGAAUUAUUAAGGAAAGCGGAUUUUUUUAAUAUACCAUAACUGUAUAACCUUACAAAAAUUAUGUGAAUUUUAAGUUUUGAGGAUUCUAAUGUAAAAUGUAAUCUCCACUCCCAAAUAAAGAAUAAUUACUUUAUCGUCUUUAUUUUCGAAAACUCCUGAAAGAAUAUUGCAAUCUUUUUUUAUUCUUUUCUUUUCUAACUUAAAGUUUUGCUUCUUCUCAUUUCACUCCUAAAUUCCCACAAUAGCCAUUAGGUUGUUAUGUUUAGGUAUAUAUUUACACUUUAGGGGUCUGUUUGGUUGGAAGUAAAAUGUUUUCCUUGGGAAAAUAUUUUCCGUGGAAAUAAUUUUCCAUGAAAAUCAUUUUCCUUUCAUUAUUUUCAGGUGUUUGGUUAGUUUAUUGAAAAUAUUUUCUUACUUCAUUUUCUGGUGUUUGUUUAACUUUUGAAAUAUUUUCACUUUUAUCUCUGUCUUUACUUUCUACACAUUAUAACUACAUACUUCUUUCCAUGCAAAAUAAGAAAUUUAUCUCAUUGUUUAACUUUAAAAAAUUUUGGAGAAAUGUAUAUAUGAAUAAAAAUAUCUCCUUAAGCAAUAAAUAAAUUGCUGGCCAUUUAGUGUCAAAUAUCAAUCACAUGCAAUGCUUAUUGUGACAUAUAUCUUGCACUCUCACUGCUGAAAGUUUUUCUAGAAAAGAAUGUCCCUAUUAUACAUAAUUAAUUACUAGCAUAGGAUGAGCAGGAUGAGAUUUUUUUUUUAUUUUGAAUAUACUAGGGGGAGGGUUGGGUUGGGUGGUACGGGGGAGGGAGUGUAAGGAAGAGAUCUUGGGUUCGAGUCCUCCUGUUUAUACUAAAAAAAAAAAAGAACAUACUACAAGAUGUUUUCAGUAAGUUUGGAACAUACUACAGCGGGAUGCAUGCAUUUCGGAAAACAACUUCAGUAAGUUUGGAAGGGAAGUUGUUUUCCAUAAGAUGAGUGAAAAUAUUUUACAUAAGAAAAUGUUUUCAGUAACUUUUGUGCAACCAAACACGGGAAAUUAGGAAAAUAUUUUCCUGGAAAACAUUUUCACCCGAAACAAACGGACCCUAGAAUUAAAAGGUUUUCAAUAAUUAUACAAGCAGAAAAAAGAAAAGAAAACAAAAACUUUUCAUGGAAAAGCGCAAGUGUGGUAUGUUAAUAUAGUUGUAGAAACUUCAAGGGGGCAUCGUGUAAAUACUUUAAGAUAGCUUCCAUUAGAAACAUUAAAUAAGACGAACCAUUUUCAGGAAGAACACUAGCUGAGCAAAAAAUGGCGUGUUUGCACGAUCACAGCUGCGAGGAUCAUGAUUGUUCUGCUAAUUGGACUCUUUACCAACACAUUGACCUCCCCAGGGUUCUUUGCCUUUUCUCUUAUAGCUCAAACUUCUUGUAUUAUUUUUCCGAGCUUGUUUCAUUUUUUCGUUUUGUCCUUUUAUUCCUUUUAGAGCCGUUGCAAUUUCUAUGAAAAACUGGCCAAAUUUCUUGCUUGUUGAUAACGGGUUUUGCGCUAAAAUUCAUGGGUUUUGCUAAUUUUAGUUCCGGAAGUGAAAUGGUGUAUGGGUUUGUAGCACAAAUUUGAUGAAACCCUAAAGUCUUGAAUAUUAUGUUCCUGCGGCUGCAAAUUCAAUGGGAAAGUGUGAGUGCUUGUUGAUGCUUCCAAGUGGAAAGUUGGCUUUGUAAUUUCGAGCUUGAAAAAUUAUAAUGUUACAAACCAUGGAUUGAAUAAUUUAUAUUGAUUUUACCCCUGCAUCGCAUUAUUGUUGAGUUAAGGAGGGAAAAAUAUUCAUAUGAGCUCCCUGAGAGCUGUGCUGUUUGCGGUUCACAUUCCAUAUUUGAAACUAGUAUUAGUUCUUGAUUCUUUUGGCUUAUCUAUGAUAUUAGGUACUCAAGAAUGGUCUGGUUAUCAUGGGAUCUUUUCUGUAGAUGGUGAAGUAUGUUUAAAUGUUUAGCAAUCUCGUGUUGAUUUCUAGUUUCUCUACUAGUUCUACCCUCAUUUUUGUAAAAAGUAGAUUAGUUUUGUCAUCUUGUGUAGUUGUGAGGACUGAUGUAAUCGUGGCUAAUCCUGCAUAGUUGGAAGAUAAGCUUGAUUCUUAUUCUUCAAAGCUAGAUGUUUUCUUGAUCGUUUUCUCAAUUAAAAUGGUUUUCUUCAGAAUCCUCUAACUUGAUCUAGACAGUCUAUUUAGAUUAGAUAUUAGUGUGGCAGUAAUUAUAUGCUGUGAUAAUUAAGCAGACAGAUGAGUGACACCUUUUACAUUUUGUUUUUAUUUUUUUCAAGUCUUCAAGUUCAGCACUUAAGCCUUUUUUUAGCGUGGCAACUAUGUACAUAAAUCAUUUCACUUUUGAUUCAAAUGUAGUUGUUGUUGACAUGCUUAAGUGAGGAUAUCGUGAUUAUAUGUAGAUUAGGAAAUGACGUGUUUCAUUUCAUUUAUUCAUCAGUGUUCAUGAUGCAACCAAAUAAUUUUUUGCAAAUACCAAGCUAUCCAAACAAUUAUUUGUUGGAACUGAAGAAUGUAUUCCUUGUGGAAUUCAAUCUUGGAUUACUUUAUACUUAGUGAACAUCUUAUUUGCUUACACAGAGAGAAGUAUAUCCUUUAUAUGUAUUUUUCUUUCACUUGUACUGAACGUUUAUUGGGAAAAGAAAUAAUGCAAGUGGCUGUUUUGUUUCUUGUGAAAGGUAUCUGCAUUGAAUGAGGCUGUCUCAGGAAGCAUUCGGUCAGUUUUUAGAGCUUGGGACCAGCGCUUGAAUUCUUCCGAGGUGCUUUUCAAAGCCCUAGAUUAAUUGUACUCAUCAAGACAAAUCAGCUAGCCUUAUUGUCAUUCUCCGUUUGUGCUCGAUAUUUGUUGUAGUCUGAAUGGUCAUGCAAUGUUGCCUGUGAAUUGCACUCUCUCUGAAAUGACACACAUCAAACUUGAAUUUACACCUAGAUCUUGGUGUCAUCAGAGAUAAUGAGAAGCUACUUAGGUCUCUAAUAGAUUACACAAUGUCAACAUGAGUUUUUGAAGUUUUGAUAGACUCCCCUCCUCCCACUGUCUUAUGCUAGAAAUGUGCUUGAUAUCUGCUGUUACUAGCUUGAUGCCCUUCUAAGUGCAUUGGCUGUUCAAAUUGGUUUGAAAGUUUAAAGUAGGUCGCUGGUUCUGUCUUUUUGCCACUUUUCUGUAAUGUUUAAGAUACCAUAACUCUUAAAUUUCAUUAUUUCCUCACUGCAAGAGGUCUAAAAUUUUUGUUCUUUCUCUUGACAGGGCUACUUGGAGAGCAAUGAGGGUGAUCCAGAACUAAUUGUCUUCAUCCCGUGCGUGAAUACUUUCUUAACCUGAACCUAUUGUUUGGCUUAUUUACUUGCUAGUGUUUGUUAAUUUACUUACUAUCUGCCUCACCAUGUCUUUUCUUUCUUCUAGUUUUGGCAGUGGCUUGGCCCAAUAAACCAUAGAUUUUACUGUUAACAUUUUAAAAUGGUCAUUUUCAGAUGCAUGUGAGCAAAAAUAUUUUAUUGGUUUUGUUUCCUGCUGCCAAUAUUAAGUAUGAUGAAAUUCAUGCUUACAUGCAAUUUAUACUGUUGUAAUUGGCCCUCGUCCAGUUUUCUAAUGAGUUUUUCAUAACCUUCCUACUUAUCCCAUUUAUCAUGAAAAAUUUCUUCUAAAAAAUGUUGAGAUUAAGCAUUUAAAAUCCUGCUUAGGAAAUAGAUAUGGGAAUUUCUGGGUUGUAGCUUGAUCCAAUCACUUCAUUCUCUCUUCUCUUGUAUCUGUUGAGAAGCACGAGCACUACAGCAGUUAGUACCAUAUAGUUUCUGAAAUUCAGGCCUUCAGCAACUCUUUGCUAUCCUACUUUGUUUGUUGCUGGUUAGGUUUACAUCGGAUGUUAAAAUCAAAAGCAUAUCAGUUAUUGGUGGCGCUGAUGGAACAAGUCCUGCCAAAAUGAGAGCGUGAGUUAAACAAUAUUCUUCCUAAGUUGUUACAUUCUACUCUAAUUGGGUUGCUGCCCAUUUUUCGAGCAAGCAUGUGUUUUCUUGUUGAAGAUAUGGUCAUAUAUAGUUUAUGGCUUAAUGAGAGUCCUUUGUUGAAUUAGCAGUCAUUGAAAUUUAUACUAUCAAUUGUGUUUAUUCUACCUGAAUAGAGAGUACUUUGCAUGCAAUGCAGGUUUAUCAAUAAGGAUGGUAUUGACUUUUCAGAUGCUCAAUCCAUUCAACCAAUCCAGGUAUUCUUGUUAUAGUUUUGGAGGUUCAAUGCUUGGCCUAAUUUACUUAUUUCACUUAUCCUCAUUUUUCAAGGAAUGGGAUUUGGUGGAAAAUUUCCAAGGAGUGUUAGAAUACCAAACAAGGUAUGCAUUUUUUAAGUUGAUACCUAAUUAUUUUGACAUUGCGAGUAUACAAACUUUGGUCUGAGAAGGGUAUGUGGUGGAUUUCUUACAUUUCUUUGUAAUAAUACUUUUCCUUUAUUAACUAUGGUAAGAUUGACAAAUAUGGAAGCCCGAUGUAAGCUUUAAAGUUCACCACUUGGUUUAGCACUUCUGUUUUUCUUCAUCUAUAACCAAUUUCAAAUGCCCUUGCUUUUGUCAAUGGACAAAUGCAAAUGCUUUUAACAUCAUAAUAUUCCAGAAAAAGAACAAAAAAAAAAAAAAGAUAAGCAACAGUCUUUGUUACUGUAAAUUUACUUAAUGCAGAUGUUGCAAACAGUAGAUCUGAGUAUUUCCUCCUUACUAAUAGCCAAUACAUUAUAAAUUUGGGAACUGCUGGCUAAUAGGUCAUUUGUAGGUAACUCUAGAGGCAUCAUAAUUACCAUAUUGGCUAGUGUUAUAGUUAUUGGAAGUUUUGCUACUCUGAUGCUUUGAGUAAAACAACCAGGUAUGCUAAGUUUCAGAGCGUGGCAAGUAUCACUUUGCAUUUCCCAGAAAACUUUGGUGGAGAGACCACUCAAAUUCAUUAUAUUGGCUUAAAAGGUGAAGCCACACAGGUAAUCGAAGUUGGUUUCCACUCGAAGGUUUAAUUUGUUGUAAAUUGUUUUAAGUUGAGAAUCUUGGUGUUUUAUCAGUAUUGAAGAAGAUGACAUUGUUUUCAUCUUAUUAACAGUUGAAGAGAGAUGUCGUUGCUACAAUUGUUUAUGAACUGAGGCCAAAUCCUUCAGAUCACAAGUGAGUAUAUAAUUUGGUUUUUUAAAUGUCUAACUCUGGGGUUCUUUUCAAUCUUUCUAUUUUUUAAGUAUCGAAAGCUUGUAAAACGUACUGUGGAAGCAUCUGUACAAUGAUAAACUAAGUCAUGUUUGUUUGAAGUCUUGUAGUUCAAUCUCAAGUUGCUAAUGUGGUGUUUAUUAACAUAUCUGCAUCCUCGUGGAUAUAAUACAGAAAACUUAGCUCAAUAAUAAUUUCCCUCCUUUGUUACAAUAUAGCAAGAUUUAAUGUUCUGUUUCAUCAGUACUACACUGAUUACUCAAAUUUUACCAAAAAACUUUAAUGUGUUUGUACUGUUUAAUCCGUGUGUUACAGAUGAUCAAUAGUUUUCUUUGUUUGAAAAAAAAAAAAACUUUUCUUUGUUAGUAUUUCUUUGGUGAAGUCCUGCUUCUUUUUUGUCACUGUGGUUCGUUCGUUGGAAUUGUAUUAACGAGCUGAGGACAUCUAUAUGCAGGACACGGGCUGAAUUGGGAGGUGGCCUUUCACAGGUGGAAUGAGGUUUCCGCUGCAUGGACGGCUGUUAACUUUCUGAUGUAAAUUUCAUCCACAUAACCAAAGGAAACUCUAAAUCCGCUGUUUAAUUGGUCAUCUGUAAUCAAUAUCCAUCUGGAUUGAUAGACUAGAAGAUAAUCGGAAUGUUUUACUACUAACUCAACUGUGCGCCAACUUUUAUUUAUGGAUACUAUAUAGCACUUGCUGAAAGUUUGGUUCCAGGUCACCGGUUUUCUUAACGACUAUUGUCCUCUCUCCUUUUUUUCGGUAAAUUCUUGUUCGUUUUUCCUCUGAUUCCUCGUUGAAUUUAGUCACUACGUGGGAAGUUUUGGGAAGCUUUGAUAGACAAGGGGCAAAUUUCCAGAGGUUUUACAGGUAAGGAAUUCGUAUCAGUUGCAAACUUCAUUUAUGAGGGCGUGCAAAUCACUCCAGAAGCAGAAAGUACAACUAAGGGACAGUACAGUACUGGGCUACCAGCUUGUAAUUUUCCCUGCAACUAAGGGACUGCUGAUUUCAUUUGGGUCGAUAUUUCAUAUGUCAAGAGGGUAUUUCCUGCUAUCUGUGGCCUCUUUCAAAGAAUUCUAAAGCUCUCUGACUCGAAACCAAAUAUGUGCAGGCGAGGAGCAUUGGGAUUUAUUACAAGCGGGAGAAGUUUCUCUUGCGCGCCCUUCCACCUCUUCUUCUCUCUUGUUUCCUUUCAGGUUCGACUGGUUUUAUCUCAAAUCAAGGUUCCCCUUCUAUCAUGACACAUAAUCCACGCCCAGCCGAAUCUGUAAAUGGCAGUAUUAAUCUCUAAGCCCUCUCAAGUCAUAUGAGGUACCUAUCUUCGUCAUAGGAUGCAUUAGUGUCAUCCUUGUAUUUUUAACAUUGUCCCUUCCUAGGCUACAACUUCUUCCAAAACAGAAUUUUCAUCCAGUUGAAUUUCCCGUUUCAGGCAGAUGUCUUCUUCAGGGUGCUUAGUAAAAACGAGAAUAAACAGGAAGGGAGCAUAUAAACCAAAUUCCAGUAACGUAACUUAUAAUAAUGCAGACAUUCUGCUUGAAGAAACAUUUUGUUCUCUGCAACACCUAGAAUGAUUGGCUCAAGAAGCAUUGAAUUUUUCGUGCACAAACCACGAUCAUUUAUCCAUCUUCCCUAGGCUCGUCCAUUCGCAGAAUGCCAAUUGUAUCCUGAAGAUUCUUUCUACUUCACACGAGCUGUAUCAAAAUAUGCAACACCUAGAUUGUGAGGAGAAGAAAGCAAUGCAGGAUGGAAAAUCUAGAGGAUCAACAGCUCAGCUGGGUGGACACCAAGCUCCAAAAUCUGCAACCAGGACCUGGUAUGAUCUUUAGUCAAUGGUCAUGAGCCUAGACAGCUGUGAUGGUCGAAAUACAUUCUUGGAGUGCUCCAACGGCAGAGCAGAUGCCUGGAAGCAACCAGGAAGAAGAGAUGAUGAAGAAAGCUAGCUAAAACAUGCCUUUGAAAAGAUAAUUGCAUGCAAUUGUAUCUGGACACUGUAAAAGAAUCCCCAAAGUUGAACAAACAAUAACUGGGAGAAAAGCUCAGAAGCCAAGCGUAACAAAUACAUUUCAUCGAAGAACCAAAGCAUAAAAUUGGCUCUUCUUACAUGUUACUCUUCAUCAUUGCUUAUAUUUUAAAUGCCUAAAAGCUGGCACAAAACUGACAUCUGGGGAAAAUGCCUCCCCUGCAGCAGUUGGAAACAGCACGAGCAUGAUAAGUUGCGCAAGGGAAAGAGAGCUCCAUUUCACAUGGAAAUCCCAUUCCAAACAACGUAAACACCUAGUAAAACACACUUUGACAAGUAUGUUUGAGGUGCAAUAGAAAGCAGAAAAAAAAAUUAAAAUGACUUCAGAAAUGGUGGAUUGUAUCGACUGAGAAUACAGAGUGGAAAUACUAUGAUCUUAAGAUUUAGCCACUCUAAAUUUGAAGGAAGUAGUGGAAAUAACUAAAUUCCUCCAAUCGUGAUAAGUAGCACUUUAUAGGCACCAUGCAAAAGGUGGCUUGUUAUUGCAAAACAAGAACAAAGCCCCCGUGUCUGACGGAGUGCCUUUUGUCAAACCUCGCAACCAAGACAAAGAAUGCAGAAAGCUGAUCGAAAUGCAGAGAUAAUAAUUUGUAUCCGAGCUAUUGUGUCAAGAAACAAUAAGGAAUGAAUUUCAUGGAUCUUCAGCCCGGAAAAAUAUGAUAUAGGCUCAAUGCGGCAGACGGGUUGCCAUUGAUAUGGCACCUGCUGUUGACUCGAUGAUAGAGCCAUAGAUUAUUAAGCACAAAUUCAAGAACCACCAAAUCCCAUUAAAUUUCUCCACCCUUUUUCGAUCACAAUACAUGAUCUACUCCUGAAACAAAAUAGGCCAGUCUUAGACGUGCAAUCUCGAUAUCGCACAAACUCUUUCGUUUUCUUACUUUUUCUUCCGUAAAUUUGUAAUUACAUUCUCAUGUUAUGGGUAAGAUUGGCAAGGGAGUGUGUAACUCUAACAUUAUUCACCUGCACAGAAGCGGGCAAAAUUAGCAUCAAGAAAGAAUCUGAUUGAAGGCCAGUGUGUGGAACCCUGCUCCAUGGUGCCCGGCUGGGAGCAGAAAGUGUUUGCUAAAUAAGAAGUUUGUGAGUGACCGACCUUGCAACUCACUCAGAGGUUAGAUUGAAAUUAAGGUUAUCCGGGAUGAUUGCUAGUUUGCCACCAUCCCUUCUGCGGCUGAGAUGAUGGUAAGGUGAUGGGUCGGGGAGCAGCAGAGAGGAGGAGAAGAGACAGAGAGUAUUCAUUGGGGAUGGUGACAGGCUCGCGGAUGCAUCUAUAAAGAACAGAUUGGCGAGGGAAACCCUAAUGUUGGAAUCAAGUAGGAAUUUACUUGGAAGGACAAAGAUACCAAACAUAUUACGUUCCAGGUCCUACUAGAUUGUAGUGAUUAGGGAUGGCAACGAGGCGGAGUUGGAGCGGGGACCCCUCCCCCAUCCCCCGUCCCGCUGCCUACAAACUUCCCCCGUCCCAUCCCCCGUUCCCCGUCCCGCUUCUUCCACGGGGCUAAUAAAAAUUUAUUAUUAAUUUUAUUAUAGUUAAAUUUUAGCAAAUAAUCAAAUACUAAAAUAUCAACACAUCAUCAAAUUAUUAUUCAUUGUAAUUUUACAAUUGAAACUUAUAAAAACAAUCAAAUAAAAAUUAUUUGAAUACAAUCCAACAUGAUGAAAUAAAUAUAACUAAAGUAGUCAAGUUUUCACUUUUGUACAAAUACAAUCACUAAUUCAUUAUUGUGCUUGUACUUUUUUUAAGAAAAAAAUAUUAUUGUAUUAAGUAUAAUUAGGGAUUUAGUAUAAAUGUAUUAGUAGAUUUAGUAUAAAUAAUUAAUAAUUUAUAUUAGUACACAUAUGUAAUUAUUAGUAUAAUUAAUAAUAUUAAUUAUAUUAUAUAUACUAAUAGACAUUAUAUAAUACAUAUAACUAAUAAUAUCAUUAUCAUAAGUUUAUAACUAAUUAAAUUAUAUAUUAUAUAUAAUUAUAUACAUAUAUAUUUAUAUUUUUUUUUUAAACCAGCCCCGUUUCUAAGCGGGGGGAAAAAUUUUCCCUCGCCCCAACCUCCUCCCCAUUAACCCCCGUGGGGCGGGUGCCCGCCCUUAUUGCCAUUCCUAGUAGUGAUGGUAAAGGUCCUGCUGUUGUGGUAAAAAGCGAAUUACUUCAUAAGAACUCCUUUAUAAGCAAUCUACAAUUUCGAAAACAUAUUUUUAUCCUAAUACUGAUAAAUAUUGAACCUAUCCAAAACUUUUAUUUAUACCAAAAAAAAGUGGGAAAGUGAGUUUACCGUGCCAAUAUACCAUUUACAUCCUGUUUGAGAUUGCGAUGGCUUACAAAAAAAAAAAAAAAAAAAAAAAAACUUUUGGUACAAGUGCUUUUAAAUGACUAAAAAUUGGACUCUUUAAAUCACGAAAAAUUAGUUAUCAAACACUUUAGAAGCACUUUUAGUGCUUAAAAGCAUUUUCUUUUUAAUAAACGCACCGCAAUCCUAAACGAGUCCUUAGAAAAAAAUCUAUUCGUUAUUCUUUAAGUGCUUUUUUUUUCAACAAUAAUUUUAUUUCACAUAUAUCAUACAAGCUUUUACAUAUUUUCUCAUAGAAAAUGAGUAUUCUUUUCUUCUUCUUUUUUCCCUGGUUUUUUGGCUUGAACAUCUUAUUCUCACUCACUAGUAUUCAGUUUUGUAUCUUUUUUAAAAAAAAAUUUGAAGAAAACCGAUUUAGCUCUAAUGGAAAAAAUAUUCCUUUAAGUAAAUAAUCUAGUAUGGUAAUUGGUAAGUUUCUCCCCUAAAAAGAACUUAAUGGUGUAUUCUGUUUUACCAUGAUAUUACUUCAGUUGAUAUUCUUGGAGCAUGAAUUAAUUUGGAAAAUGUGAUAAAUAUUCCUUUUGUUCUUUAACUAAUUCAUCAAAUUGAAUAAUUUUGAUUUUACAAACAAUUUCUUAGGAUUCAUUACUAAAAUAUGUCAUACGUAUUUUUCAAAAAUUGAGAACAUUAAAAUACACUUCCAUUCUCUCAUAAGUAUUUGCAUCAAAAGGGAUCAAGCUAAGAACCUUAACCCAAGCAUCCAACUAGUACGUGGUUCUUGCACAGGCAAGCAGGAGAAUUUAGGAUCGAUCAAAUACUCAAUACCCUGGUAAAGUUGAGCUUCUGAUUCAGACAAGCAGGUGGUUUAGGAAUGGGUCAACUUCAGAAAAUCGACUUCAUUUUAUACUUUAUUCAUCAUCUUGUGAUUAUUAAUCUUUCUUGUAGUAUGAGAUAUUUACUUCUUCUUUUUUUUUUUGUUUGGCUAUUGAACGGACUAGACUUGGUAAUUGAUUAUAACAUCCACAGUUACUUAUGAUGGAAAUAGUAAAAUGUUAUACUUCGAUGGAUUGAGUGAUACGAAGAAAGCUAAUAUAAGUGAGAGUUCUUGGUUCGAAACCUACCGCUUAUAUUAAAAAAAAAAUUAUUAAAAGAAAAGAUGUCAUACUUCAAUCACAAUGAAAGAACUGCAAAUUCAGUGGAUGUUAUACUUCGCCAAUAGUUUGGGGUACACAAAUACAUGGAUUAGUUAUGGAGUCAGUAAACUAUAUGAUUAAAAUGAUAGUGAAAGUGUGAUUAACAAAUUAUCCGAGCAUACUAAUUAUCCGAUUUAGUUACAUGAUUUGUAGAAAUAUAAUCUCAGUGAGUUUGAUCAUGGAAGGCAAGAUUAAAAAAUUACUUUUGAAACACCCAAGUUUAUGAAAUUGAGACUUUAGAACUAUAUGAUUAGAUUACUUCGAAACAUCCCAAGCAUACAUAUGAAAUCGAGCAACUUCAAAACUCGCCUACGCUGUCUUGGUUUGGAUAUCAAGAGCAAUAAAACGUACAUAAAAGCCGCUGAAUUAUUACAUGGGAAAUGUUACUUGGACUCCAUAUUUUGUUAUUUGCACUCCCACCUUUUGUUAUAUUGUAUAAUCUAUAAAUGAAAACUAUAUAAUAAAAAUGAUAGUGGGAUUGCAAAUAACAAAAAAAAGAGUGUAAAUAACAUUUCCCUAUUACAUUGAAGACAAACAAGUAACAACAGGGGAAGGAUGGAUUGGAUAAUUCGAAAAAGAAAAUAUAAGUGACAGGUUCCAAAUUCGAAAAUCUCCUACAAGCACUGUAAACAAAAGGAUUAAUCUUUCCCUACAUUGUCAGCGUUGGAUGAAUGACAACUAUGUAAAAUUUGAAUUUGAAAUUUAACUUUUGCACAGAUGUCAUGAAUCUAAUUGUGAUAGUGUAUAUACUGUCAGUGUAUAUAUAUUUCGGUAACGCAUACACAAAUGCUGCUAGCUACUUAUUGCACCAAUAACAAGCAUACACAAAUGCUGUUGACAUGCACAAAUGCUGCUAACUACUUCCUGCAUCAAUAACAAGCAUACACAAAUGGUGCUGGCUACUUAAUGCUGUUUGACAUACACAGAUGAUGCUAACUACUUUUUGCAUCCAUAACAAACAUGUGGUGCUAACUACGUAUUGCACCAAUGACAAGCAUACACAAAUGCUGUUGACAUAAACAAAUGCUGCUAACCACUUAUUGCAUCCAUAACAAAUGUGUAAGUGUAUUUUAUGGAUAGCUUUUUUUUUUUUUUUAUACAUUGUCAAAGUAUAAUUUUUUUUUUUACACUAACAGCUCUUAGAUCAUAUUAUAUAACAUAAAUUUAAAUUUAAAUUUCGAAUCAUAUAUAUUAGAUAUACAUCCAAAUCUGCUAGUAUAAAAAAUUAUUAUACUGUCAGUGCAUAAAAAGUUAAUCGGUAUUUUAUAUCCAAAAAAAAUUUUAAAUACCAUUUGCUUAUUUUAAUAUUUAACCUAAAACAACUUUUUAUCCCCAGUACCAAUUUAAAAAUAGAUUCCUCCAUUUUUUUUCCUUUUGUAUUUGCAUGUGUAGAGAAAGCUCCUCAAUCAGCAAAUAUUAUUGUUUAUGCAAUUAGCUUGGCACAGAUAGUUUGGACCAGUUUUUCAAUGCAAAUUAUUCACCUUUUAAAGUUAUUAAAGUUUCUUUUCCCAUAAGAAAUGGUUUAAUUUCAUGAAUGAGUGGGGGCAGUGCCCAAGAAAAUUUUAUGAUACGAGUGACUCCACCCCUUUCAAAUUAUGACAUCGUUUGGCAAGCAAGUUUUUGAUUAAAUUUGUCUGUUACAAGUUUUUUUAACAACUUUAACUAUAAUAAUUUCAAAAAAUAAUUUCGAACUUUUUAAACUAUACAUCUCAAAAUAUCCAAAAAAUUAUACACUUUAAAAAUAUUUUCUACAACUUCUACAGUAAGUUACAUUAAAAUUUUAGAUAAACACCCAAAAGACUCACUUGCCAAACAGGGCCUAUGGAUAUGUAAAGUACUAUAAUAUUUGAUAACUAACUAAUUAUUCAAAACAAUGAUUCUGAUUAAUAACUAACUCAUUUUGUACCACGCAAUUUAAAGAAACUUCAAUAACUUGUAUUAUUAAAGAGAAUUUAUGUUGUAGAGAUUUCUUUUUUCUUUUGUUUUUUUUCAUUCUUUAGAUUGACGUCGAUGCUGAUGUUGGAUGUAAGCAAGUAACUAAUUUUGUCUGAUUGUUAUUUGACCUCUUUUGUUAUAAUCAAAUUACCAUUUGACCCCAAUAUUUUUAGCUAUAAUAUUCUAUCCCUUUGAUCAAAAAGAGUUUGAAUGCAGUGAGAAGUUUGCUUGUGCAAUAGCACAAAAUCUCUGUCCUCAGCUAGCAAAUUAAAAGAAAUCUGGCCUCAACUAAGAAAUUAAAAUCUGGCAUCAGCUAAUAAAAGCAAGUAAUCUGGCCUCAACUAAUUAAUGACAGAAAAUUAAAUAAGAAGUCACCGGAGUGUUUGACAGGCCGUGGGUGAAAUGGAGAGCAGGGUAGGACCUAGUACGCGCGUGUGUCGCACGCACUCUGGCAAGCACGUGGAGGCUGAGUUGCUGCUCUACCACUCUUGUUGCGUGAGGAGGCUCGGCUGGAGGCGCGAACUGCUGGGCUUGGUCUCCUGAGGAGCUGGAUCUGCUCACGGUGGAGUCGCACAGGAAGCUGCUGAUGGCUGCUGGUCCGUGCAGCGCGCAGCGUGCUGUGCGCCUGGCCGCUGGGCGCGCAGGAGGCGAGCUGCUGGCACGGGGAGUGCGAGCUGCGCUCGCGCGAGGCUGGGCGCUGGGGUGCAGGCGACGGGCUGGAGGGGGUUGAGCUGAGCUGGAGGACAGAGUGGUGGCUUGCAGGCUGGUAGAGGUGGGCAGCCGCGCGAGGAGAGAGAGAGAUGGGGUGUUGGCGGCGCGCGACUGGGGACGCACUGAAGCAGGCGGCGGCGUGUGAAGAGUGGCGACCCGGUGGACUGCAGCAGCGGCGGCUGAGGUUGACUGCACGGCGGUGGUCGUGGGCUGUGGGAGGAAGCGCAGGUGGGGAUGGCGCAACGGGCUCGCAGGGGAGAGGGCUGCGCGCGAGGGCUGCAGCGUGCGGCUGAUGAAGGAAUAGAAGGAAAAGGGGAAACAGGGGAGCGGUGGAGAAGAAGAAGAAAAAGAAAGAAAGAAAGAAAGAAAAAGAAAAGAAAGAAAGAGAAAGAAAUUUUUUUUUUUUUGUUUUUUUUUUUGGGAAUUUUUAUUUUUAUUUUUUAAUUGAAUUGAGAUUGGAAAAUUCGAUUUUUGAAUACCAAAACUGAAAAUGAAGAAAGAAAUUACUUUUAUUUAAAGAAAGAGAAAAAAAAAAUUUUUUAUUUUUUGAAAGUGAAAAAUUAUUUCCUUUGUUUUUGGGUCAUCAAACAUGGCGUGGGCACGCCACGAUAGAAGCGCAAUGGGCCACUGAACAUUUCGAGAGUUACCUUAGCGGCAGCUUUAACCAAGCGUGCCCUCUCGCGUGGGACGCCAAGAAAUUAAACGCUAUCCUGACAGAGUUAGAAAAGCAUCAAGAGUGACUAAGUACCACGUGAGAAAUCGACAUAAUUAAAAUAAUUAAGCACUAAACAAUAAAACCAAUAUUUGGGUUGCCUCCCAAAAAGCGCCUUUCUUUAAUGUCUUUGGCUAGACAUUAUCAUGUUUUGCUCAUGGAGGAUAAAAUCUUGUGGCUCGUUUCAAUGCUUCAUCUUCAAUGUGAUCCUGGUAACCCUCAUAGAUGGAGUAAUCUUUGAACACACGAGCUACGUGCUUCCAUGGACUAGUUGAUGGCACAAAAUAAUCAAACAUUGAUCGCAAUUCUUCAUCCACUCCUCCAUCAAGAGCAUUCAACGGUUCAAGAUAUUUGACCAUAACUACUCUUAACUCAUUCCUGCCAUGAGACUCAAGAACUUCCGGUAUAACAAAAUCAAUCUCAUUAACAGAAAUCAUAGAGUCAGAGUUAAGAAAAUACGGGUUAGGGAAUGGAGAUGGUGUCACCACAUUUGAUGAUUCUUCACUGGAUUCUUUCACUUGAAUGGGUUGCUGUUGGAGUUCCAUUUCUUCCUUUUCGGCUUCUUUUUCAACUGCAUCUGUACGUCUCUCUUCUUGAAAAUCUUGCAGCUCCUCAUCACUAGUCAGGCGAAUUGCACUCUCAUUUUCAACAAUGGUUUUCGAGGGCAAUUCUUCAAAUUGAGAAGCCAGUCGAUUUAUUCUGGAUGUCAAUAGACACAUUUGAUCUUCCAGAUUACUCAUUGCCUCCUUCAUCAUCUCAUUUCUCCUUUGUGUCUCCUGUUGGAAUUGAUAUGUAUUAAUAGCUAUUGAUUCAACUAUUUCUUCAAGAGACAUACCUGACAUAGAUGAUGAUUCUUGAGACUCAUACGGCUGAAAAUUCAUUGGCCCUGUCGUAUAAUUAUAACUGGAGUUAUCCCACCAUCCUUGAUCAUACCCGUUUGGAUUAGGGUUAUACCACGUUUGAGACCAGGGUGAAAAAUCUCCAUAAUUAUUGGGUGGGGCACUCAGAUUAUCUUGACAUUCGGGGCACAUACCGGUUGAAUGAUCUCUGGCAUAACAAAUUUUACAGGUUGCAGCAGCCAUUCUUUCUCUAAUAGAGUUUAGUGCCUCUGAAUAAGCAAACUUAGCAAAAAAACUAGCCUCAUUGUCUUCCCUGAAAACAAAAUCCAGUCUAUCACCAAAAUACGGAGUGUUAGAAGCCAUAAACUAUAUAAAAAAAAAUAAGAGAAAAAUAAACAAAUAAAAAUAAAAACAAGAUGAACUCAAAAAGAGACAAAUUAAUCUGACACCAGUCCCCGGCAACGGCGCCAAAAAUUGACAGGUGCCGAACCUGUACAAUAAUAAAUACCUACUCGAGAAAAAUACAGAUUUUGUAUAUAGCGGUGAGUAGGAUCGAAUCCACAGGGACUGGGGAUAAUUCGUUUCUUCUAGAGUCCAAAGUAUGGGGGGUUUUGGAUUAAAUGCUAACUAAAUAAAUUAACUGCGGAAAAUAAUUAAUUAAAAGAAAUGAUUGAAGAAACUCUAGCCAAGGGUACACUUCAGAAAUGGUUCAUGCACUGAUCAUUGAUGCAGAAAUAAUUCCAACAUUUAGCAAUAGAUUAGUUAUAGUUGUCAUGCACGCGAUAAACAACCAACCCUUCCUUAAUUUCUCGAUAGCUAAGGUACGACCGUUAGCUAUUUCUCUAACCCAAAAAUAACCCUAGGUACGACCGUAGGAUUUAAUUUCUAGAUUGCAUUAAUAAUUAGAAAGGCCCAAUCCUAACCAACAAACACGCUACGAGGGUUUGUUUAAAUUAGAUCAUAUGCUCCCCUGACAUAAACCCAAUUACGCCAGUUGCUACUGAGGUAGAGAUAACGAACAAUUACGGAUUCAAUUACCCCUAUUUAGCAAAAAUAGCCUAUAUGAAUAAUUAAUUAUUGCGCACUAAUCAAUCAUACACAAGGCCAUAGCAAUUAAAAUCAAGGAACGUAUAAAUACCAAUAAAUGAAGAAAAUAAUUAAAACAGAUUCGAUCUCACAGUAAUUGUCGAACCAAAUCGUCAGUUGUCCCCUUGACUAGAAAAGCUUAACCACGCCUCAUGAGAAAAUCUCCCCGUUGGGGAAUAUUGUCGAAUACCUGGCGUGUGUCAGAGGCCAGUCCAAAGAAAGAAAACUAGAACUAAACUAAAAAACUAAAACUAAAGCCCUAGAUAUCUCUUGCUUCUGUACGUUGUCCCCUUUUAAAGCAACAAAAGAAAGAUGACUAAAAGCUAUCUAGGUGGUCCCCACACAUGUGGACAAAGCCUCCCAGUACUUCUUGUUCCAAGUCUCUCUACGUUGCUUUCUUUUGAAGCCCAAAUGACCAAAUUCCUUUCACUAGCUUGUGGUCCCCCACCAAUUCAAGGGCCCAAGGAUUGAAGCCCUUAGAAGUCUCCAUAUUUUUCACAAAGUCCCUCCUUUUUGGUAGUUUUCUGCUUCAUUCCUGAAAUUGAUUCCAAAUACCAAAUAUGAGUAAAUAUCAGCAAUUAACACAAUAUUUGUCAGGGAUAGAAGGGAAAAUUAAUAAUAAAAAUACUAACAAAUUAUACCCUAUCAGUGAGGUAGCUUAUGAACCUAGAUUGGGGACUGGUCACGACCCUGUGUUGCGUGGAGUAGACCCAGAGGACUGUAUAGCACGAGGGGAGGAAGGCAGUGUGGUGCAGAUGCCUGCUUCAGCAGGAAAUCUCUCAUCGCGAGGUCAGCCUACUAUUGAGGUGGUUCUACCUACCAUCUCAAAUGAUGAUCAGUGUGCGAGGGGUGACUCACUCCAGAUGGUCCGAAAGCACAAGGGCUAUCACUCAAUAGUCCCAACAGAUAGAACCCUCCGCUCUUCAGUACCCAAACCGCAGAAUUCCUUUCAAGCAUUGUCUGAUGAUUAGCUCACUCUUCUGGAACAUAAGAGGUUUGUCCAAACCUUCUCAUUUAAGACGUCUUCGUAGAAUUAUUUCGCAAAAUCAUAUUCAGCUAUUGGUAGUUUGUGAAACUCGAGUAAAUUUUAUGCUUGUGAAAGGUUUUAGGCAAAAACUCCAUUUUAACACUGUAGUUAGUAAUAAUUCUGGCUCUUUAUGGUUGUUUUAUAAUGACACGUUUAAGAUCGUCAUGGUGGGGGAGGGGGUACAGCAUGCCUCGUUUCUUGUUUACCAUAAUUGCCUGCCCAUCCCUUUGACUGUCUCCGUCGUCCAUGCUUUGUGCACGAGGGAGGAGAGACGGGCAUUGUGGAGUGCUCUGAUGAGAGACAAGCCUUUGCAUGAGCCAUGGUUUGUUGGUGGGGACUUUAACGUUGUGGUUGAUGCGGGGGAAAAGGAAGGAGGACUGCCUUUUCGUUUAUCGGAGGCGCUCGAUUUCUUGGACUUCAUGUCCUCUGCGGAGUUGUUUGAUGCUGGUUUCUUUGGUUCAUCGUAUACAUGGUGCAAUAAUUGCAUGGGUCGGGCAAGAAUUUGGAAGCGUUUGGACCGGCUCUUAAUUAAUGCCUCAUGCCAUGAUGCUGGACUCGUAGUGUUCGUCUCCUAUUUAGCUAGGGACCCCUCAGAUCACUCCUCUCUUUUGUUCUCUGUCAGGACACGGGUGGAUGGGAAGCCCCGCCCUUUUUGUUUUAUAAAUGUGUGGACAUCCUAUGUUGGCUUUAGGGAUGUGGUUCAAGCAUCCUGGCAGAAAGGGUAUUCCGGUUUUCCUCUCCAAAUAGUUUGUUCUAAGUUGUCCCGUCUAAAAGCGAAUAUAAAAAGUUGGAAUAAACAGUCCUUUGGUAACAUAUUUGGUAAUACAAGGCGGGCAGAGGAGGUGGUACUUGUAGCGGAGAAGCGGGUAGAGGAGGAUGGGUCAACUGAAACCCAGGAGGAUUUACUGUGACAGCCCCACCUCACCCUAAGACGAACCAAAGGGUUCGGCGUACCGCCUGCCCAACUCUCGCCAGAACUACGGAGUCGAAUCACACAAACCCGAUAUAGCGCACAAACGAAUCCCCAAGAGAACAAUCAGUCGAAAACUACUAAGUUGAGAAGCAUGAGUUCUACACCGUCAGGUACCAUCUCAAAUGAAUACACUGAAUGUACAUGAUAAAACACUUAUAUACAUACAUCGAAAACUUUACGAUUAAAAGCGGGAUACUUCAUUCAAAGACACUUUGUGUUUUGAUUACACAACAGCUAACAAAAGAACGUUUACACCAGCUCAACCCUUUUCUCAAAAUCACGGCUCAAAGUGUGGUUCCCUGUAAGGAAAACAAAGAUAACGGGAAGGGGGUGAGUUUACACUCAAUGAGGUACCAAAAUAAUAGCAAGCAAGAAUCAUGAAAUUUCAUAUUCAAUUAGUCACAUAUGCAAAUCAAAUAAAGAAAUGAACAACACCAUAGAUAGAAAGGAUACGGGUGGCUCUCAGGAGCCAAAUUCCCAUUUGCUUCACCGAAACUUGAUCAAAUAAUUGUUGACACUCCGUCAACUUCCAAAUAAAGUAACCAGUUCAGUCCAGUAGAGCACCACUUUGCACCAAAAUCUCGAUCACCACACAUACCCCUUACCGGGCCCGAACACCUCAACAGAAACAGAAGUGGUAAUACUCGAGUAUACCGGAAUCAAGGGUUUCAAUACCCAAAGAUUCCUAAAACAGACUACUGUGGUUCGUUAUCUAAUCGACCAGACCCUUGCCGGCUUGACUCGAGUAACUAGCCACAGGUAUUGAGCUCAGAGGUCACAAAAAAGUCGUUGGAUAUCAGCCUCCAAACGACGUCCGAACAAACUCAGAUACAGAUAACAGAUUGCACACAGUAAAUCGGCAUACAGACAGAUAAGAGAACGAGUGUGAUAAAGUACACUCUCGUCUCAAACAGAAUAAACAGCUAGGACAGUCAUUCAAAUCACAGAUUGCAAAUACAGAAACCAAGUUAAGCAACAAAUGAGGGGAGUGGUACACUCACCAAUUCAAGUAAAACAAAUUCAAACUUUCCCCCCCGAAGUACUUCCUGGAUCACCAACACAUCCUAAAAUGAUCAAAAUAAAAUAAUUAUGGUUCCUAUGGGAAUGACAUUCACAAAUGAAACUCAACUAUGAGUCGUAUGCCUAACCAAACGAACUACAAAUGCAAGGGUGCAAAACCGUGAUUUUGGAACGAAAAGAUACCAGAGGACCUAGGGUUUGAACGACCCAAAAGCCCUUCAUUUCUACCAAAAGGUAACUCAAACUUAAAAAAACCAAACGGCCUAGAAAAUUGGACAGCAUAUCCCCUACAUAUCCUUACUUUUCCAUCCUGCAAGCAACACCAAUUCAUCUCAAAUCAACCACAUACACAGCAUAGACUCUAAAAUACACCUUUCGGCACAAUAAACACAAUUGAAACUACACUUAUCGGAUUGAAACAAAUUUUAUGGCGUUUCGAAGCCAAAAUAUAUACCUACAUUUCUUAUGAAGACCUUCAAAGCCAAAUCAUGCAUUUUCAUGGUCAAAAAUGAAAAUUUCCACGAAAACAUAAAUCUGUCCGUGAAACAGGGCUCUUGGGCAGUCAAGGGUAUUUCUAUCAGUUCACAUACUACAGUGCUCUGAUUGAGCUGAAAAUUUACAGGUAGCUAGCUAACGUAAUUACCAACAACUUUCAUGUUUUAGGUAAGAGUUGAUUCGGCCUCCAUCAUGGACUAACAGGUUUAGGAAGAAUAGGGUAGGAUGAAACCCUAAACUGGAAAUUCCGCAUAAACUCUGAAAUUUUCCGCAAACAACCGCAACUAACAUAUAAAAGCUUCAUUUUACACCAUAUCAAGCUAUCAUUCAUGGCCAACCAAUAGCUAUCUUGUAAAAUCAGAAAAAAAAACACAAAUAAAAUCUGAAAUUUAACUAACUCUACCUCAAACCACAAAAUCUUCCAUAAACUAGCAUAUUUAGUCACUACAAACUACUAAUUGACCAUUAUUAGGAACAAAAGUGAGUUUCCAAGCAAAAUACCUUAACACCCCAAGAAAGGUAGUAGCUUAGAUUUCUUUCUUCCAAAACAACUCGACCAAGUCCUUGAAACACCCUUAGCAAGUCAUUUUUAUGGACAAAUUCAAGAUUUAAUCGGUUGAUUUGCAAGAUCCAUGCAAGAAAUGAAAGAUAUAAGUUGAGGGUUUUCUUUCUUUUCCUCCCUAAGAGGUUCGGCCAAGAUGAGUAGAAAUAAGAUGAUUUUUGGGUCAAAAUUGAGGUAUUAGUAAAGGUGAGAAAAGUAGUCAAAGUCUAAGUUCAAAUAGGAAAGUGACACCUAGCACCUUUAGGGUUUAAACUUAUCCUUUUGUCUCUCCAAAAUUAAUCAUCUAAAUAACUUCUAAUUAUCUCUUAACACCUAGUAAAUUAAUUCCAGUAUACAAAACGUAACCUAAUUGGUGGAAUUUAUCGCACUUAACGCCACUAGCGGGUCCCACGUCCAAUAUACACUUUUUACUUCUCAUGAACUAACUUAUACUAGAAAAAUGAUUCAAAAACUAUUUUGACUUAUAAAAAUCUCAAAAAAAUCAAUAUAAUAGGGUAUAACGAAGAAAAUGCAUGCGAGAAAAUAAAAUAAAAUAAUAUAAAAUAAGAAAAAUUUACGGGUCCUCACACUCUCUCCCCCUUAAGGAAAUUUCGUCCGCGAAAUUUUCUUCACACGGAAUCUAUCAAAAUCUGCACUAGACGGCGGAUCAUACCUUCUAUGUUCUCAGACGAGUCAGAGACCUGAAGUUGCUCUAGGGAAUUCACCCAAGCUGGUACUUUCAAUCCAGUCCCUUUCCCUUUUGUAUGUCCAGGGUUAGUCUUGCUUGGUUGCUGGGUUCUUUUCCCUUGGCGUAGUACAACUGGGCAGUUAGCAAUCCGAUGAUUGGCACCCCCACAACGCAAGCAUUUUCCCCUUCUUUUCCAACAAUUCACCUCAGUAUGAUUGAUUUUUCCACAAUAGCCACAAGAGAGGUAUGGAAUUGAGAUUUGAUCUCUUGGUGAGGCCCUUCUCGGAGUAUCUUCUUUAGGUGACCCCAAAAUUCUCACACCACUAGUUCCCCUACCUACCUUAGCGGGUGGCCUACCUGGAUCACCUUGUUCUUGCCUAUGAAUUUCACUAAGUGCACCCCUUUUCUUUGCAUGGAAGGUCUUCACCUGUGCACCUGAAAUUUUUAGCCUUUGGCUUUUCUCUGGCACUUCCGUAAAUGUAUUAAUUUGUGGCCUUGCUAAAGUCUCUGCUAAAAUCCCUUCGCAUUGCUUUUUCAGUCCUAUGUUCUCGUGCAAUAACUCAAUUUUCUCUGAGUAUUCAUGUUUCCAUCGCUCUUCCCAGUACUCGGCUAAUCUCUUUUGAACCUCUACUUCGUUUCGAAGCAUCUCGAUUUCCUUAUACAUACCAACCAAGUGUGCCAUCUCACAGUUUCGGUGGAACUCAAGUGAUAGCCUGCCAGGCAAGUUAAUGAAUCAUAAUAAGUAACUAGGUAUAAGUGGCAAUCUAACCAUAUAACUGUUAAGUUCCUUUGCUCCAAAUUUAACUACGGAAGAUUAAACUUAGAUAUGCUCAAAUGAAAUAGGCGGGAAAGUAGAACAUAGUUAAGGCAAUAUCUUAAGAUACUAUACCACGUAUCACGUAUAUACAUAUUGAAACCUUAAAGCAUACUUCGUAUAUCAAGAGUGUCACACCUUAUGCCACAUUUUUGUUUCCAAAAUCCCUCUACCUACUUCCAAAACUCUCAAUCUCGGUACGCUACUAAUCAAGCCAAGUUCAUACGAGAACAUUAGUAGAUAGGUAUCAAGGAAUUAUAGGCAAGGGUAGUUCGUCGAGGACCAAUCUACGGUUAUCAGAUAUCCAAAGCGAGGUAGAGACCUAGAUCAUUGUAGUCAGACCAUCUCAAAUCAAAUAAACACUUAUCAAUUCCUCACAGUCAUAGCAAAAGAAAACAGGUCUUAGGUGUGAAUUCCACAAUGUACCCUGCAAUCUAGUCACCUUCUAGAAAACCCUAGCCAGACUAGUAUGAGAUUAGUCCAUGAUAACACUUUCAGAUCCAACCCCCUCGAUUAGGUUAAUUACUAGGUCCAAUAUACAGAUCUUCCGUGCCUUGUUCUUGGCCAUCAAGACUUACCUCAAAUUCAAUCAAGAGACAGACCCUUAUUCUAGCGCUCUCCACCCUUUGGUACUCAGGUCCAAGAAUCUAAAACAAGAUAAUUCACAAUUCGAGCCAGCCGGUCCCAAGAGUACAUCAUCCAUAUUAAAGAUUCCUACCCGACAUACAUAACUAUUGUCCCCAAAGUACCAGAAAAAAGGGUUAAACCUAGAACGUUUCAUGAUUCAUAACUUAUGCUCAAAAGAGUCCUUAAUCCUUUACACCCAUUCACGAAAUUAGGAUCAUAACACCAUUUGGCCCAAACUCACUCCGCGCAGAGAUCACUCGAAAUGGUUCUGAUACCACCUGUGACAGCCCCAUCUCACCCUAAGGUGAACCAAAGGGUUCGGCGGACCGCCUGCCCAACUCUCACUAGGACUACAGAGUCGAAUCACACAAACCCGAAAUAGCACACAAACAAAUCCCCAAGAGAACAAUCAAUCGAAGACUACUAAGUUGAGAAGCAUGAGUUCUACACCGUCAGGUACCAUUUCAAAUGAAUACACUGAAUGUACAUGAUAAAACACUUAUAUACAUACAUUGAAAACUUUAUGAUUAAAAGCGGGAUACUUCAUUCAAAGACACUUAGUGUUUUGAUUACACAACAGCUAACAAAAGAACGUUUACACCAGCUCAACCCUUUUAUCAAAAUCACGGCUCAAAGUGUGGUUCCUUGUAAGGAAAACAAAGAUAACGGGAAGAGGGUGAGUUUACGCUCAAUGAGGUACCAAAAUAAUAACAAGUAAGAAUCAUGAAAUUUCAUAUUCAACUAGUCACAUAUGCAAAUCAAAUAAAAAAUGAACAACACCAUAGAUAGAAAGGAUACGGGUGGCUCUCAGGAGCCAAAUUUCCAUUUGUUUCAUCGAAACUUGAUCAAAUAAUAGUUGACACUCCGUCAACUUCCAAAUAAAGUAACCAGUCCAGUCCAGUAGAGCACCACUUUGCACCAAAAUCCUGAUCACCACACAUACCCCUUACCAGGCCCGAACACCUCAACAGAAACAGAAGUGGUAAUACUCGAGUAUCCCGGAAUCAAGGGUCUCAAUACCCAAAGAUUCCUAGAACAGACUACUGUGGUUCGUUAUCUAAUCGACCAGACCCUUGCCGGCUCGACUCGAGUAACUAGCCACAGGUGUUGAGCUCAGAGGUCACAGAAAGGUCGUUGGAUACCAGCCUCCAAAUGACGUCCGAACAAACUCAGAUACAGAUAACAGAUUGCACACAGUAAAUCCGCAUACAGACAGAUAAGAGAAUGAGGGUGAUAAAGUACACCCUCUUCUCAAACAGAAUAAACAGAUAGGACAGUCAUUCAAAUCACAUAUUGCAGGUACAGAAACCAAGUUAAGAAACAAAUGAGGGGAGUGGUACACUCACCAGUUCAAGUAAAAUAAAUUCAAACUUUCCCCCCCGAAGUACUUCCUGGAUCAUCAGCACGUCCUAAAAUGAUCAAAAUAAAACAAUUAUGGUUCCUAUGGGAACGACAUUCACAAAUGAAACUCAACUAUGAGUCGUAUGCCUAACCAAACGAACUACAAAUGCAAGGGUGCAAAAGCGUGAUUUUGGAACGAAAAGAUACGAGAGGAUCUAGGGCUUGAACGACCCAAAAGCCCUUCACUUCUACCAAAAGGCAACUCAAACUUAAAGAAACCAAACGGCCUAGAAAAUUGGACAGCAUAUCCCCUACAUAUCCUUACUUUUCCAUCCUGCAAGUAACACCAAUUCAUCUCAAGUCAACCACAUACACAGCAUAGACUCUAAAAUACAUCUUUCGGCACAAUAAGCACAACUGAAACUACACUUAUCGGAUUGAAACAAAUCUUAUGGCGUUUCGAAGCCAAAACAUAUACCUACAUUUCUUAUGAAGACCUCCAAAGCCAAAUCAUGCAUUUUCAUGGUCAAAAAUGGAAAUUUCCACGAAAACGUAAAUUUGUCCGCAAAACAGGGCUCUUGGGUAGUCAAGGGUAUUUCGAUCAUUUCACAUACUAAAGUACUCCGAUUGAGCUGAAAAUUUAUAGGUAGCUAGCUAACACAAUUACCAACAACUUUUAUGUAUUGGGCAAGAGCUGAUUCGGCCUCCAUCAUGGCCUAACAGGUUCGGGUAGAAUAGGGUAGGAUGAAACCCUAAACUGAAAAUUCCGCAUAAACUCUGAAAUUUUCCGCAAACAUCCGCAACUAACAUAUAAAAGCUUCAUUUUACACCAUAACAAGCUAUCAUUCAUGGCCAACCAAUAGCUAUCUUGUAAAAUCAGAAAAAAAAACACAAAUAAAAUCUGAAAUUUAACUAACUCUACCUCAAACCACAAAAUCUUCCAUAAACUAGCAUAUUUAGCCACUACAAGCUACUAAUUGACCAUUAUUAGGAACAUAAGUGAGUUUCCAAGCAAAAUACCUUGACACCCCAAGAAAGGUAGUAGUUUAUGUUUCUUUCUUCCAAAACAACUCCACCAAGUCCUUGAAACACCCUUAGCAAGUCAUUUUUAUGGACAAAUUCAAGAUUUAAUCGGUUGAUUUGCAAGAUCCAUGCAAGAAAUGAAAGAUAUAAGUUGAAGGUUUUCUUUCUUUUCCUCCCUAAGAGGUUCGGCCAAGAUGAGUAGAAAUAAGAUGAUUUUUGGGUCAAAAUUGAGGUAUUAGUAAAGGUGAGAAAAGUAGUCAAAGUCUAAGCUCAAAUCGGAAAGUGACACCUAGCACCUUUAGGGUUUAAACUUAUCCUUUUGUCUUUUCAAGAUUAACUGUCUAAGUAACUUCUAAUUAUCUCUUAACACCUAAUAAACUAAUCCCGGUAUACAAAACGUUACCUAAUUGGUCGAAUUUAUCGCACUUAACGCCACUAGCGGGUCCCACGUCUAAUAUACACUCUCUAUUUCUCAUGAACUAACUUAUACUAGAAAAAUAAUUUAAAAACUAUUUUCACUUAUUUUCACUUAUAAAAAUCUCGAAAAAAUCAAUAUAAUAGGGUAUAAUAAAGAAAAUGCAUGCGAGAAAAUAAAAUGAAAGAAUAUAAAAUAAGAAAAAUUUACGGGUCCUCACACUUACAGCGUGCAAAUGUUGAGUGGCGGCGGUGCUUGGUUGUGGAGGAGAAUUUUUGGAGGCAAAAAUUGAAGGUCCGAUGGCUAGAUUUGGGGGAUAAGAAUACUAAGUUCUUUCACUCAGUAGUUAACCAGAGGAGAUUACAAUCAUUUGUUCAUCGGAUCCAAGAUGAGCAAGGCAACUGGAUUGAUUCAGAGGAUGGCAUUGGUGCAGAUGUUGUAUGGUAUUUCUCAUCACUCUUCUCGGCAGUGCCUAUCUCUUCUUGGGAUUUAUCACCCAUUAUCCCCAAAUUAAUUCAGGAUUCUGAUAAUGAGUUGUUGGAGGGAGUUCCUGCGGUGGAGGAGGUGCGACACAUGAUAUUUUCUAUGGAUGGGGAUAGUGCUGCGGGCCCUGAUGGGUAUCCAGGUAAGUUUUUCACGUUUGCUUGGGACAUCAUUGCUCAGGACAUUUAUAAUGCUGUUGUUAGUUUCUUCUGUGGAGAGGAAGUGCCAAGGAGGGUUGCAACAACAUUCAUUGUGUUAAAUCCUAAGGUGCAGAACCCAGCUUCUUUUGCACAGUUUCGACCUAUAAGCCUGUGCAACUUCCUCAACAAGGUGUUAUCCCGAAUUCUUGCAGAUAAAUUAGCUCCAUUGCUGCCCCGUAUUAUUUCUCCUAAUCAGAGUGGUUUUGUCCGGGGACGUCAAAUGUCUUAUAACUAUUUACUUGCUCAGGAGGUGAUUUCGGGGAUUGAAAGGAAAAAUAGGGGAAAAAUGUUGCAUUGAAAUUGGAUAUGACAAAGGCCUAUGACAGGGUCUCAUGGAUCUUCCUGAUUAAUGUCUUACGGGCAUUUGGUUUUGGCGAAAGGUGGAUAGAUAUGGUUUGGCGUUUGAUAUCAAAUCCAUGGUUCUCGGUUCUUCUUAACGGGAAUCCUUGUGGCUUUUUCCCAGCUUCGCGAGAGCUCCGGUAGGGGGACCUGCUAUCCCCUUCCUUGUUUAUUUUAGGAGCAGAGGUCCUAUCUCGUAUGUUAAACCAAUUGUUGCAGUGCCCUGGAUUUUGUGGGUUCAAGGUGCCUAGGGCUUGUCCUUCUAUUACUCACUUGGGUUUUGCAGAUGAUAUUCUUAUCUUUUCUAGUGCCUCGACGACUUCCUUGAAACUGCUUAUGGAGACGCUGGUAAGGUAUGAAAGUAUCUCAGGACAAAGUAUAAAUACUGCCAAGAGUGAAUUUAUGGUUCACUCGACGUUGUCUCGGGGCAGGAGAGCUUUAAUCCAGCGAAUCACGGGCUUUUCCAAAAAGGAGUUUCCGGUACGCUACCUUAGUUGCCCACUAUUUGUCAGGAGGCAAAAGAAGGAUUUCUUUCAGGACUUGAGCAAUAUGGUGUACUCUAAGAUUAGUUCUUGGAAGAAUCGAUUGUUGUCUCCAGGAAGUAAGGUUGUUCUUAUCAAAUAUGUGUUGUCCUCGAUCCCUCUUCAUUUACUGGGUAUGGUUCAUCCCCCGAAGUCAACGCUGGUCAUAAUUGAAAGGCUUUUUGCUAACUUCCUUUGGGGAUCUGCUGAGGGUAUAGCCAAACACCACUGGAUUCGCUGGAGGGACCUUUGCGCUGCUAAAGAGGAGGGCGGGUUGGGCUUCCGAUCCUUGUUCGAUGUGGUUAGGGCUUUCUCUGUGAAGUUGUGAUGGAGAUUUCGACAGAAGUCGUCUCUGUGGGCUAGUUUCAUGAUGGCGAAGUAUGCUGCUCAUGCUCACCCAAGUAUGGUAGAUGGCUCCGUGAGGGCUUCAUCCACGUGGCGCCGGAUGCUUCAGGUGCGGGAGGUGGCUGAGCUGUACAUUACUUUUGUUAUUAGAUCGGGGAGGUCACAUUUCUAGUUUGAUAAUUGGCUCAGUUCUAGGCCGCUGUCCUCGCGGUUGGCAAGUGUUUCUGAUCACAGGAUAUCCGACUUCUUCUUAAAUGGCAGAUGGAACUACCAACUACUUGCGAAAUGGGUGCCUGCGGACAUAGUAGCUGAGAUCGCCCAAUUUACCCUCCCGCGGAUUGUGGAGGAUGACGAGGACGUUAUGGUCUGGCCUCCCUCGCAAUCUGGGGCAUUCACGGUAAGUAAAGCUUUCGAGUUGGUGCGUAGGCAUGUGCCGAGGUCUUUUAUCUUUUCUCAGGUAUGGCAUCCGGUUGUUCCGCUUAAAAUUUCAUUCUUUAUGCUUCGACUAUUGCGACAUCGGUUGCCACUGGAUUCUACGAUAUGUAAAUUUGAUAUUUCGGGUCCCUCAAAGUGUUUUUGUUGUUCUGAAGCUAGUGUCGAGACUCUAGAUCAUCUAUUUUGUGGGGGUGAGGUAGCCGGUGCAGUAUGGCAAUUUUUUGGUGCUCCUGCGGUAAUUUUGUAUGUGGGUGCCUCGGUACGGGAGUACAUGGGUAGUUGGUGGUUUAAAUCGGGUAUGAAUGAGUUCCUACAGUUUACUCACACGGUUAUGCCAUCUUUGAUCUGCUGGAAUUUUUGGAAAGUUAGGAACAAAGCGCGGUUCGAAGGGGUCAAUUACACUCCACUAGUGACAGGUGCCGAACCUGUGCAAUAAUAAAAACCUACUCGAGAAAAAUACAGAUUUUGUAUAUAGCGGUGAGUAGGGUCGAAUCCACAGGGACUGGGGAUAAUUCGUUUCUUCUAGAAUCCAAAGUAUGGGGGGUUCUUGGAUUAAAUGCUAACUAAAGAAAUUAAAUGCAGAAAAUAAUUAAUUAGAAGAAAUAACUUAGAGAAACUCUAGCCAAGAAUACACUUCAGAAAUGGUUCACGCACUGAUCAUUGAUUCAAAGAUAAUUCCAACAUUUAUUACUAGAGUGGUUAUAGUUGUCAUACACGCGAUAAACAACCAACCUUUCCUUACUUUCUCGAUAGUUAAGGUACGACCGUUAACUAUUUCUCUAACCCAAAAACAAUCCUAGGUACGACCGUAGGAUUUAAUUUCUAGAUUGCAUUAAUAAUUAGAAAAGCCCAAUCCUAACUAACAAACACGCUACGAGGGUUUGUUUAAGUUAGAUCGUAUGUUUCCCUGACAUAAACCCAAUUACGCCAGUUGCUACUGAGAUAGAGAUAACGAACAAUUACGGAUUCAAUUACCCCUAUUUAGCAAAAUAGCCUAUGUGAAUAAUUAAAUAUUGCGCACUAAUCAAUCAUCCACACGAGCUAUAACGGUUAAAAGCAGGAAACAUAUGAAUACCAAUAAAUGAAGGAAGCAAUUAAAAUAAAUUAGAUCUCACAGUAAUUGUUGAACCAUAUCUUCAGUUGUCCCCUUGACUAGAAUUGAGAAGCUAGUUCUCCAUUAAUGGAGAACCAGCUGUGCAAAAGAGCUAUUUGAAGUUUACAAGAUUGUUCCUGGCCAAAAUCGGCCAACUAGCCCCGGAAUUAAAAAGUAAUAAGAACAAAGCUCUUUUAUUUCUGCCGUGAAAAGAAGAUCCGAAUUUGUUGCUGGCUGAAGUCUUUAUCACGCGGGAUCCGGCUCUUUCUCUUCUUUGUAUUUCGUUCCUCCCAAAUUAGCCAAAGCCCAAAUACAAAGGUCCACCACCGUGGCUUUCUCUCGAUGGUCCCCACCUAGCAAAGCCAAACGGAAAUUCAUGCCAAGCCAAGCAGACCUACUAGGAGUCUAAUACUUCCCUCUUUUUCCUUUUGCUAGCCACGAAAUUGAAGGAAUUGAUUUUCCUAAUUUUUAGCUUUUUGAAACCAAAUAGACUUCCUCCUACUGUUCCGUUAAUAAUCCACGUAGACUCCCUUUUGAAUUAGAAAACUCUUGAAAAAUCACAUCUUUUAUCUCUUUUUGCUCCACCUUCCUACAAUUAGUACCAAAUACCAAAUAUAAGUAAAAUCAAUCAAUUAAAAUAAUGUUUGGCUAAAAUCUAGGGAAAAAUAAUUAUAAAUUUAGCAACAAAUUAUGGCCUAUCAAUUUCCCCCACACCUAAACCAUGCUUGUCCUCAAGCAUGAAAACAACAAAUCAAAUAAUCAAAUUCAAUCAAUGGUAUUAUUCAAAUCUUCUAUUGCCAAGAUACAAUUAAAACACAUGUUAAGUAUUAGUGGCAAUUUUCAAGAAAUAUCUCUCCAACUAGCUUUCAAGAUCAAGGAUUCUUUCAAUUUAUGACUAACUAAUCUAAGAAUAUAAAAUAUUCAACCAGCAUCCAUAAGCAAAUGGUUCAACUAUUAAGCAAAAUCUCAACAUUAAAAUUCAAGGAUCAGCGGGUUAACAAUUCAUUCAAACACUUCCAUAUUUUUCACUAUUAGCACAUAUUUUUUUUCUAGAAUAUCCCCACACAUGAAUGAUGAAUUUUUUUUUAGGGGGAACGCUUAGUUUUUAGCCAUUCAAGCUUUUUGACGCGAACUCCGACAUUGGCCAUAUGAAGGAGCCCGGUUACUCAGCCAUCAUCGUUUAAAAACCACAUACUCAUAGCUAUCGUCGCUUUUUGACGCGAAAGUCGACAUUUGUGGUGAAGACUCCCGGUUACUAGGCAACGAUACUAGCGGAGUAUAGCCUAAUAUUAUUCAUAAAUAAGCACCAAAAAUAAAAUUAAAUACCACACAAACCCGCUUCAUUUCUUAAACAUGGAGAACUAAAAUUAAUAGUUGAACCAAUUUGCACAAAAAAAAAAUGCUAGACAAAUAUUUACAAUACUUAGAAAAGUUAACCAAAAAGUGCAAACGUCACAAAAUCUCAAAUAUUCGCCAAAGAGAUACCCUUAAAAUCAACCAUGUCAUACUCAACACCUUAAAGUGUAAAAUCUUAGCAAUAGAAAAAUUUGAGACAUCUAACCAUCGUUUAUUAGGAAUAAUCACAAAUAAGCACAAAGAUAGGCAAAAAUUGGACAAAAUUUGACAAAGUCAAACAAAAAAUUCCAACAAAAAUGCCUACACUUGCACUUUUUCAAUAAAAAACCAAUAUACUACCCCCCCACACCUAAAUCUUGCAUUGCCCUCAAUGUAAGCAAAGAAAGAGCAAAACAGAGAUAUUGGGGCAACGACACUUCCCUUAAAACGGAGGAGGGCAGAACUGAACUACGGCUGGAGAGGGAAAGGCGGGCGGAGACCCACGUGAUAGAGAUGCUGUGCUCAAUUCUGGGCCAUCCCGCCCAUGUGACGCUCCAUCCGCUCCAUACGAGUGUCCAUUUGCUCUUGCCCUUAUUUUUUGGUUUAGUCAUUGGAAAUCAGAGGGCAAGGUGGAGGCAAGGAAAUGGAAUUCCAAAGAGGUCAACAAACAGCCAACAAAGCAAAUGACAACUAAAUACAGCUUCCAAUCACAGACAAGUGCAGAAACGGCCGAUGAACACACCCUCAAGAAUUAAUUAAACCUGUCAGCAGCAAAAUUUUCCCCAAAUACCACAAAUUCAACCCAAAAAUCAAUUAAUUAGGUAAACACAGCAAUUUUUCCCAAAAAUUAAUUAAACAGGUAGUCAGAGUAAAAACUUUCCCCAAAUAUCACUGGUUGGGCACAACGUUAACCAAAUAAUCAACAAUCAAUCCACAGAUAUGCCACAGCACCCAAACAAGCACAAAUUUUCUGUCCUCAGCUAGCAAAUCAAAAAUCUGGCCUCAGCUAAGAAAUUAAAAUCUGGCAUCAGCUAAUAAAAGCUAGUAAUCUGGCCUCAGCUACUUAGAGACAGAAAAAUAAAGAAAGAAUUCACCGGAGCUUUGAAUGGCUGUGGGUGAAAUGGAGGGCAGGGGAGGACCCAGCACCGUGCAUGCGUCGAACGCGCGCUGGCAAGCACGCGGAGGUCACGCGCUGUGGGCGCUGCUGCGGCUGAGUUGCUGCUCGAUCUGCCUGGAGGUGAACUGGAGCUGGAGAUUGAGCGAAAGGGGCAACUACGGCUGAGUCGCGUAGAGGGAGGCACGCGACUGGUGGUCCGCGCGCACGGCGGCGCGUAAAAGCUUUUUUUUUUUUUUUUUUUUUUUUUUACUUAAGGAACCUCUGAUUUAGGCGUGGGCACGCCUAACUGCCCCUAGUCUUUUGACCAUCCGUUGAAAUUUUUUUUUUUUUUUUUUAUCCUUUAGCGUGACCACUUAGCAUGGGCACGCCUAACUGCUGUAGAGUCCGCAGAUCCUGAACGAAAAUUUUUUUCCCUCAGGCGUGACCACCUGUGUGGGCACGUCUAACUGCUAUAGAGUCCGCAGAUCCUGAACGAAAAUUUCUUUCCCUCAGGCGUGACCACCUGGUGUGAGCACGUCUAACUUCCACUUUCCUGCCACCAAGCAACAAAUCAUUAAAUGCAACUAACACUUAACAAAAACUCCAAAAACAUAAGAAAAUUAAAACAAAAGCCUUGGGUUGCCUCCCAAGCAGCGCCUUUCUUUAAUGCCUUUGGCUAGACAUUGUCCUGUUUAUUCAUGGAGGAUAAAAUCGCGUAACUCGCUUCAGUGCUUCAUCUUCUAUGUGAUCCUGAUAGCCCUCGUAAAUAGAGUAAUUCUUGAGCACACGAGCUACGGUCUUCCAUGGACCAGUAGAUUGCGCCAAACAACCAAGUAAUGACCUUAAAUCUUCAUUCACUCCUCCAUCACAAGCACUUAUUGGUUUGAGAUAUUUUGCCAUCGUGACUCUUAACUUGUUCCUGUCAUGAAACUCAAAAUUUUCUGGUAUAAUAAAAUCAAUCUCACUAACAGAAAUUAAAGAAUAAGAGUCAGGAAAAUAUUGAUCAAAAAAUGGAGGAGAUGUCACCGCAUUUGGAGAUUGUUCACUGGAUUCAUUCACUUGAACCAUUUGAUGUUGGGGUCUCAAUUCUUGCGCUUCAACUUUCUUUUCAACUGCAUCUUUAGAUUCUUCUCCUUGAGACCCUUGCAAUACCAUGUCCUUUGUCAGAAUAAUUGCACUCUCAUCUUCCUCAUGGUUGAUAAUAGUCGGUGAGGGCAAUUCUUCAUAAAUUGGAGAAAUCAAUUUGCUCAUUUUAGAUGCCCAUUCACGCCUUCCUUCUUUCAUCUCUUCACUCAUCUUUUGUGUCUCCUGUUGAAGUUGAUGUACCUCCUGUUGAAUUUGAUAUGUGUUAGUAGCUAUUAAUUCAACUAUUUCUUCAAGAGACAUACCUGACAUGGAUGACGGUUCUUGAGACUCUAGCUGUUGAAAAUCUAGUGGCCCUGUUGUAUAAUUAAACUGGAGUUAUCCCACCAUCCUUGAUCAUACCCGUUUGGAUUAGGGUUAUACCACGUUUGAGACCAUGGUGAAAAAUCUCCAUAAUUAUUGAGUGGGACACUCAGAUUAUCUUGAUAUUCGGGGCACAUACCGGUCGAAUGAUCCCUGGCAUAACAAAUUUCACAGGUUGCAGCAGCCAUUCUUUCUCUAAUAGAGUUUAGUGCCUCUAAAUAUGCAAACUUAGAAAAAAAAUCAGUCUCAUUGCCUUCCUCGGAAACAAAAUCCAGUAAAUCACCAAAAUACGGAGUGUUAGAAGCCAUAAACUAUAUAAUAAAAAAUAAGAGAAAAAUAAAUAAAUAAAAAUAAAAACAAGAUGAACUCAAAAAGAAACAAAUUAAUCUGGCACCAGUCCCCGGCAACGGCGCCAAAAAUUGACAGGUGCUGAACCUGUGCAAUAAUAAAAACCUACUCGAGAAAAAUACAGAUUUUGUAUAUAGCGGUGAGUAGGGUCGAAUCCACAGGGACUGGGGAUAAUUCGUUUCUUCUAGAAUCCAAAGUAUGGGGGGUUCUUGGAUUAAAUGCUAACUAAAGAAAUUAAAUGCAGAAAAUAAUUAAUUAGAAGAAAUAACUUAGAGAAACUCUAGCCAAGGAUACACUUCAGAAAUGGUUCACGCACUGAUCAUUGAUUCAAAGAUAAUUCCAACAUUUAUUACUAGAGUGGUUAUAGUUGUCAUACACGCGAUAAACAACCAACCUUUCCUUACUUUCUCGAUAGUUAAGGUACGACCGUUAACUAUUUCUCUAACCCAAAAAUAAUCCUAGGUACGACCGUAGGAUUUAAUUUCUAGAUUGCAUUAAUAAUUAGAAAAGCCCAAUCCUAACUAACAAACACGCUACGAGGGUUUGUUUAAGUUAGAUCGUAUGUUUCCCUGACAUAAACCCAAUUACGCCAGUUGCUACUGAGAUAGAGAUAACGAACAAUUACGGAUUCAAUUACCCCUAUUUAGCAAAAUAGCCUAUGUGAAUAAUUAAAUAUUGCGCACUAAUCAAUCAUCCACACGAGCUAUAACGGUUAAAAGCAGGAAACAUAUGAAUACCAAUAAAUGAAGGAAGCAAUUAAAAUAAAUUAGAUCUCACAGUAAUUGUUGAACCAUAUCUUCAGUUGUCCCCUUGACUAGAAUUGAGAAGCUAGUUCUCCAUUAAUGGAGAACCAGCUGUGCAAAAGAGCUAUUUGAAGUUUACAAGAUUGUUCCUGGCCAAAAUCGGCCAACUAGCCCCGGAAUUAAAAAGUAAUAAGAACAAAGCUCUUUUAUUUCUGCCGUGAAAAGAAGAUCCGAAUUUGUUGCUGGCUGAAGUCUUUAUCACGCGGGAUCCGGCUCUUUCUCUUCUUUGUAUUUCGUUCCUCCCAAAUUAGCCAAAGCCCAAAUACAAAGGUCCACCACCGUGGCUUUCUCUCGAUGGUCCCCACCUAGCAAAGCCAAACGGAAAUUCAUGCCAAGCCAAGCAGACCUACUAGGAGUCUAAUACUUCCCUCUUUUUCCUUUUGCUAGCCACGAAAUUGAAGGAAUUGAUUUUCCUAAUUUUUAGCUUUUUGAAACCAAAUAGACUUCCUCCUACUGUUCCGUUAAUAAUCCACGUAGACUCCCUUUUGAAUUAGAAAACUCUUGAAAAAUCACAUCUUUUAUCUCUUUUUGCUCCACCUUCCUACAAUUAGUACCAAAUACCAAAUAUAAGUAAAAUCAAUCAAUUAAAAUAAUGUUUGGCUAAAAUCUAGGGAAAAAUAAUUAUAAAUUUAGCAACAAAUUAUGGCCUAUCAAUUUACCUAAAUCAUGCUUGUCCUCAAGCAUGAAAACAACAAAUCAAAUAAUCAAAUUCAAACAAUGGUAUUAUUCAAAUCUUCUAUUGCCAAGAUACAAUUAAAACACAUGUUAAGUAUUAGUGGCAAUUUUCAAGAAAUAUCUCUCCAACUAGCUUUCAAGAUCAAGGAUUCUUUCAAUUUAUGACUAACUAAUCUAAGAAUAUAAAAUAUUCAACCAGCAUCCAUAAGCAAAUGGUUCAACUAUUAAGCAAAAUCUCAACAUUAAAAUCUUUUCGAAGGGCGGUUCGAAGGGGUCAAUUACACUCCACUAGCUAUCUGUGGUUUUAUUCUCGAUGAUGUACGAAAUCUUUUCUAUCUGAAGUUCCCGAGAGUCUCUUGGGCCCUUCCGACAUGGCAUGCAUUCUACGAUUCCCUCGGUUCUCGUCGCGGUCAGGAGUCUUUCAGACUGGUCAAGUGGUCGAGGCCGCUAAUGUGAGAGCUUAAACUCAACAUGGAUGGCUGCUCCAGGGGCAAUCCAGGACGGGCAGGAGGUAGUGGUAUCAUACGGAAUGGUGAGAGCAAGCUCCUGCUCGCCUUUUCCACAUUUGUUGGGACCUGUACUAGCAUCCAGGCUGAGGCAAGGGCCCUUCUCUUUGGGAUAAACUUGUGCAUUUCUUGUGGCUAUGUGAGAGUGCACGUGGAGAUGGAUUAUCUGGUUCUCGUUAAAAUAUUGCAGCAACAAAUUCGAUGCCCGUGGAGUAUUGAUAUGGAAAUCCGGUCCCUCCUUCAGCUGAUGCCCCAUGUCGCUAGCAUCACUCAUUGCUUCCGAGAGGGUAAUCAAGUGGCUGAUAGACUAUCUAAUAUUGGUUGUGACGAAGGUUGUAACAGAACUUAUCAUCAUCUUUCCGAGCUCCCUACUCAAGCCCGAGGGGCAUUUAGACUAGACAAGUUUGGUCUCCCUUCCCUUCGAAAAUGCUAGGUUCCCCAUUCAUUUAUUACAUGUAAUGUCCUCUUGGGAUGUUCGGUCUUUUCCCCCUCUAGAACUGGCAAAUUGCUUGAAGGAAUAAAAUCAAUAUAAAAAAAAACUCCUUGACAGGUAAAUACAUCUUUUUUGUUGAAGUAAAUCGAAAUCGGUUAACUAAACGCUUACAUCCAUUCGAUUUUUUUUUUUAUUUAUAAUUAGUUUCUUCAGAGAAUUUUACAGCCUAAUGAUUGAUAUGCUUCCUUUGAAAAUGAAAUCUGGUACGCAGGUACAAUACCACCAGAGAUGGGUAACCUUUACCAACUCGAGAAUCUUCAGUUACCUUAUAAUGGCUUGAAUGGCUCCAUUCCCCCUGGGCUCUUCAACCUCUCAGCAUUGCAGAAUAUUGACCUUGCAUUUAAUCUUCUAUCAGGAAAUCUUCCGCGGGAUCUAGGAUACAGACUGCCCAAGUUAUUAUUCAUAGAGCUUGAUGGGAAUAACCUUGGUGGAGUUAUACCGGUGUCCAUUACAAAUUGUUCCCAAUUAAAAAUUCUAGAUUUUUCAAUUAACGGAUUCACUGGUUCCAUUCCUGACGCCCUCGAGGACCUUAGGCUGCUGCGGUAUAUACUUCUGAACAGCAACAAUUUAACAAGUGAUCCUACAUCUACGAAGCUGAGCUUCAUCACUUCAUUAACAAAAUGCAAAAACUUGGUUUGUUUAGAGCUGGGCCCAAAUCCGUUAAAUGGACUUCUCCCGGCUUCCACUGGGAAUCUCUUUGCUACUCUACAGAAAUUGUAUAUAGGAACUAGUGGAAUCAAAGGCACCAUACCAAGUCAAACUGGCUGACCAAUUUGAUAUUGCUUGCUCUACAAUCGAAUCAGUUGACUGGAGGCAUCCCAGCAGCAUUCAAAGAUCAACAAAACAUGCAAAAUUUGGGUAUGGAAGAUAAUAAUCUAAAUGGCACUUUAGAAAACCUUUGCAAUUUGCAGAGGUUGGCUUAUGCAUACCUGACUGCGAACCGAUUUUCCGGGUCCAUACCAGAAUGCUUUGGCAAUAUGACUUCUCUUCGGGAUCUUGAUCUAGGAAACAACUUUUUAGUCACUGCCAUACCUAAUAGUUUUUGGAACCUCAAAGAUCUCUUGUAGUUGAACUUAUACUCAAACUCCCUUAAUGGUUCCUUACCACUUGAAGUUGGAAAUUUGAAAGCUAUUACAUCUAAAGACGUAUCAGCGAAUCAAUUCUCCGGUGACAUUCCUAGCACAACAGGUGAUUUACAAUACCUGUUGAUUUUAAAUUUAUCCCAAAACCAAUUUCAUGGAUCUAUCCCAGAGUCAUUUGGCAAUAUGCUUAGCUUACAAGGACUUUACCUAUCGCAUAACAAUCUUUCUGGCUUCGUACCAAAGUCAUUGGAGGCACUUCAGUACCUUGAAGAGAUUGACGUUUCUUAUAACCAUUUAAGUGGUGAAAUUCCUUCUGGUGGUCGCUUUAGGAACUUUACCGCUGAAUCUUUUCUGUUCAACGAUGCAUUGUGCGGGGAUUCCAGGUUUCACGUGCCGCCUUGCCCAAGAACUAAUUCAAUUCACAGGUCCAGAACAAAAAAGGUGCUUCUAUUUGUAUUUGUUCCUCUGGGACUCGCUUCUGUGGUUGUCGCAGCCUUAGCAAUUGUCUUCAGAAGAUAUUGGAAGAAAUAUCAGGAUUCUAAAGGAACAAACAUGGUAUUGGUGCCAACGCAAGAAAGAGUUUCGUACUACGAACUUCUUCGAGCAACUGAUGGGUACAGCGAAAGCAAUUUGCUUGGCAUUGGGUGUUUUGGAUCUGUUUACAAGGGGAUUCUGAAUGAUGGAAGGUCUAUUGCUGUAAAGGUUUUCAAUUUGGAACUGGAAGGAGUACUCAAGAGCUUUGAUGUUGAGUGUGAAGUCCUGAAGAACCUUCGCCAUCGAAAUCUUGUGAAGGUCGUCAGCGGUUGUUGGAACCGGGAUUUUAGGGCCUUGGUGCUUGAAUACAUGUGCAAUGGAAGCCUUGAGAAGUGGUUGUAUUCUGACAACUAUUUCUUAGAUACUCUAUAGAGAUUGAAUGUAAUGAUAGAUGUGGCAAGUGCAGUGCAAUAUCUCCACGAAGAAUAUUCGACGCCUGUGAUUCACUGUGAUUUGAAGCCCAAUAAUGUCUUACUUGAUGUGGAUAUGGUUGCCCAUGUCAGCGACUUUGGUAUUGCAAAAAUGCUGGAAAAGGAGGAAAGCUUUGCAUGGACCAGGACCUUAGCUACAAUUGGAUACAUUGCUCCAGGUAAUGAUUCUUCAAUCUUAAUCCUAAAUGUUUGUAUAGCAUUUAGUUUCUUUUUGCCUUCUUUUAUGUGAUACUUGUUCAAUUUGAAUGUUGGUUGUAGAGUAUGGAUCUGAGGGUUUGAUAUCAGCAAAAUGUGAUGUUUACAGCUAUGGAAUCAUGCUGAUGGAAGUUUUUUCAAGAAGAAAGCCUAAUGAUGAAAUGUUUGUGGGAAAUUUGAACUUGAAGAGUUGGAUAAAUGAUUCUCUGCCUAAUUCGAUUCUUCAAGUUAUUGAUGCUAAGUUGUUGAAGCAUGAGGAUGAAAAUUUCACUGAGAAGUUGGAGGGUUUUACAUCCAUCUUGGAAUUAGCCUUAAAAUGCGUUCUUGAAUCUCCAACUGAUAGACUCAGUAUGAAAGUUGUUCUUGAAACACUGAAGAAGAUCAAACUCAAAUUCUUGCAAGUAAUGUAGGCUGAUGAAUAGUUCGGAUCGAAUAUGUAUCAUCUUUUAUAAUCAUCCGAAAAAUUAGGGAAAAGAGGCAAUUUGUUGAUGCCAAAUAAAUCAAAGCACAUGAGCUAUGAAAGACGUUGUAUUACUGCAAAUCAAAUUGUAUGAUUAAAAUUUGGAAUUUCUGAAUGUAGAGAGAAGCAGGGAAUGGAGCAGUGUUCAAACAUAACCUCCUCAAUGUCAUGACGCUGCAGUUGUUUUCACUGAUGAUAUCCGCUUCAAUUCUUCGCCAGUUUCUUAGACACAGGAAUCAUAUAGAUCAGUGAAAACCAUAUCCCUUGCUUAUGGCUUAGAUUAUAAAACAAUUCCAAAAAAGACAAUAUCUGAUUCAUCCAACAAUUUGGCUGACUAAAGUGCAGAGUUGGUUCAUCCUUAGUGUAGGUGGAGGUUUCAAACUUGAAAUCUCUCAUUUACAUUCUCUCCCUUCAUACCAUCCAACCCAUCCCUUCUCCUGUUGACUGUAGAAUUGAAAAAACGAAAUAAAAAAAGGCACUUGAUUGUAUUCUAAUAUAAAUCAAUCUCUCAAUCUAAUUUUACCUCUAAGUUUCAAAUAUGUCCAUCCUAAAAAUACCAUUGCGAUUUUUCAAAAUCUCAAGUAUGUACACUUGAGUGAGUCUAAAAGAAAAGGAUAUAAACAUCUUGUAAUUUCUUAGAAUCUCUAAAUGAAAAGGAUAUAAAUAAAUUGUUAGGAUGUCACAAAUUUGUGUCUCAUUGAUCAUGAAAAUCUUUGGCUCGACCACUGUAGAACACCCCUCCAAAAAUUGAUUAUGUGCACAUGAUACGAUUCAAAUCCUCUCGCAUAUACUAAAAUAAAAAGGACAUUGUUAACUGAAAAGUCCCAUGAAGUCCUGUAAAGAAAAAGUAUGGUUCUGCCAAUAAUAGAAGUCAAUUGAAAAUGCCUUGUACAUCCUGACCCAUUAAUGGCUAGCGAAGAAAAAGUCUAAAUAUUAAACGUUCAUAUAGAAUGGCUAACAAAAUUUCCAACGUCCUUUGCACGCUGAAGACUUGGUGCAUGCGGUUGUUGUCAUCUCACUAUCUCAGAUGUUGUAGAACUAUUAAGGGAAACUUGCAGAAUAGAUCCACAUCAAAUUAAUGAAGGUGAGAAAAAAAGAUUAUUAGGACGUUCAGAAAUUCAUGACUUAGACUAGUACAAGAUUGCGUGCACGAAUACUCCCACUGUGAAUCAGUUGGAUCUUAAUAUUGCUUGACUGGAUUACCACCUAGCAAAACUUACCUACCAAACUUCCCUAUGUGUCUUCAGCGACUACAAUGUUAUGAAUUCUUUGCAGAUUGUUAUUUGAGUUAAAGAGACAAACGAUGUCAACAAUAGGAAGCAAAAUACGAACAAAUUAGUGGAAAAGCUAAAAAGGUUCAUGGAUUUUUCAAAGGCAACGUUGGAAUAACUUGGAGAGAUAAAUGCUAAAGUCUAUCACCAUAUGCGGUCAUUGGAACACGUAAAAGAUUUAUACAUGACACUACACGUCUUUCCAAAAGAUACUCCCUCUAUCCCAUUUUAAUAGUUCUAAUUUUUUUUCAUACAGUUUAAGAAAAAGCAGUUAAUUUUAUUGGAAAAAUAAAUUUAGAUUGCUAUUUUUCUAAAAUACCCUUAAAUUAAAUAGAGUACAACUUUAUAUUAAUUAUUUAUGAAAACUUGAAUUAAUGGUUUAUGAGAAUUUGAAUUGAUGGUCAAGAAACAAUCUACAUUAAAUAGAGUAGUUUUUACUAAUAACAACCUACAUUAAAUAAAGGUCGUUUAGAGAAAUUAAAAGAUAAUUAUAUUUUUCAAUUAAAAAAUGGACUACAAUUUAGGAUAGACGAAAAAAGAAAAUAGAACUAUCAAAGUAGGAAGGAGAGAUCAGUAUGAUCUCACCCUCGGGUAAACAAUAUGUACAUAUACAAUGUUGGACUAAGAACAGUCUAAACUGUUCACGGUCAACAAGACACAAAUUUAAAAUGUACUAUUGAAACAAUGUCAUGUAACUCCGACAAAAUAAUUAUGUAUGUACUCAUAUGAACAGUAAUUAAAUAGUGCAACAUUUAUGUUACUAUAAAUUUGAACAAAUCAUUACCUUGAAUUAUAUUAUAUUGAAGAGGAAAGACAGACCUCCCCGUAUCAUAAUCUCAUUCUCCAUGCACGAGAGCUGAUACAGAGGAAUUGGGAGUGUCAAUUGAACCGCAUAUGAAGGGAGGGAAAUUAGUGUGCUGAUUGGUUAGCUAAACACAGCUUCCAUGCAUGGCUCAGCAGAUUAUUGAUGAAAUCCCAGCAUAGAUGACAGAACUAUUGAUAGCUGAUGUGUUUGGAGUUCCAUUUACUCGUUCUAUUGCAAUUUAAGGGGUUAUGAUGACCUCCUCCAAUGUAUCCAAAAAAAAAAAAAAAAAAUUACAUCAUAUUCAAAUGGUAUUACACUGUUUAGAAGGAGUUGCAUUUCCUCGCUUUGUUGCAAUUUAAGGGGUUAUGACCUCUUCCAAUGUACCCAAAAAAUUAUAUCAUAUUGAAACGGUAGUAUACUAUUAGGAAUGGAUUUCAAUACAACUGUUUCUGUCCUAUAAAAAUAUCGACAUUGACUGUUUAUUCUAUGUCUUCUUAUAUUACUUUAAUUUAUAUAUAAUCUCAAACAACUAAAAUCAAUAACUUUUGAAGCCGUUGAUCCUAACAGGACGUAACCAAUUUAAGUGAAACUGUUACUAAUAUCGUAGGUGAUAUAGUAUUUUUUUUUUAAUUUAAUGUAACUUAUGAGUCAAAUGUUGGUACCUCACAAUUUAGAUUGAACGAUUAAUCAAAUUACUAGAUAUUUGAAUCUAGUCCUAUUGGUACGAAUGGAUUUUGGUGACUAAACAAGCCAAACAUGAAAAGCAUGUUAUAUGUAUAGUAAACUUUCAAACUCAACUCAUCUUCAACUUGAUUCAAUUAGUAGUAAAACUUGAAAUUUAUCGAUAGAUUUUUCAACCUACAUGUACAAAGCUCAAGCUCAAUUUGACAAAAGCUCGUUUGAGUUUGACAUAAUAAAUAUCAAGUCAAACUUGGAUAAAAUUUUAAACUCAUUAAAGUAAACAAACAAGUUUAAAUACUGGAGUGUCGAGGUUGAUUAAGUUCAUUUACACCUCUAAUCCCAACUAAUAUAAUCUUAACCAACUUUGGGAUUUGUCCACACAAUAAUGCUGUCUAUAAAAUCCCCACAUUUAAGACGUAUAUAUGCUUCUUACAUUGGCGUCUAAUUUCCUAGAUCCAUCACCAAUUUGGACUAUUGAUCAUAUAGCUAGGUUGAUAUGAAGAAACACUUUUAUUUCUACCCUAUUGCAGUAUUUGUUUUGCUGCACUAUCUAAUGAUGACCAGUUGCACAGCCAUGAAAAGAUUAAGUUUAGGCACUGAUCAAUCUGCUCUUUUAGCCCUGAAAGCCCAUAUCACUUCAGAACAGCAAGAAUUCUUGUCAAAAAACUGGUCUUCUACAGCUGCUGCAUCCUCUGUCUGCGACUGGAUAGGAGUCCAAUGCAGCUCUCGACACCAAAGAGUGACUGCUUUAAAUAUUUCAAACAUGGGACUCACCGGAACAUUACCUCCGGAUUUGGGAAACCUCUCCUUUCUUGUUUCUCUUGAUCUGAGAAGUAACUCCUUCCACGGAAAUCCGCCCGAAGAGUUGUCACAUCUACGCCGCCUGAGGUUCAUCUUGUUUUCCAACAACAGAUUCACUGGGGAGAUUUCAAUGUGGUUUGGUCACUUUCCCGAACUCCGGUUCUUGUUUCUUGACAACAAUGGUUUCGGUGGUUUUAUUCCUUCUUCAAUCUCAAACUCGUCAAAAGUGGAAGCUUUAACUCUAAGAGGCAAUUUUCUGGAGGGUAAUAUUCCAGAAAAGAUGGAAAAUCUUUCAGUCCUCAAGGAUCUGUCUCUAUCUGGGAAUUAUUUAGUUGGUCAAAUACCAUUGAGUUUAUGCAAGUUUUCUAAACUUCAAUCGCUAGACUUGUCAUUCAACAGGUUUAGCGGGUACAUACCCAAAGAAAUUGGAAAUCUGGAGAAGCUUACGUAUUUAUCCCUCAUGAAUAACAACUUCACAGGUAAUGCUUUUGCUUUGCCUUUUUGCAUACGAACUGCAAUCAAUGGUCAUUUUUCCCUGUUUGGAACUGGGAUUCAACACUAUGUACUGUUUUACCAGCAUGGCUUCGAUGGCUGGUUUUGUUUUUUUUUUUUUUUUUUUAGUUACUAUUGUAACACCUCUGCUUCUUUAUUCCAGAAAAUUAAAAGCAUAGUUACCAACACAAAUUCCCGCUUUGCAAGUAAGAUAGUUCUCAAUAUAUCUCUAAAAUGAAUAUGAUUAGUUCUAUCUUUGCAUAAAAUUGUUUAGGUGUAAUUCCGCGAGAGAUUGGCAAACUGCGUGGUUUGAAGGUUCUCGUGUUGGGCCGUAACAAUUUGACAGGUAAUCAGGUCUAUGAAUAGCUUCACCACUACUUAUGGUCUAUUUACAAUCAUGCAACUAGCAAAUAUUUGGAGCAAGUUCUGGGUGAAAUGAAUUCAUGUCAUGUCUAUUUGAAUGUCCAUAAACUUAAUCAGAUACUCCUACUUACUAUGGAAAACAUCCACCCAAAAAAAAAAACAAAACUGGAAGUUUUGAAGAGUUAUAUAUUCCUUGGAUGUAACUAAAGGUAUCAAUAACAACUUGAUUAUGUUGAUUCGCCCAAACGAGCAUGCUAAUAAUCCGCCCAUUAAUUUUGAAUAGAUCUAAAUAAGUAUUCAAUUAAAUCCAUCUAAUUUGUGGAUAAUGGGUUGACUCGACUCACUCAUUUAUACUCAUUUAAAAAUAACCAUACAUUUUAACUCAACUUUUAGUGAGUAUUAAGCAAACAAAUUUGAAUUUUUUACGAAUUUAAUAACAAUAAAAUACCGUUAAUUUUUUUGUCAAACAUCAUGCAAAAAAAUAGAGAAAAAAGAGAAGAAUUUUAAGUGAUUCAUAAACGGAUAAUUGGGUAUACCCAGACCCAUUUAAUUAAUGGGUAUAAAUCUACUAGCCUACCUGCGUGUGUGAUUGGCAGGUACAAUUCCACAAGAGAUAGGCAAUCUACAGAACCUGCAGGGGCUCAAUCUGGAAUGGAAUCAAAUCACAGGAAGCAUUCCAAAAGAAAUCAGGAAUUUGACGAUGCUUACUGAGCUCUACUUCGCCAACAACUCCUUGACAGGUAAAUGCAUCUUUAAAGUACCAUUUUUUGAUGAAGUAAAUUGAAAUCGGUUAACUAAACGCUUACAUCCAUUCAAAAAAAUUUUUUUAAUUUAUAAUUGGUUUCUUCAGAGAAUUUUACAGCCUAAUGAUAGAUGUGCUUCCUUUGAAAAUGAAUUUGGUACGCAGGUACAAUACCACGAGAGCUGGGUAACCUUUACCUACUCGAGAAUCUUCAGUUACCUUAUAAUGGCUUGAAUGGCUCCAUUCCCCCUGGGCUCUUUAACCUCUCAGCAUUGCGGAAUAUUGCACUUUCGUCUAAUCUUCUAUCAGGAAAUCUUCCGCGGGAUCUAGGAUACAGACUGCCCAAGUUAUUAUUCAUAGAUCUAGCUGGGAAUAACCUUGGUGGAGUUAUACCAGUGUCCAUUACAAAUUGUUCCCAAUUAAGAAUACUAGAACUUUCAACUAACAGAUUCACUGGUUCCAUUCCUGACGCCCUCGGGGACCUUAGACUUCUGCAAUAUCUAGCUCUGUUCAGCAACAAUUUAACAAGUGAUCCUACAUCUAUGGAGCUGAGCUUCAUCACUUCAUUUACAAAAUGCAAAAACUUGGUUUUUUUAGACCUGGGCUCAAAUCCAUUAAAUGGGCUUCUUCCAGCUUCCAUUGGGAAUCUCUCUGCUACUCUACAGAAAUUGUAUAUACGAAAUAGUGAAAUCAAGGGCACCAUACCAAGUCAAACUGGCAACUUGACCAAUUUGCUAUUGCUUGAUCUAGAGUCGAAUCACUUGACCGGAGGUAUUCCAACAGCAUUCAAAGAUCUACAAAACCUGCAAGGUUUGGCUGUGGGAGAUAAUAAUCUUAAUGACACCUUAGAUAACCUUUGCAAUUUGCAUAGCUUGACUUUAAUAGAUCUGACCACAAACCAGUUUUCUGGGUCUUUACCACAAUGCUUUGGUAAUAUGACUUCUCUUCGGGAUCUUACACUAGGAAACAACUUUUUAGUCUCUGCCAUACCUAAUAGUUUUUGGAACCUCAAAGAUCUCUUGCAGUUGAACUUAUCCUCAAACUCCCUUAAUGGUUCCUUGCCUCUUGAAGCUGGAACUCUGAAAGCUGUAACAUCCAUAGACAUAUCAGCGAAUCAAUUCUCAGGUGAUAUUCCUAGCACAACAGGUGGUUUGCAAUACCUGUUGAUUUUAAAUUUAUCCCAAAACCAAUUUCAUGGAUCUAUCCCAGAGUCAUUUGGCAAUAUGCUCAGCUUACAAGGACUUUACCUAUCACAUAACAAUCUUUCUGGCUUCGUACCAAAGUCAUUGGAGGCACUUCGGUACCUUGAAGAGAUUGACGUUUCUUAUAACCAUUUAAAUGGUGAAAUUCCUUCUGGUGGUCGCUUUAGGAACUUUACCGCUGAAUCUUUUCUGUUCAACGAUGCAUUGUGCGGGGAUUCCAGGUUUCACGUGCCGCCUUGCCCAAGAACUAAUUCAAUUCACAGGUCCAGAACAAAAAAGGUGCUUCUAUUUGUAUUUGUUCCUCUGGGACUCGCUUCUGUGGUUGUCGCAGCCUUAGCAAUUGUCUUCAGAAGAUAUUGGAAGAAAUAUCAGGAUUCUAAAGGAACAAACAUGGUAUUGGUGCCAACGCAAGAAAGAGUUUCGUACUAUGAACUUCUUCGAGCAACUGAUGGGUACAGUGAAAGCAAUUUGCUUGGCAUUGGGAGUUUUGGAUCUGUUUACAAGGGGAUCCUGAAUGAUGGAAGGUCUAUUGCUGUAAAGGUUUUCAAUUUGGAAUUGGAAGGGGUACUCAAGAGCUUUGAUGUUGAGUGUGAAGUCCUGAAGAACCUUCGCCAUCGAAAUCUUGUGAAGGUCAUCAGCGGUUGUUGGAACCAGGAUUUUAGGGCCUUGGUGCUUGAAUACAUGUGCAAUGGAAGCCUUGAGAAGUGGCUGUAUUCUGACAACUAUUUCUUAGAUACUCUACAGAGAUUGAAUAUAAUGAUAGAUGUGGCAAAUGCAGUGCAAUACCUGCACGAAGAAUAUUCGACGCCUGUGAUUCACUGUGAUUUGAAGCUCAGUAAUAUCUUACUUGAUGAGGAUAUGGUUGCCCACGUCAGCGACUUUGGUAUUGCAAAAAUGCUGGAAAAGGAGGAAAGCUUUGCAUGGACCAAGACCUUAGCUACAAUUGGCUACAUUGCUCCAGGUAAUGAUUCUUCAAUCUAAUCCCAAACGUUUGUAUAGAAUUAAGUUUCUUUUUUCUUUUUUUUCUUAUGUGACACUUGUUCAAUUUGAACGUUGUUUGUAGAGUAUGGAUCUGAGGGGUUGAUAUCCGCAAAAUGCGAUGUUUAUAGCUAUGGAAUCAUGCUGAUGGAAGUUUUUUCAAGAAGAAAGCCUAAUGAUGAGAUGUUUGCUGGAAAUUUGAACUUGAAGAGUUGGAUAAAUGAUUCUCUGCCUAAUUCGAUUCUUCAAGUUACUGAUGCCAAGUUGUUGAAGCGUGAGAAUGAAAAUUUCACUGAGAAGCUGGAGGUUUUAUUGUCAAUCUUGGAAUUGGCCUUAAAAUGUGUCUGUGAAUCUCCAAGUGAGAGAGUUAGUAUGAAAGUUACGCUGGAGACACUGAAGAAGAUCAAACUCAAAUUCUUGCGGGUCGAUUCGUAGUUUGGAUUGAAUAAAUAGCAUUUCUCAUAUCUUGAAUCACUACUGGAUAUGUAUUCCAUAAAUUCUAUUCUGGUUCACAAUUGGCUGAUCGAAGGUCAUUUCCAUUCGAAUGAAGGUAUGGUCAGGCGAGAGAGACAGAGAAAUUCUGCUAUCACCAUUCUUGAAAUUCGUUGUGUGCACUGCUGUAUAAUGAGGACCAGUUUCAUAAUUCAGCAUUGAUCAAUCCGCUUUUCAUAAUGCAGUUUAUGAUUUAACCGUAUGCAAAGAAGCAAAAAGUGUUUAACAAAUUCACCUGAAAUUCUUGGCAUUAUAGUGAACUUUUCCUCAGAAAACGUCAAUCAGUGGAAAUGUUUCUUAUCCAUGAUUUUGAAUGUAUAAAUACAGAAGGACACGUUGAAAUGGAAGCUUAGACAGCAAACUUGCCUUCAUAAUCUAAAACUUCAAAAUCAAUUAUCCUACGAAAUAAAUUCGAAACUUCCACAUUGUUUAGUUCAGAAUGAUUUACUCUUUUAAGGGUACAUGGGUCCAUAACACAGAAACCUCAUAUUAGCCGGAGAUCUUGAUUGAAGUUGUAACAUUUCUCCAUAAAAUCCUCAGAGUGUGUCUCUAUACAAUUUUUCCUAGUCUAUUAUUGAUAAAUGCUUCAAAAAUUAAUUUAGGAGCCACGAAAGGUUAUCCAUUGAUUUACAUUUCAGCUGAAAUAUUUAUUCACAAGUUUCCUGGUGAAUGUACCAUGUCGAAAAAUCAAAAUUUGGUCUUCGUAAUUUGGAGUUUGGAGAAAGUGCUAGUUAGAAGCAUAUAUGAAUUUUAAGAUGCCAAACUAAGAGAUUUGAAUUUUGUGAAUGAAGCAAAUGUCUCUGGCUCUAUGAAUUGUGUUCCUUCUCGAUCCCCUAAUCGUGUUUUCCACCUCAUGAAUUUUGAAAUUAUUACUAUAAAAGACAAAAAGAAGUAUACUAGCAAAUUUUUCUUUUUUUCCCCAAAAACGACAACUAUUGUAUAAUCUAUCUAUCCUAGACUAUUGGGGAGGGGGAGCCUAAAGAGGUUUUGUAUUAGAGGCUAGUAGGUAUACAGACCUUACUAGACCAAGGGAGUGCAAUGACACAACCUUCGGAUUUUUUUUUUGUUGUAGGUGGGAUUUGAACCCUCCACCUAUAGCCCAAGCAGGGUCUUAAGACUCAUCUUAGUUGCCACUGAGUUUAGCUCAGUGGUUGUAUACUAGCAAAUUUUCGUUUAUGCAGUACCUCAAAUUGCUUGUAAACUUGUCCAAUAUAAAUUUUUGAUUGGUGGGCUUGAGUUUUCUUUCAUUGAGUGAAUGGCUGCUUCCAACUACCUUUAGAGAGUUGACCACAGGAAAAGGUUUAAGGCUCUCUUUAGAUGUAGGUCAAGGGAUUCGAUCUCUUGAUUUGCAUUCAUUUUCAGAAUUUUCUAAAAGUUUCACUCUCUGGUGCAAAGACACCCAUUUGGUCCAUUGGCGGUUCAUCAGUCCUCUUAGUUCUCCCUUGACCUAUUUGGUCCUACCCCCUCCCCUCAGAAUAUUUAGAAUAGAAUAGAAAUAGGCAUAAAAUAGAAGCUGACACCCAUUUAAUUCGGUCAUGAUUCAAUUCCCUCCGAAUUCUUUCUUGACUUAUUUGGAUCCACCCCCUCUCCCUUAGGAUACUUAGGAUAGAGUAGAAGCAGAUAUAAAAUAGAAACUAUCGUGUUGACCACAAAAAAAAAAAACAAAGAGUGAAUGGUGGCUUCAAUUUUAUUUGGUCCACUGAGUCAAUGACAGUAUUGCAAUUUCCAACAACCCACUGGUACUUUAGGGAUCUCUCUUGACUUUAGUCAUCUUCCCAUAAUCAGAAGGAGCCUUGUGAAUUGCCCCCAAAAGAAAAUGAAAAAACAAGAGAGAAUCAUUCCAAUCGUCCCCAUAUUCAACGUUGACGGCAUAAGUAGGAAGAGAACCAGGGAUUCAAGUUCAACAUUGGUUACCAAUGCAAUGGAUGGCUUAUUGGGACAUUGUAGGGCCAAGAUAUGAUUUAAAAACAAAAAAUUCAAUAGGAGAUGGGAAAAUAGGCCAAUUUGUUUAUCUCAAAUAAACCAAAGCACGCGAGCUUUGAAAGACGUCGUAUUACUCCAAAUCAAAUUGUAUGAUUAAAAUUUGGAAUUUCUGAAUGUAGAGAGAAGCAGGGAAAGGGCCAGGAAGCCUCUGUGUUCAAAAAAUAACCUCCUCAAUGUCAUGACACUGUAGUUGUUUUCACUGAUGAUAUCCACUUCAAUUCUUUGCCAGUUUCUUAGACACAGGAAUCAUAUAGAUAAGUGGAAACCAUAUCCCUUGCUUAUGGCUUAGAUUAUAAAACAAUUCCCAAAAAAGACAAUUUCUGAUUCAUCCAACAAUUUUGGCAACCUGUAGCCUAGUCCCCAGAAUUUCUCAUAUCUUGAAUCACAGCAUACUUACUCCAUAGAUUUUAUUCAAUUCUGGUUCACAAUUGGCUGACUAAAGUGCCUUUCCAGUCAAAUGAACGUAUGGUUAAGCGAGAGAGGCAGCGAGAGAAAGAAAUUCUGCUACCAUCAUUGUUGAAAUGCUUUGUGUACACUAUUGUAUAAUGGGGAGUGGUUUCAUAAUUCACCAUUGAUCAAUCUGCUUUUCUAGCCCAAUACUGGAAAAAUUAUAUGCAGUUUAUUGCUUAAUCGUAUUCUAAGCCAGAAAUGUUGAGUUUAAUUUUGUAUUCCAUAUCGAAAGUUUUACAAAGAAAUCUCUCCUCAUACUAGUUAUAAAUGUAGUGGGUUUGAGUCAGUUUGAGUGUGCUAAGAGUACCAAUCCAAAUGCCAUAUGCACAAGUUCAAGAGAAUUUUAGGGGACCCAUGCUCCAGUUUAAGAGAACUUUUGGUUAGACAUCAAACCAAAAGAAUAAGUUAUGGGCCUCUAUACCGUUAAGUAUUUUGUGUUAUUUAGAUUCUUUAAAAAACAUCAUCAGAAAAAAGAAAUAAAUUAAAGUUUUUUGAAACAGUAGAAAAGGAAAUCUAUUUUGUCAUUUAGACAAAAAAAAAGGUAUGAUUCUUAAGAAGUCAAUGGGAAUUAGCCAAAGAAAGAACUGCCUAUUACAGGAUGAACCCAAUCUGGAAUAUAAACAAUAAAAGAAAACACCUAUUAAGUCGGAAUUAUUUCUUAAAGUUUUGUACUCUUUUUCCGUUAUAAUAAAUGUGUUACUCCUUCGCCCAUGAACAUAGAUCAAUUCGGUCGAAUCACAUAAAAUUUUGUAUCUUUCUAUUUAUUUUAUUUGGUUUGUUAUUGUAUUUAUUUGGUUGCCAAGAACUUUAUUGUUCUCAUUGGUUAAUUUCCUAAAACCAGGCCUAACAAGAAAAACAAAGAAACAAAAAGUGUUUAACAAAAUCACCUGAGCUUAUCUAAAUAUUCUAACACGUAAUUCUUGGCAUUAUAGUGAACUUUUCCUUGGAAAACGACAAUGGAAAUGCUUCUUAUCCACGAUUUCGACUAGGCAUAUCAAUUGGAUCCCUUUGAUCCAGAUCCAGACUCAUUUAAUUUAGUUAGAUCCAAAUCCAGAUCCAAACCCUUUUGGGUCCGAAAAAGUAAGUUCAUAUCUAAACCCUUAUGAGUCUGGAUAUUCAAUGGGCAUUCAUGGGUGUUUUCUGAAAAUACUAAAGUAAAAAUGUAUUAAAAAAUAUAUAGUGUUCAUAAAUAAUAGAAAUACAAUCCAAUUUUUGUUUUCAAAUAAUAAAAUUAACAUUCAACAAAUUGAAUGCAAUAUUUUGAACUCAAAAAAAGAAUUAUUAUUGGCUACUUCUAUAUAUUUUUUAAUAUUCAACUGCAUCCACAUCAAUAUUUCAUUUGUUUGCCUUUAUCUUUUCUCCUUUUCUUGAAAAAGUUUGUACCAAUUACAAUGACAACUAGGAUUAGUUUUGAAAAAAAAAAAACAACCAUAACAUAUAUAAAUAUUUAGUCUUAUUAAAAAAAUGUAAUUUUGUACCUCUUUUUCUUAUUUGAACCUCAAUAUUGGCAGAUAUCUCGUAAUCCGGCAUUAAAAUAAUGAAUGAGAUAAAAAUCAUUUGAUUAAGGACCGAUGGCAAAUAAAUAAUAGAAUAAGAAAAUUUAUAAACAUUACUCAUUUUUUCUUUGAUUCAAUAUAAUCAUUAAUAGUCACUAAUGUUUCAACAACAUUUAGAAGUAAUUUGGCACAAAUCUCAUCAAUCACCGAACCACGAAUACGAAAUGCAGAUUCUGAUGCCAUAAAAUGUUAUUGUAUUCGUUCCAAUAACCAUAAAAUAUUAUAUUAUUUUAUAAAUUUUCUAAUAUAUAUUAUUUAAUUAAAUAUGUGUGGGUCUGGGUAAGAUCUGAUAUGAGUCUGAAUUUGGAUAUAGAUUCUAGGAAAUCAAACCCUACCCAGACCCACAACUCUCUCAUAGGAUUUAGAUCUGGGUUUGGGUAGGGUCUGGAUUUGAGAAAUUAAAUCCAAACCCUACCCACAAUAUAUUGGGUUUGAAUUGGAUUUGGGUAAUACCCAAUCCAUUUACAUGCCUAAUUUUGACUGUAUAAAUAGCGGACACGUUGAUAAGGAAGCUUAGAUAGGAAAAUAGCCCUCACAAUCAAAAACUUCAAAAUCAAUUAAAACGUACAAUAUCAUUGUCCUACAAAAAUCUGAAAUAAUCGUCUGAGUUGUAACAUUGUCCUAUAAUCUGCAUUGAAGUUGCAACAUUUCUCCAAAUAAUCGUCUGAGUUUAACUCUAUACAGUUUUUCCUAAUUUGUUAGUGAUAAAUGCUUCAAAAAUUAAUUUAGAAGCCAAGAAAAAUUAUCCAUUGAUUUACGUUUGAUGAAAUUUCAGCUGAAAUAUUUAUUCACAACUUUCCAGGUAAGUUGAUUAUGUCGGCACGCACAAUGAAAAACCAUAAUAUGGUCUUAGUUUGGAGUUUGGAGAAAGUUUUAGUUAGAAGCAAAUAUGAAUUUUAAGGUGCCAAACUAAGAGAACUUAAUCUUGCGAAUAAAACUAAGAGAACUUAAUCUCUGGCUCUCUGAAUUAUGUUAAUUCUGGAUCCCCUAAUCGUGGUUUCCACUUCAUGAAUUUUGAACUUAAUAUAAAGACAAAAAGAAGUAUACUAGCAAAUUUUCAUUUAUGCAGUACCUCAAAUUGCCUGUAAAUGUGUCCAAUAUAAGUUUUUUAUUCGUGGGCUUGAGUUUUUCUAAUCGAGUAAUUUAAUUUGGUCCACUGAGUCAACGACUCUACUCCAAUUUCCAACGACCCAGUGGCACUAUAAGAGUCCCUCUUGACUUCAGUCAUCUUCCUGUAAUUGGAAGGAGACUAGGGAAUUGACAGGAACCAGAGAGAAUCAUUCCAUUUUGGUCAACGGCACCAAAAAGUGAUUAAACCCUUUUGGACAGUUACACGGAGGAGGUUCGAAUCUCACUUGCAGUAAACAAAAUUUAAACAAGAUGUCGGAGUAUUCUUUGAUCUAAUUAGAUUUAUAUACCUGCUAGUCUCUGAUACAGUCUUUUUAGGCUUUCUCUCUCUAUAAAAUAGAAUAGAUUAAUAUUAUACAAAUGUUAUCGUUAUAAAAAAAAAAAAAUCAUUCCAAUCAUACUUUGCAUGUUAAAGCACCCAUGAUCCUUCGAUGAAAUGAGCACUUGAUAUUUUUUCGAUGGAUUGGAUUAGCUUGUAUUUACAUACACAAAUUGCAAAUACAGAUCGAGAUGCAAGAAUUUUUCUUAUAUUAUUAUUAGUUCCCUUGUAUUUUUGCUUCUUUCAAACAUAUGGAGAUGCAAGAAUUUUUCUUUAAUUUAGAAUACAACAUUUACUAAUAUGACAUAAAUGGGAGUAAAACAUAAUUUUUCUAAGAAACUUUGGACUUUGGGAGUAAACUUAUUGUUAAAACCGUAACCUUAGAAUAAGUUCCGAGGCUAGAAAGAGAUUAUAAAAAGUGGUGUAUUGUUUUUCAAUGUUGAAGGGGUAGGUUGGGAGAGAACUGGGGAUUCAACAUUUUGUUAGCGAUGGAUGGUAUUUGAAACAUUUAAUGGCCAAGAUUUGGUAAAUAUGCAAUUGUGGCUCAACCUUUGAAUACAACAAAUAGCGAAUCUAAUAUUAAUUUCAGGUAACGUUAAUAACCCUUUUUUUUCGCCAAAAAAUUGCUGCCUCAUAAAGUUGGACCUACCUUGUUUGGAAAGUAAUUUCUCUCCGAAAAUUUUUUUACGUUUUCUAUUAACACAUUUUUCAAUCAACUUUUCAUUUCUAAAUAUACUCCAAACUGGCAUCUACACUCCUUGUAAGUUUGAAUUUGAAAAGAAAAAGAAAAUAGAUAGAAAUCCAUUUUAUUAUACUCCAAACUGGCGUCUAUGUGCUAACCAAUCUACAGCUUUUGAAUAAAAUAGCUAAUCUUCGUAUAAAUUAACUUCGCAUUGACUUGAUGAUGACAAUCUAUUUGUCAGGAAAUUAGCAAGAGAGAAUUUAAGUAGAAACCACAAAAUGUCCUGGAGCAGCAUCACUAGUGACCGAAAUUUACAUAAUAAAGGGCAAGUGACGAAAUCUCCUGGGGCAGCAUCACUAGUGACUAGUGUCCACAAAAUGUAGGGUCUCUAUUCCCUUCAUGACUUUGCUCGGAGACACAUUCCUUAGUGUAGAACCCACUAACCAAAUGUCACAUUUAGUGUUGAACCCACUAACCCACCCACAUUUAGUGUUUGCCCUAGAAUACAGUCGUAUCCAUUCCCAAAUUCACCCAACUAGAGAAGUCAACUCGGAGGAAGGGAAAUUUAUUUUUAAAAAGAAAAAGAGAGAGAGAGAGAGAAAUAGACGGAAAAAGUGGAAAAUUGAUCAAAAUUCAGCGAAAAAGGUUUAUUAAGGCAAAGUUUGGAUAACUGAGAGAGGAAAAUGCUAAAAUGUAUUGCCUGUGGUCAUUGGAACGUAUAAAAGAUGAAAGAUCUACAUGAAACUACACACACAUAUUUCCAAAACAAUGACUAUAUAAAUAUACAUAGAGGUUGGACGAAUGAGAAUAUAUCCCCGAUUAGGACUAUUGAUUGAUCAUAUAGGUCGAUAUGAAGAAACACUACUUUUACGUGUUCCCUCUUGCAGUACUUGUUUUGCUGCACUAUCCAAUGAUGACCUGCUACACAGCCAUGACAAGAUUAAGUUUAGGCACUGAUCAAUCUGCUCUUUUAGCCCUGAAGGCCCAUAUCACUGCAGAACAGGAAGAAUUCUUGUCAAAAAACUGGUCUUCUACAGCUGCUGCAUCCUCUGUUUGCCACUGGAUAGGAGUCCAAUGCAGCUCUCGACGCCAGAGAGUCACUGCUUUAAAUAUUUCAAACAUGGGACUCACCGGCACGAUACCUCCGGAUUUGGGAAACCUCUCCUUUCUUGUUUCUGUUGAUCUGAGAAAUUACUCCUUCCACGAAAAUCUGCCCGAAGAGUUGUCACACCUACGCCGCCUGAGGUUCAUCUUGUUUUCCAACAACAAAUUCACUGGGGAGAUUCCAAUGUGGUUUGGUCACUUUCCCGAACUCCGGUUCUUGUUUCUUGACAACAAUGGUUUCGGUGGCUUUAUUCCUUCUUCAAUCUCAAACUCGUCAAAAGUGGAAGCUUUAACUCUAAGAGGCAAUUUUCUGGAGGGUAAUAUUCCAGAAAAGAUGGGAAAUCUUUCAGUCCUCAAGGAUCUGUCUCUAUCUGGGAAUUAUUGUUGUGGUACAGAACCAGAAAUCUUGUAGGAAUGGAAGUUGAAUAAACAUAACAAAUUUUGAACACUCAGAUUUGAUCGGAUUCAAGAAAUAACACCUCUCCUUUUGUUGAUGAACUUCAAAUAAGUACAGAAUAAGAAUUGGCGGGAAGAGGAAGAAGGGGAAAAAGAAUGCAUGAAAUUGAGAGAAAGACAACAGAGGGGUUAUUCCCUCUCUGGAUGCAAUAACAAAUCUUAACCAAAUUCAUAGCUAACCAAUUACAUGAUCGUAUCUUUUAUAGAAGCUAUUCUAACUAACUCCUUAAAGUAACUAAUGAGGAAUUGACACGUGUAAGUAGAAUCUUCAAGCUCGAUGGAUUCCAGUUUCAGCAAGAACAGCAUGAGCUCCAGUAAAGGCGUGAUCGAUGGAACGCGCUUUCACCUACUCUUCUGUGACUUCUCUUUUUCUGACUUCACGUCUUCUUCUUCCUUACACUGCUAACUGUUGGCUCUCAUCAAAUCACGACUUCUCUUGACAUCUUCCUCCCAUUGCCACGCCUUCCUUUGUCUUUCCUUCACGCCUUCCACUACUGAGCUGUCGACUUCAUUACAAUAUCCCCCCCUUAAUCAGUAAAUCUUGUCCUCAAGAUUGGAAGGUGGGAAACUGUUUCCCGAUCUCCUCUGCAUCCUCCCAUGUAGCUUCUGCAGGAUCUGUGCCCCACCAGUGGAUUAACCACUGAGUUGUAGCAGCAUUUCUUUUCUUUACCAUCCUCCUACCAAUCACUGCUGCUGGUUCUAUCCUCCAAUGCCCCUUCUCAUUUGUUUCUGGUAGUUGGAGUGUAGGUGUGGCUUUGUCGCCAACCUUUUUCUUGAGCAAUGACACAUGGAAGACAGGGUGGACCUUUGAAGAAGUGGGUAGAUUCAGUCUGUAUGCUACCUCUCCUAUCCUUUCUGUUAUCUGGUAUGGGCCAAAAUACUUUGCUGAGAGUUUGGUGUUUUCCCGCAAGGCUACUGAGCUCUGUCUAUAUGGUUGUAGCCUUAGAUAUACCCAAUCUCCUUCACUGAAUUUCCUUUCACUCCUCUUCUCAUCAGCAUAUUUCUUCAUCCUUUCUUGUGCCUGUUUCAAGUUCUGCUUCAACAUGUUAUCCAUCUGCUGCCUUUCCUUGAUGUAAUCUCCCACUGCAGCCACUCUAGUCUGAAAGUAUGGUCCUAAAGCCAGUUGAGGAGGGGGGAGGCCAUAUAAUUCCUCAAAUGGAGUCAUUUGAAUGGCUGUGUGGUGCGAGGUGUUAUACCACCACUCUGCCAAGGACAACCACUGGUUCCAUCCCUUAGGUUCUAUAUGAGUCAGACACCUGAGAUACAUCUCUAGCACUUGAUUGACCCUCUCAGUCUGACCAUCAGUCUGAGGGUGAUAAGUUGUACUGUAGUUCAGCUUAGCUCCCAACACACUGAACAAUUCACCCCAGAAUUGACUGACAAAUAUCCUAUCCCUAUCAGAUAGCAUGCUCUGAGGAAUCCCAUGUAAUUUACUGACAUUAUCAAUGAAAAGUCUGGCUACCUUUGGUGCAUCAAAAGGAUGUGUUAGACUGAUGAAGUGGGCAUAUUUGGUGAAUCUAUCCACAAUCACCAUUAUGGUAUUCUUCCCUUCUGAUUGAGGUAGUCCUUCAAGGAAAUCCAUGGUAACGUGGCUCCAGGAGUGUUGAGGGAUAGGCAAUGGUUGUAGCAGUCCUGGAUAAGCCACAUGUUCAUCUUUACAUUUCCUACAGGUGUCACAUUCCAGGACCACCUUCUUGAUUUCUUUGUACAUUCCUGGCCAGUAGAACAACUGUUUGGCUCUCAUGUAGCUGGCUUGAAUACCUGAGUGACCUCGUAAUUGAGAGUCAUGUAGUGCAGUGAUAAGCUUUUUCCUGGUGUUCCCUUGUCCUCCUACUACCAAUCUUUUUUUGUACCUGAGAAUACCAUCCUGGUAAGUGUAGUCUGGGGCCUGUGUAGGAGACAGUAGUACCAGUGAUAUGGUCUUCUGAGUCCACUCGUCCCCCUCAUAACUCUCUAUUACUUCCCUAACCCAAGCAGGUACUGCGCAGGAUAUAGUGGUGCACUCCCCUAUCCCCUCUCUGCCUUGUCUAGAGAGUGCGUCUGCAGCCACAUUGUUUUUUCCCCUCUUGUAGUGAAUUUCAUAGCUCAGUCCCAGCAAUUUAGUGAGCUACUUUUGUUGGAGAGGAGUAGUGAUCCUUUGUUCCCGCAAGUACUUUAAACUCUGAUGAUCAGUGUGUAUGAUGAAGUGAUGCCCUUCCAAGUAGUGUCUCCAUUUGGUUACAGCAGUCACCAGUGCUAGCAGCUCUUUCUCAUAGAUUAACAGUCCUGUGUUCUUCUGUCCCAAGGCUUGACUAAGGUAGGAAAUAAGCCUUUUGUUCUGCAUCAGGACAGCACCUAUGCCAGUAUAGCAUGCAUCAGUCUCAAUGAUGAAUGGUUGUGUGAAGUCAGGCACUGCUAGCACAGGGGUAUGGCACAUGGCUCCUUUUAGCUCCUGGAAAGCCCUUUCUGAGUCCUCAUUCCAAUAGAAAUUGUCCUUCUUCAACAGAUUCGUCAAAGGCCUUGCUAUGGCUCCAUAUCCCUUGACAAAAUCUUCUAUAGUAGCCUGUCAGCCCCAGAAAUCCUCUUAGCUGCUUGAUAUUAGUUGGUUUGGGCCAAUUCUCCAUGCAUUCUAUCUUCUUAGGAUCAACUUGGACUCCUUCUGCUGAUAUUAUGUGUCCCAAGUACUCCACCUGCAACUGAGCAAAAGAGCACUUGCUCAUCUUGGCGUACAGUUGGUGUUGUCUCAGUAAGUUCAUUACCUCAGCUACAUGCUUCACAUGCAAUUCUAGUGUUGGACUGUACACUAGAAUAUCAUCAAAAAAUACUAGCACAUGUUUCCUCAUCUGAUCUUGAAAAACUUGGUUCAUUAGGCUCUGGAAAGUUGCUGGUGCGUUGGUCAAGCCAAAUGGCAUGACUUUGAAUUCAUAGAGUCCCUGGUGAGUUUUGAAAGCUGUUUUUGGGAUAUCCUCCUCCUUGACUCUGAUCUGAAAGUAUCCUACCCUCAGGUCAAUUUUUGUGUAGUACCUGGCUCCAUGUAGCUCAUCUAUCAACUCCUCAAUCAGGGGCAUGGGGAAUUUGUUCUUUACUGUUAAAUCAUUCAGCUGUCUGUAAUCCACACAGAACCUCCAUGUUCCAUCCUUCUUCUUAACUAGCAAUACUGGGGAGGCAAAAGGACUACUGCUAGGCUGUAUGAUGCCUAUUUCCAGCAUUUCCUUUACCAGUUUCUCAAUCUCUGCCUUCUGUACGUAGGGGCACCUGUAUGGCCUCAUCUGGAAGGGCUUGGCUCCCUCUUUUAGAAUAAUCUGGUGGUCAUGGCUCCUGGUUGGAGGCAUUCCUUUGGGUUCUUCAAAUCCAUCCUUGUAUUGAUCUAGCACCUGACUGACUUCAGCAGGUAUCUGUUCUGUUCCAUCUUCCUCUUUUAUUGCCACCAGUUGUGCUACCACCCCAUAUGCCUGUUUCCUCAACCACCUAUCCAACCUGCCUCCUUUGAUCAUCUUUAAUCUGGUGCUAGAAUCGUCUCCCUUCAGUACUACCUCUUGUUCCCCCUUAUGGAUUAUCAUGCUGAGCUCCUUGAAAUUGAAUUCUAUGGGGCUGUGUUUGGCCAGCCAAUCUACUCCAAGGAUCAUGUCACAGCCUCCUAAUCUCAAGGUGUUAAAGGCAUGAUGGAACUGAUAACCUUGCAUUUCCCACUGCAGCGGUUUAACCAGUCCCUUGGAUUCCACAUUUUCACCAUUAGCCACAUGGACCAUUAGGCUAGGUCCCUGUGUGCUCAGCUUCAACUCCUUUGCCAGUUGUUCAUCCAGGAAACAGUGUGUACUACCACUGUCUAUUAGUGCAGUAACCUGUCUCCUGUCAACCAGGCCCUUCAGCUUAAUGGUCUUGUGCCCUGCUCCCCCAGCCAAGGCAUGUACAGAUACCUCAAUAUGCUCAUCUACCACCUCCCCAUUAAUACAGUCACAAUAGACCUCAUCUUCCUGCUCCUUGCUCCCUUCUGUAGUCUCAGCUCCUUCGGCCAACAAGUAAUGAAUAUGGGACUGUUUGCAUGUAUGUCCUAAAGUAUAUGGCUCAGCACAUUUAUAGCACAAUCCUUUCUCUCUCCUCAGGUUAAAUUCUGCAGGGGAUAUCUUCUUGAAUUGAUUUUGGUUGUUGCAUUUUGAUUGGGGGGUCUAGGGGAGUGUUUGACAUUGUCUUGGUUCUAUCUGGUAUGAGGGGGCAUUUUAAUAUGGCUUUUCUGACUGCUAAAACUAGUAGGAACAGCUUUGUGUAACUUCUGGAUAGCUUUUAAGUUCUUUUCUUGUAACUUUUCUACUUCAAUGGCAUCAGCUAAGGUUUCUGGUUUUGACAUUUUCACCAUAUUGACAAUUUCUUCUUUCAAUCCACUCAUGAAGCAUGCUUUAUAAUAGUAAUCAGAUAAAUGUGGUAAGGUUGGCAUUACCAGUGCUUUGAGCAUUUCAAAUUUUUCCAGGUAGUCAGCUACUGAUCCAGUCUGUACUAGCUUGUUGAACUCCUCAAUUGCUUCCUCAGGUUUUCCUUCCCCAAAUCUGAUGCAGAGAGCAGUGGUUAGCUCCUCCCACGGUAUAGCUUCCUUUCCAUGAAAGACUCCAUGGAACCAGAUGUCUGCUCUAUCCCUAAAGUAAAGCUCUGCUACCUCAGCCUUCAUUUCAUCUUCUAUUCCAUGUAUUUUGAAAUACUUGUUAGCCUUUCUGAUCCAUUCCCUCGGAUUGUCCCCAUCGAAGAUAGGUAGAUCCAUUUUAGGCAGCUUGUUGAUGGUCUUGAACUCUCUCCUUCCAGCUACUUCCUUUGGUGGUUCCAACUUAGAUCCCUCAGGUUGGGCCACCCCCUUAGAACUGCUGCUUCCUUCUAAUUCUUUCCCUCUGUCGUUCAUUUUAGACAUUAGUUGAGCCAUCAUAUUCAUCAUACCUUCAUACUUCUGAUCUAACCCUUUCAGUAAUUUUUCAGUAGCAUCCUGCCUGAAUUCCAUUGAUCUGAUCGUCUGCUCCAUUCCUUCAUUUUUGUUGGUGAAGGUUCUGACCACACUACCAAGUUCCACUACCUCUCUUCUCAAAGCUUCAUCCUGAUUUUUUGUCAUCCCUAUGGCUCGUAAAACUAGCUCUGAUACCACUGUUGUGGUACAGAACCAGAAAUCUUGUAGGAAUGGAAGUUGAAUAAACAGAACAAAUUUUGAACACUCAGAUUUGAUCGGAUUCAAGAAAUAACGCCCCUCUCCUUUUAUUGAUGAACUUCAAAUAAGUACAGAAUAAGAAUUGGCGGGAAGAGGAAGAAGGGGAAAAAGAAUGCAGGAAAUUGAGAGAAAGACAACAGAGGGGUUAUUCCCUCUCUGGAUACAAUAACAAAUCUUAACCAAAUUCAUAGCUAACCAAUUACAUGAUCGUAUCUUUUAUAGAAGCUAUUCUAACUAACUCCUUAAAGUAACUAAUGAGGAAUUGACACGUGUAAGUAGAAUCUUCAAGCUCGAUGGAUUCCAGUUUCAGCAAGAACAGCAUGAGCUCCAGUAAAGGCGUGAUCGAUGGAAAGCGCUUUCACCUACUCUUCUGCGACUUCUCUUUUCCUGACUUCACGUCUUCUUCUUCCUUACACUGCUAACUGUUGGCUCUCAUCAGAUCACGACUUCUCUUGACAUCUUCCUCCCAUUGCAUUGCGACGCCUUCCUUUGUCUUUCCUUCACGCCUUCCACUACUGAGCUGUCGACUUCAUUACAAUUAUUUAGUUGGUCAAAUACCAUUGAGUUUAUGCAAGUUUUCUCAACUUCAAUCGCUAGACUUGUCAUCCAACAGGUUUAGGGGGCACAUACCUAAAGAAAUUGGAAAUGUGGAGAAGCUUACGUAUUUAUCCCUCAUGAAUAACAACUUCACAGGUAAUGCUUUUGCUUUGCCUCUUUGCAUGCGAACGAGGCCAAACUGCAAUUAAGACAGUUCUCAAUAUAUCUCUGAAAUGAAUAUGAUUAGUUCUGUCUUUGCGUAAAAUUGUUAGGUGUAAUUCCCCGAGAGAUUGGCAAACUGCAUGGUUUGAAGGUUCUCAUGUUAGGGUGUAACAACUUGACAGGUAAUCAGGUCUAUGAAUAGCUUCACCACUACUUAUGGUUCCAUUCCUGACGUCCUCGGGGACCUUACACUUCUGCAAUUUCUAGCUCUGUAUGGCAACAAUUUAACAAGUGAUCCUACAUCUAUGGAGCUGAGCUUCAUCACUUCAUUGACAAAAUGCAAAAAUUUGGUUUAUUUAGACCUGGGUCGAAACCCCUUAAAGGGACUUCUUCCAGCUUCCGUUGGGAAUCUCUCUGCUUCGUUAGAGAUGUUGAUAUUACAUUCAUGUGAAAUCAAGGGCACCAUACCAAGUCAAACUAGCAACUUGACCAAUUUGCUAUUGCUUGAUCUACAAUCGAAUCACUUGACCGGAGGUAUUCCAACAGCGUUCAAAAAUCUACAAAACCUGCAAGGUUUGGCUGUGGGAGAUAAUAAUCUUAACGGCACCUUAGAUAGCCUUUGCAAUUUGCGUAGCUUGACUUUAAUAGGUCUGGCCACAAACCAGUUUUCUGGGUCUUUACCAGAAUGCUUCGGUAAUAUGACUUCUCUUCGGGAUCUUACACUAGGAAACAACUUUUUAGUUUCUGCCACACCUAAUAGUUUUUGGAAACUCAAAGAUCUCUUGCAGUUGAACUUAUCCUCAAACUCCCUAAAUGGUUCCUUGCCCCUUGAACUUGGAACUCUGAAAGCUGUAACAUUUAUAGACGUAUUAGCGAAUCAAUUCUCUGGUGACAUUCCCAGAACAACAGGUGAUUUGCAAAACCUGUUGAUUUUAAAUUUAUCCCAAAACCAAUUUCAUGGAUCUAUCCCAGAGUCAUUCGGCAAGAUGCUCAGCUUGCAAGGACUUUACUUAUCGCACAACAAUCUUUCUGGCUUCAUACCAAAGUCAAUGGAGGCACUUCGGGACCUCCAAGAGCUUGACGUUUCUUAUAACCAUUUAAGUGGUGAAAUUCCUUCUGGUGGUCGCUUUAGGAACUUUACCACUGAAUCUUUUCUCUUCAAUGAUGCAUUGUGCAGAGAUUCCAGGUUUCAUGUGCCGCCUUGCCCAAUAACUAAUUCAAUUCACAGGUCAAGAACCAAAAAGGUGCUUCUAUAUGUAUUUGCUCCUCUGGGAAUCGUUUCUGUGGUUGUCGCAGCCUUAGCAAUUGUCUUCAGAAGAUAUUGGAAGAAUUAUCGGGAUUCUAAAGGAACAAACAUGGUAUUAGUGCCAACGCAAGAAAGAGUUUCGUACUAUGAUCUUCUUCGAGCAACUGGUGGGUACAGUGAAAGCAAUGUGCUUGGCAUUGGGAGUUUUGGAUCUGUUUACAAGGGGAUUCUCAAUAAUGGAAGGUCUAUUGCUGUAAAGGUUUUCAAUUUGGAACUGGAAGGAGUGCUCAAGAGCUUUGAUGUAGAGUGUGAAGUCCUGAAGAACCAUCGCCAUCGAAAUCUUUUGAAGGUCAUCAGCGGUUAUUGGAACCAGGAUUUUAGGGCCUUGGUGCUUGAAUACAUGUGCAAUGGAAGCCUUGAGAAGCGGCUGCAUUCUGACAACUAUUUCUUGGAUACUCUACAGAGAUUGAAUAUAAUGAUAGAUGUGGCAAGUGCAGUGCAAUAUCUCCACGAAGAAUAUUUGACGCCUGUGAUUCACUGUGAUUUGAAGCCCAGUAAUGUCUUACUUGAUGAGGAUAUGGUUGCCCACGUCAGCGACUUUGGUAUUGCAAAAAUGCUGGAAAAGGAUGAAAGCUUUGCAUGGACCAAGACCUUAGCUACAAUUGGCUACAUUGCUCCAGGUAAUGAUUCUUCAAUCUUAAUCCUAAAUGUUUGUACAGCAUUUAGUUUCUUUUUGCCUUCUUUUAUGUGAUACUUGUUCAAUUUGAAUGUUGGUUGUAGAGUAUGGAUCUGAGGGUUUGAUAUCAGCAAAAUGCGAUGUUUAUAGCUAUGGAAUCAUGCUGAUGGAAGUUUUUUCAAGAAGAAAGCCUAACGAUGAAAUGUUUGUGGGAAAUUUGAACUUGAAGAGUUGGAUAAAUGAUUCUCUGCCUGAUUCGAUUCUUCAAGUUAUUGAUGCUAAGUUGUUGAAGCAUGAGGAUGAAAAUUUCACUGAGAAGUUGGAGUGUUUUUCAUCCAUCAUGGAAUUGGCCUUAAAAUGUGUUCGUGAAUCUCCAACUGACAGACUCAGUAUGAAAGUUGUUCUUGAAACAGUGAAGAAGAUCAAACUCAAAUUCUUGCGGGUAAAUUAAUAGUUCGGAUCGAAUAUGUAUCAUCUUUUAUAAUCAUCCGAAAUAUUACGAAAUACAUGCCAAUCUGUUCACUUUAAAUAAACCGAAAGCACAUGUAAUCUUUGUUAAUUCUUCCUUGCAUCUGUUGAACGUUUGUUGUAUUUUCUGCCAUUAGUGCAGAUCUUAUGAGUUGAAAUGAAAUUGUUGUGUUGUAUGACUGCAAGUCAACAUGUAUUAUUAACUCGUGGAAUUUUUUAAUGUGGUUUUUCAAAAUCAACCCUUGAAUGUGAAUGUGUAGUUUUCACUAAUGAUAUCUGAUUCAAUUAUUUGUCAAUUUCUUAAACGUUAGGGAAUCAUAAAGCAUAUCCCUUGCUUCUGGCUUAGAUUAUAAAACAAUUCCCAGAAAAGUCUAUUUCCAAUUCAUCCAACAAUUUUGGAAGCUGUAGCAUAGUUUCCAAAAUUUCUCAUAUCUUGAAUCAAUGCAUAUGUAUUCCAUAAAUUUUAUUCCGUUUCAUAACUGGCUGAUGGAAGGUCAUUUCCAUUUGAAUGAAGGUGUGGUCAGGCGAGAGAGAGAGAUUCUGCCAUCACCAUUCUUGAAAUUCUUUGUGUGCAUUACUGUAUAAUGAGGACUAGUUUCAUGAUUCAGCAUUGAUCAACUAUAUAAUACUGGAAAAACUUAUGUGCAGUCUAUGACUUUAUUGUAUGCAAAGAAACAAAAAGUGUUUAGCAAAUAUUCUUCACGAAAUUCUUGGCAUUUUAGUGAACUUUUCCUCGGAAAACUUCAGUUGGUGGAAAUGUUUCUUAUCCAUGAUUUGGAACGUAUAAAUACAGAAGGACACGUUGAAAUGGAAGCUUAGACAGCAAAAUUGCCUUCAUAAUCUAAAACUACAAAAUCAAUUAAAACGUACAAUAUCAUUAUCCUACGAAAUAAAUUCGAAACUUCCACAUUGUUUAGUUCAGGAUAAUUUACUAUGAACCCACGUUCUGUGAUUUCACAUAAUUUACUAUCCAUAUAAAUACUUGGGCAUGGUGUUGUCAAUCACUGGCCUUAAAGUUUGCUGUGUGCAAAAACAAAGAGAAUCUGGGAACGAAGAGAAAGCAUGCUAUUCCUCUUUUAAGGGUACAUGGGUCCAUAACACAGAAACCUCAUAUGAGUGGGAGAUCUUGAUUGAAGUUUUAACAUUUCUCCAUAUAAUCCUCAGAGUGUAACUCUAUUAUUGAUAAAUGCUUCAAAAUUAAUUUAGCAGCCACGAAAAAUUAUCCAUUGAUUUACAUUUGAUGACAUUUCAACUGACAUCAACCUGCAAUCAUGAUUAUCGAAGAUAAUAUGAAAUACAGGUCUGCAAUGUCAUUCCUCUCUCUAGUGGAGGCAUUUCUCUCUCUAAAGAGAGCUUUCCCUCCCUGUGGUGGGAGCUUCAGACAAGCUUCAAAAAGCUAAAUUUGGAAGGUUUCACUUUCAACGCAUUCAAGGAACUCUGCUAUUGGUGCACUUAUUUCUGCCACUACCUGUCUUUUUGGACUUCUUUCAGCAGCUUAGGAAUUUAAAGGCUGUCGGAUCUACAACUGCUGACCAGCACCAACAACCCUUAUAUCUGGCUCGAGUGCGGUAACAACUGGCGGACAAAAUCCACUGUCGGAGACAAAAACAAAACCUCGAGUCACUAAGAAUUUGUACGUAUCGAAACAGAGGAAGGAGCAGGCGAAGCUGAAGCGAUAGGAGGAAGAUGCAAAAUAACAAAAUAAAAAUAAAAAAAAGGAAAAAAAAAAACAAACUCUCAAGUCUCUUUAACCGCAGAUCUGCUUUACUGCAUCCAGACCCCUUGGAAACCAAUACGAGAUGGGACAGGUAAUUUCAUAUCCAUAUUCUGCUUUCCCAAGCUAUCAUCUUUUAGUUUAUCUUAGCUCUUCUUUUCCUUUUUAGCUUUGUUCUGGUAGUAUAUAGUAGAUCCGCCCUUUUUGGUUUACAUCUAGGUUAGCUUUCUUACCCGAAGGGAAGUGUGUGGAAUACCAUUUGAUUUAUCUUCCCCAUGGCGGAGGAACUGGCUGAGAUUUUGCAAAACUUUGAUCUCUCAAGUGCAGAGCUCCAAACCACUACCCUAGGACAUGAGGAAAUAGGUGGGGGGUUCAAGAGUGUAGAAGUAGCUUGAUUGGGAAGGUCGUGGGAGAGAAAGUAUCGAACUAUACUGGAAUCAAGAACUUUGUGAUAGCUGCGUGGAGCUUCCCAAGAGAACUACAAGUGGUGGAGCUAGGACCCAAUCUGUUCCAAUUCAUCUUACCUUCAGCAAAUGAUAGACACAGGAUUCUGACUGGUGGACCGUGGAUAGUGGACAACCAAGUGCUGGUGCUAAGCGAGUGGUAUGAAGGGAUUGAGGAGGAUGCUGAGGCGUUCAGGUCAGUUCCCUUAUGGGUACAGGUAUGCAAUUUGCCAAUCCAUUGGAUGUCAAAGGAAGCUGGGAGAAGGCUUGGUUCAAACUUUCAGUCGGUAAGAGAGGUAAUUGUCCCUCAAACUGGUGGGAAAGAAGGAAGACACCUGAAACUUUUGGUGGUGGCAGACAUCUCACAGCCACUACUGCGAGGUACCAUUGUCAAGGUGGGUGAACAAACUAAAUGGGCUAGUUUCAAAUAUGAGAGGUGCCCGGAUUUUUGUUAUAAGUGUGGUAUCAUUGGACACAGUAAGAGAAAUUGUCAGAGGCAAGAUGACAAGGGGGUGGGGAAAAAGGAUAACCAAUAUGGCCCUUGGCUAAGGAUAGGCAAUGUGAGGAGUUCCCAGCACAAGCAACAAGUUGGUACGGUGUACAACCCCCAAAAACAUCACUGGAGACUUCAAGAUGGGGAGUGGAGGGAGCAAAGGCAAUCAGAGGGCCUAGAAAAAGCCUUGGAAUCUCAACUUGACAAUGAAAGUGGUCUAGCUAGGAAGCUUGUGGCUGAUACGGGGUUGGUGACAAGCAGUGGCAGGGGCCAGGAUGGCCAGGGGAGUGGUUCGAUAGGAGAUGUGAGAGUACACUCAGAGAAGCUUAAUGAAUCUGGUAGCAAAGUGGGUUCGGAGUUAACGGAAAUUCUACACAUAGGACAAUCAAAGGGGGUAAUCUCGAACCCAAAUUGCCGAGCUCAGAUGCAGGGAUAUCUCAACCAGAAGAACAGCUCUCAGUCAAACCAGCCUCUGAAGGUCCAAUGAUAGAGGAUGAACAAGUUAACUUGAUAAUCCAAAUCCCAUGGGAUGAAGAACAGAAGGAUGCAACACCAGGUGUUGCAACUACAAAUAUAACUGUUGAGGGUGGACCAAAGAUCAAAGAAGCUUUAGUUAAACAGUCCAGAUGAAUCCAGAGAACCCUAAGAUCCCCAAGAACACCUAAGCAACCAGAGGAAACAGUGAACAUCAACACAGUUAGGGAAAGGAAAACUAGGAAAAGAAAAGGGUUCAAGAGGGAACUUGAUAUGGAUAUUGAUGAGGACAUCAUACAGGAGGGUAAGAGGAGCAAGGUGGAUCUUAUGGAUAACUUGAUCGCUCCUAUGGAGGAGGGGGAGGGGUCCAACCCUUUAUAGACCCCAAUGGCUAAAUGAGAGUCCUGCUAUGGAAUUAUCAAGGAGUGGGGAGCCCCUUGACAAUUCCCCAGUUGAGAGAGGUGAACAACCUCUCCUCUCCGGACAUAGUGUUCUUAUGUGAAACCAAAAAUAGAAGUAAGUAUUUGGAAAAAGUCAAAAAUAUUUUGAGAUUUGAUGAAGCUGUCAUCGUGGAUGCCAUGAACAAGGCAGGAGGGAUGGCAUUUCUUUGGAGGGAGGAGAUUAGGAUAAAACAAGUGCUCAAGACUGGCUUUACAAUUGAAGCUCAGAUUGAGGAUAAGAAAAGUAGAUGGGAUUGGUGGUUUAUUGGUAUAUAUGCGAGCAGUGAUGAUCAAGUUAGGAAACAGCAAUGGCAAGUACUCCAAGCUAGGAAAGUUUUGUGGGGAGAAAGAUGGAUUAUGGCCGGUGACUUUAAUGACAUUGUCUCGAAUGAAGAAAAAUGGGGUGGAACCUGGAGGGACGAAGGCAGCUUCAUGGCAUUCAAAAACCUUAUCAAUGAUAAUCAAUUGAUGGAUGUUGGUUUUGAGGGUCAUCCUUGGACCUGGUGUAAUAAUUGGGCAGGUGCGGGUGAGAUAAAACAAAGACUGGAUAGAGAUUUAUGUAGCUAUCCUUGGCUCCAAAUUUUUGAUAAGGUUAAGUGUAAACACUUGGAUUCAUUUGCGUCAGAUCAUAGUAUGCUGAUUAUAGAGACAAAUCCAACACAAAUCAGGAGAAAGAAGAGGUUCUAUUUUAAUAAAAGGUGGCUCCAGCGAGAUAAAGUUUGGGAUAUUGUCAAACUGGCGUGGGACCAAAGGGACAAUGGCUCAAGGAUGUUCAAGGUUGUGCAAAAAGUGAAAAGGAGUAGAGUUAAUCUACUGAAAUGGAACAGUAAAAUCCAAGGCAAUUCAAAACAAAAGAUAGAGCAAAUCAAGGGCCAACUGCAGCAACUAAAUCUGUGUGAUACUGAGGCGAAGCGAGUGAGGAAGAAGAGUCUUAAGAAUGAAUUGAAAGAGGCUUAUAGAGACGAAGAGAUCUACUGGGGUCAAAAAGCAAGGGUGCAAUGGCUCAAGGCAGGAGACAAAAAUAGCAGAUUGUGGAGGGGAGAAGGAGGAGGAAUAAAGUGGUCAACAUCCAGAGAGAGGAUGGCACAUGGACUAAGAAUGAAGAUGAGCUCAGUGUAGAGAUUGCUAGCUAUUAUAGAGAACUCUUCAAGACUUCAGACGCAAAUGAUAUGGAGGAAGUGUUAAAUGGUAUUCCACACACAAUCUCAGGUAGUAUGAAUGAUAACCUAACAAAACCUGUAGAUGAAGAGGAGAUUAGAUCAGCUCUCUUUUCUAUGAAUCUUGAUAAAGCUCCGGGUGUAGAUGGAAUGCCUUCCAUUUUUUUCCAAAAGUUUUGGAACAUAGUUAAAAAGGAUUUGGUAGGUGCUGUCCAAACAUUCUUCCACACUAGUCAUCUGCUCAAGUCUGUAAAUCAUACAGUCAUUUCUCUCAUUCCUAAAAUUUUGAUUCCCACAUCCCUUAAGCACUAUAGACCUAUUAGCUUGUGCACGACUGUAUAUAAAAUCAUAGCAAAGAUUCUAGCUAAUAGGUUGAAACAGGUUCUUCAUUUCUGUAUCAGUAAAACUCAGUCAGUUUUGGUUCCUGGGAGGCAAAUCUUAGACAAUAUUAUGAUUUCCCAUGAGUUUUUACGCUAUCUCAAAAACAAAGGGCAAGGAAAAGAAUGAUUUAUGACUGUGAAAUUAGAUAUGUCUAAAGCUUAUGACAGGGUGGAAUGGAGGUUCCUGGAAGUUGUAAUGCGGAAAAUGGGGUUCAAUGACAAAUGGAGAAGCUGGAUCAUGGAGUGCAUUUCUACUGCUUCUUACUCGUUCCUGGUUAAUGGCGAAGUCAAGAAGUAUGUGGUGCCACAAAGGGGCAUUAGGCAGGGUGAUUCACUGUCACCCUACUUAUUCCUCCUAUGCUCGGAAGGCUUUUCCAAUCUCCUCCAAAAGCCUGGGACUGCGAAAAAAAAUUGAAGGCAUGAGAAUCAGCAGGCAGGGACCAAGACUAACCCAUUUAAUUUUUUGCAGAUGACUCUUUGAUAUUUUGUAAAACUGAUUCCCAGAAUGCAGCAGAGCUCAAAAGGUUACUUAACGUAUAUGAAAGAGGAACAUGCCAGCUGAUUAACCUGGAAAAAUCCUCAGUCAUAUUCAGCAACAAUAUGCAGCAGCAAAGGAAGGUGGAAGUCAGCCAAGCUCUAGGAAAUAUCCAUGUUGUAAGCCAAGGAAAAUACUUGGGUCUCCCAAUGGUGGUAACAAGAUCUAAACAGCAGCUGUUCGGAUACAUUAAAUCCAGUAUUCAACAGAGACUAAAAAAGUGAAAAAAUAAACUUUUGAGUGCAGCAGGUAAAGAGAUUAUGCUCAAGUCUGUGGCAUUGACACUGCCAACAUACACAAUGUCUUGCUUCAAGCUACCUAAAAAAUUGUGCAAGGAGAUUAACUCCACAAUGGCCAACUAUUGGUGGGGUGAGGAGAAUGGGAAGAACAAGAUGCACUGGAAAGCUUGGAACAAGAUAUCGCGGGACAAGCAAGCAGGUGGCUUAGGCUUCAAGGAUUUAGAGGCUUUCAAUCUAGCCUUAUUGGGAAAGCAGAUUUGGAGGCAACUCACUCAACCAAAUUUGCUGGUCAGCAGAGUGCUAAAGUCCAGAUAUCACCCAAAGCAAUCUAUAUUCAAGUGUAAAGUUGCUGGGAAUGCUUCAUGGAUUUGGAAAGGACUGAUGCGAGCUAGGCUGAUGGUUGAAGAAGGAACUCGAAAAAGGAUUGGUAAUGGCCUGAGUACUAACAUUUGGGAGGACAGCUGGAUUCCUAUGACACCAAAUGGAAGAGUGACAACACAGCAGCCACAAGGAGUUAAUUUGGUUAAGGUGGCAGACUUGAUCGUCCAGAAAAAAUGGAACAAGAACCUUCUCUUUAGGAAUUUCACCCCCAUGGAGGUAGAAGGAAUACUAAGCAUCCCCAUUAGCUUACUCGACAAAGAGGACAGCAACUUCUGGAUUCACAAUUCAAAUGGGCAUUAUUCAAUGCGAUCAGCCUACAGGGUCCAAACUAAAUGGCUGAAGGCUUACGAGUAGGAGGUCAGGGGGCCAGCUAGUACUAGUUCGAGUAUCCAAGGUCAGAAAAUUUGGAGGCACCUGUGGAAACUGAAUAUUAAGCAUAAAGUGAAGCUUUUCUUAUGGAAAUGUCUCAACCAAGCAUUACCUGUAAGACACCUCAUUCACAGUAGAACACAACAAGGUGAUCCUACAUGUAGAGUGUGUGGAGAAGAUUGUGAAAUGGUUGAACAUGCGUUACUUAAUUGUAAUCAUGUUAAACUGGUGUGGAGAAUGGCACCUAUCCAAUGGGAGGGAAUUACAAAUCUGCAAGGUUGUUUUAGUUCGUGGUGGACCUCGGUAAUGGAGGCGAGGUCGAGAAGUGAGGGAUAUGAACACAUUUCUCUCACGGCUAACAUUCUUUGGUAGAUCUGGAAAAGCAGAAACGUGAAGGAAUUUGAAAGUAAGCAGCAUCCCCCACUACGAAUAGUGCAGAAAGCUCAGGAGGAAUGGUUGGAAUAUGGUGAAGCUACGGUCAUAGCCUUAAAGAUGAGUACAGAAGAAACAGGAGAACAACCGCAACCCCCCCAGCAACAAGAAGAAACAGAAAGCAUUCUGAGAUUAAGGUUUGCUAUAGAAAAGAGCAAGGACAGCCCCCAAAUAGGGACUGGAGCAACUGUCUCUUUAGAUAAUCAACAACUGAUGAGAGGAUGGGCUUUACAGGAAAGAUGUUCUGGCCAUAAGCUAAUUGAUGAACUAACUGCAAUUAAGCUACUAAUGUGUAAAGCUACUGUACAGAAGUUGGAGAGGUUAGAAGUUCAUGUCCAGAAUAAGCAGACACUCCACCUCAUCCAGCAGACAAAAUCUUCAGAUAUGCGAGUGGUAACAUUGCUGGAGGAUAUACAUAGCCUUAAGUACCUGUUUCGCAUGUGCUCCUUUUGCCUAGUUAAUAGGGAUAUUAACCAUAUUAUUCAUAGAAUUUGCACUCAUGCGCUAGACUUUUUUGUUGACCAGGAAUUUUGGAUUCCUCAGUGAUAGUUAGCACUGACUGUGUAGUUCCCUCAAGUCUUUACUUGAAAUUGUAAAGUUUUUGGUCUUCUAUAAAAUCACUUAUCGUUUCGGAAAAAAAAAAAGAAGAUAAUACGAAACACAAAAAAGAGCAAUUUUUGAAGUUAAUUUAAUUUGGUCCACUAAGUCAACUGAUACGGCACAUACAGAAGCUCCUGGAGCAGCAUGACUAGUGACUACUGUCCACAAAAUGUAGGGUCUCCAGUCCCUUCAUGACUUUGCUCGGAGACUAGUUAACUUUGAAACUCAUUCUUUAGUAUUGAACCCACUAACCACAUAUCAUUUAGUUUUUCUUCAAAUUUUACAAGAUGCCAUUUAGCAUUAAAAAAGAAAAGUAAAGGAAAACAUGCCGAUUAAAAGCUACCUAUAAAUGAAAUCAUAGUACGUUGUUGAAAACUGGUAAACACUCAAUGAAUUAGGUGAGUAAAGGUUAGUUUAGCACUUCACUAAAUAAUCCCUCAAUUGCUGCUGGUUGAGCAUAUAUAUAUAUAUAUAUAUAUAUAUAUAUAUCAGUAGUGAUUUCCAUGAUGACAAUUUCGGGUGCUUAUUGUUUGAGCCUUUAAGGGAGCAUUGUCUUUACUUACUACUCAAUUAAAAAGAAUUUAGUUACAGCAUAAUAAAACAGGCUGAAGAAUAUAUAUAAUAGGUUGGAAUCAUUACUAUUAAUCAAUCAUAUUAGUGCGUUAUAGUACGUAUUAGCAUUUGGUAUCUACAAUAGAACUAAACGUAGAAAACACAUGUAGAGUAUUUGUUGUUAAUUUUCUUUUCCCUUGGUUAUUGAUUAUAAAAUUGGUUGUGAUUAACUUUGGAAGAUUUGAUUUAACGUAAUGGGCAGGCAUAGUUUGAAUAUUCUAUACACAGAUGGAGAUAAUGUUGUAAAUAAUGCGCAUGCUCUUUUUAUUUCGAAUGUGCAUGUAUUUGGGUUUGUUUACGUAUAAUUUUCUUAGUUCAAGUAAAAAUCUAUAUCUAUAUGUAUUCAAGAAGGGGUUUUUAGCAGAAACCCUCUCAAUGGCUUCUAAACUUCUCAUUCUUUUUUCUAAAUUUUUGUAUUUAUUUUAAUACAUAAAAAGUAGUGGGUCAUAACCCACCUUAUCACCAAUCAAAUUUAAAUUUAAAAUAUUCUCACUAUCUAUUAAUUCAUCCUACAACCACUCUUACAAAUCCUCUAAUCAUCAUCCCACGUUUCUCCCUACAUUUCCUCCCACGUUUCUCACUCCAAUUAAGAGUCCACUCCAACUAUCUCUUAAUUCAUCCUACAACCACUCCUACAAAUCCUCUAAUCAUCAUCCCACGUUUCCCCUACAUUUCCUCCCACGUUUCCCACUCCAAUUAAGAGUCCUCCAAUUUAAGAAUUCCACCCAAAUUAAAACUCCUCCAAAGAAUUCCAUCCCCAAUUCCCCCACCCUCUCUCUCAGUUUCUUAUUUGUUUUUGGUUCUCUAUUGAUUUUGUAAAUGUAUUGAUUUUGCUUCUUUUGUGAGCAGUUAUGGAUGAGAUUAUGUGUAGAAACUUCAGCGGAAAUCAACCUUCUUGCGGAGAACUAGAAGUAUAUUCUUGCCGACUUAAUUUUCUAGGUCAGUCCCCUCUGCCCCUCUGCCUUUUAAGUAUGUUUUGCUUUUGAUUUGCUUUUUGUCAUGAAUGAUAUUGCAUUGAUUUUCUGAUCAUCCAUUAUUUCUGAAAUUUUUUUACAAAAUCCUAUGAACGGUCGUUUGCUUAUUGUUACACCGUAAAGCAAAGAUACUCAACAGUGGGAUAAAGUAUAAACACAAAAUCACAAGCACAUGCUCCAAAAGACCCAUUAAAGGCAUGAUUUAUGCAUCGACCAUGCUGUUGCUACUUAAACAGCAGCAAUUUAGCGAAAAUGGAAAGUGGAAACGAUGUGUGUGAAAUCAAAUGCUUAGUAUUUGUAAGUAUUUCAUUUUAACAACAUUCACAUUCAUUUGAAGAAAUAUAUCAUUCCCUUUUUUAAUAUAAAUUUUUAUUUUUUUUUUCAGGAUCCAUUUUCCAAAAAAAGACAAUUCUUGAAUGAUAUACACAUUCUAUUAUAUUUCAAACUAUUGUUAAACAUAUAUUACAUUUUAAUUUUGUUGGUACAAUUUUUUCACCUUUAUUUGUUCACCAUUUUAUUUUUAUUUUUUUCAAUAAUGUCGGCACCGUGCGUAGCACGGGUAUUCACACUAGUCUAUAUGUAUUGCAGAGAGGGUUUUUAGCAGAGACUCUCUCAAUGACUUCCAAACUUCCCAUUCUUUUUUCUAGAUUUUUGUAUUUAUUUUAAUACAUAAAAUCUAAUUAAAAACUCUAAAAUAGUGGGUUAUAACUAAUCCUAUCACUAGUCAAAUUUAAAAUUUAAAACUUUUCCACUAUCUCCUUCAUAAACCGUUUAUAGUUUGUUAUUUAUACUUUAAGUCCUUUUGAUUCCUUAAUUAAAUAAAAUACAUUUGUCAAGCCAAAAUUCUCAGGGAUAAUUGGUUAGUCUCAUUUUAAAAUUAUUCACCCUAUUAUAUCUUUAUCACUUUAGCCCCUUUUAUUCCUUCAUUAAAGAGGAUAAAUUUAUCUAGCCAAAUCCUCGAGAUAAUGUGAUUAGUCCUAUUUUUCAGUUAUUGCUUUCCUUCUGAGUACAAUAAUCAUUUGUCAACAUUUUCUAAUGAUAUACUUGAUUACUCUUAUGUUUUAUUAAUUUAUGUUACAAUUUUAUUGCAGUCUUAAACUUAUCAUUUUUCUUUUAUAUUCAACAAGUUUAGGGAACUCUAAUAGGUUUACUUUUUAUAAUUUUUAUGUUGGAUUUUAUUCAGUAGGUUUGUUUUUUAAAGUUUUAAAAUUUGAGUGUUGAAAUUAUACUCUAACAUUAAAUUGGAGUAUGUAAAUAACAAUUAUGAUAUUUUAUUUGCACUUAGAAUAAACUCAAUAUUAAUAUCGUGCAAGCAUCUAGAUGACUUUUCAUUUAGCACAUGUACACCAAAAAGUGCAUGUAAAGAAAAAUUUAUUUAUGAAUUUUAAAUUAAUAAAGGUGUAUCUAGAAGGUUACUUUUGGUGGUAUUUUAGCAGAAUUUUGAUGAUAAAAAGGUUGUAUUUCACCAAAUUUACAUCCGAAAGUUUACUUUUUCUCGAUGAUUGCAAUUCUAGCUUUUUAGAUUAAAAACACUUAAAAAUGAGGCAGCAACUUGGAAAAAUAAUUCUAACUUUUUAUAUGUCCAAAAACACUUAAAAAGUGAGAUGAUGAAUCCUAAGUAGUGAAAGGAUUAGAAAGAUAGGACUGUAGGGUUAAAGAAGGUAAAGAUUAAGGAAGAGUUAUCAAAUUAGAUGAUUUAUGUGAGUUUGAGCAAGUUAUAAUUAGGCUCACGAGUUGGGGGACCAGUUGGUACAUAUGGAGAUUUCUUGGGUAGGUUACUCUCUCCAGGUGUCGGCGGUGUAUGCCAAAUGUACAAGAGUGGGUCGGCGGAGCUUAUGGCAAGCAAUGGAGGAUGUCCGUGAGAGGUUUCCAGGUCCAUGGCUAAUGGCGGGAGACUUUACUGUGGUUUCUAAUGCCAGCGAACGGUUUGGCGGGGCCCCACCAAACAGGCGCAAUAUGGAUGAUUUUAACGAGGCCAUUUUCUCUUGUGGGCUUGUUGAUGGCCCCCUGUUCUCCUGGACCAACGGUAGGCAGUGUUUGGAUCGGGCUAUUGCGAACACAGCCUGGAUGGACACUUUUGAUGUGACGAAAGUGUCCCACCUAGUGCGAGGUAGAUCUGACCAUGCUCCUCUCUUUGUCAAAUGUGGCUUGCACAAGGCACAUAGCUCAUCUUUCCGUUUCCUUAAUGUCUGGACCAAACAUUCGAGCUUCAUGGGUGUGGUCCGGGACGCUUGGCAAGUUCCUGUUCACGCUGGGGGUAUGCUCGGUUUCUACCAACGGCUGUCGAAUGUUAAAAGUAAACUCCGCGGCUGGAGCAGGCAGUCGUUUGGAGAUAUCUUUCAGGCAGUACAUGUGGCUGAGGAAAACUUGUUGUAUCAUCAGGAGAUGUUUGACGCGACUCGCGAUGACAUCUCUCGGAUGCAGUUGGGGGAGGCUCAGGCACAAUACGCCCGAGCGUUAGGCGUAGAAUGUGAGUACUGGAGGUAGAAAUCGGCAAUUAAGUGGAUUCAGCAGGGCGAUGCCAAUACCAAGUUCUUUCACUCGAUCUUGAAGCAGCGACGGAGUGUCAAUUUUGUCUCAAUGGUGAGGGACGAUGCGGGUCACUAGCUAGAAGAUGAGGAGGAGAUCAGAGUUUCGACAGUGCAAUACUUUGAGAAGCUGCUCACGUCGGACCGGGAGGACCGGACUACCCCAAGCUUGGACUUCCCGCUCCCCUCACUGACAGAUGAGGACAAUUUGAUGUUUCAGCAGUUGCCGUUCCUGCAGGAUGUAAAAGAGGUAGUUUUCUCGAUGUCAAAAGAUAGUGCGUCGGGGCCAGACGGAUUCGGGGCAGGUUUCUACCAAGAGUAUUGGCCAAUAAUCCAGCGUGACAGCGUGAGCUUCUCGAAGCGGUUCAGGAGUUCUUCAAGGGGGCCCCUCAACCCAGAGGCUUCUCUAGUGCAUUGAUUGUGUUAAUCCCAAAGGUACCGGGGGUGACUAAAUGGCAGGAGUUCAGACCGAUCAGCUUGUGUAAUCAAAGCUCCAAGAUUAUCUCCAAAGUGCUGACAAACCGCCUCAACCUUCUGCUCCCUAAACUUAUCUCACCAUGGCAAUCAGGUUUUGUCCCAGGCAGGAGUAUUGCUGAUAAUAUCCUUGUGGCACAGAAACUGGCACUGGAUAUUGAUAGGAAGCUGCGAUGCCCAAACCUGAUGCUGAAACUAGAUAUGGAGAAGGCGUAUGACAGGGUAGAAUGGAGUUUUCUUAUAUUUAUGCUCCGACAGUUUGGGUUUCAGGAGUGGGGGGUAGAUCUCCUCUUUCGGACGCUAUCAAACAAUUGGUUCUCGAUGCUAAUCAAUGGAUCCUCGGCAGGAUUCUUCAAAUCCUCUAGGGGGGUUCGACAAGGCGACCCGCUCUCUCCACUGUCAAGAUGAGAGUCAUUUCUUCAUCUCCCCUGGGUUGCGGGUCCCUUACUUGGCGUUUGCGGAUGAUACCCUGGUCUUCACCCGGUGCUCUGAGGAGGGGUUGGCUUCUCUCAAGACGUUCUUUGACUCUUACCAGGCUUUCUCGGGUCAGAAGACUUCAUUUUGUCUACCCGGGCAUCCCCUACACAUAGGACAGUCGUGGCCUCAACGUUGCACUUCCAGCAACAGUUCCUGCCGUUCACGUAUCUGGGGGCCCCAGUCUUCAAGGGAAGAAUGACGUGCGUUUGACUCCCUUGUGGCUAAGGUGCAGGCCCGUCUAACCUAUUGGAGCUCGCGGUUACUCUCGUCAGGAGGUAAAUUGGUGCUACUGCGGCAUGUUCUUACCUCGAUGCCUAUGUACCUGCUGCAAGUGUUGGACCCCCCCGGGCAGUUUUGCUCAAGCUGGGAAAGUUGUGUAAUGCUUUUCUCUGGGAUAAGCCCACUGGAGUGAGGGGCAUCCAUUGGACUUCUUGGGGAAAGAUCUGCUACCCGGUUUCUGAGGGUGGCUUGGGUUUUCGCUCCUUUGAAGACAUGAGCUCUGCCUUCGCCGGUAAGCUAUGGUGGCGGUUGAGGAAAAACGAAUCGUUAUGGGCGCACUUCAUGCAGGCCAAAUAUGUUAGAGGCAAGCACCCGCUCCAAGUGCAGGUGGUCAGGCCUUCGGCUGCAUGGAGGCGGUUGGAGGGAAUUAGACGGGUAGCAGAGAGUCACAUCAGGUGGUGCGUGGGUAAAGGAUUUGUAGAUCUGUGGUAUGAUCGUUGACUAUUUGAUGUCCCUCUGGUCGACCUCCUUUCCAUUAAUGACCCGCCACACAUGCUGCUCGCAGAGUUCUUUGAUGACAGGGGUUGUAAUGUAGCGAGACUAGAGCAAUGGGUGCCUGCUCAGCUGGUUAAUCAGAUCCAGAAUUCGGCACAAACGCAACACCUCGCUACUAGACGGGCUCCUUUGGACAAGCAUAGUGCCACUGAAGUUAUCAUUCUUCGCAUGGAAGGUUUUACGUAGCCUGGUCCCCGUGGAGAUGGUUCUGAAACGACGUGGAGUUCCCCUGGCAUCACGCUGCCCAUGUUGCCUGUUGGAAGAAGAGUCACUAGUUCAUCUCUUCGUAACUGGCCCUGUAGCAAGGGAGGUUUGGAGCUCAUUUUGUCAGAGGUUUGGGAUUAUUGAUCCUCGCUCCUCAUCGGUAUCUGUGAUGGUCUUGACAUGGCUCAGCUCGACUUCGCUGGUAUCUCGUGAUCAUAUCAGGACCGUCGUUCCUUUAGUAAUACUAUGGUUCCUAUGGAAGGCUAGGAACAGGGCGCUCUUCAAGGGUGAGAUAUUUGAGGCUCGUAGGGUGGUGUCUUCGGUCGACGGAUUUGUGAAGCAGUUGGAAGCGGCAACAAAACUUUUGGCAUGUCAUUUUCGGGGAGACAUGAGAGACCCAUGGGUCGGACUGUGCACCCGACCAAUGAAACGGAAAACUGCACAGGCGGUGUCUUGGAAACGCCCUCCGUUGCACCAUGUCAAAUUGAAUACGGAUGCUAGUGUCUCUCACAAGCGUGCGUAUGGGGGUGGGUUGCUUCGCGACUCGGACGGCCGCUUAAUUUUUGCCUUUUACAAGGAGUUCGGGGAAUUGGACGUCCUGAUGGCAGAAAGUUCAUUGUUGCUGCAUGGCCUUCAGCAUUGUAGGGACCUAGUCAGGGGGCCCCUGCUGGUGGAGGUGGACUCUAAGAGCCUGGUUGAUCUACUCAAUGCGGGAGCAAUGUCUCGUUGGCCUCUGUGUAACACAUUGCGUCGCAUCCAAGCGCUGCUUUCCUCACUUUCGGCAACGGUAUCCCACGUCUUUAGAGAGGCAAACGCUUCGGCGGACGCGCUCACCGGGUUGCGGUUGCCGUCAAAAUUAUUUUGCACUUCACUCCCUCAGCUUCCGCAUUUAGUACGGGCUACGGUAUACUUAGACAGCCGCGAGUUCCCCUCCUUGCGAUGGCAACCCGGAUAGGUGUCUUGAAUUUGCGGGUGGCUGAAAUUAUGUAUUUCAUCGUUUUAUCAUAGCAUGUACUUCUCCGGUUCCAAUCAAUAAAAUAAGGUAUUUUUUUAAAAUAAAAAUAAAAAAAAAGUUAUAAUUAGGCUAACCUAUAUAUUCCUAUUUAGUGAAUGGUUCAAAAUAGACGAGUCGUCAAUGAAUAUAGUUUUAUAUGGGUUUGGAUUAUCCAAUCACCCAUUCUCGGCCCACUACUAAAUUUUAUUUACUUUUUCAUCCACAUUUUGUUUAACAACAAAAUAGUAAAUCAUAUCAAUAUAUCAAGUUAAUAAAUCAAUUUUUACCUAAAGAAAGAGAAAAAAACAAAAAAAAUUACUUAGAGGAGCCUAAAAUGGUCAUCAUAGUGAGUUUUAAAUUUUGUCACUUUACGACAAUCUAAAAAUAAUUUAGGUAUUAAUGCAAACAAUCAAUUAACAGUCACAAAAUUUAUUAAACUUUUAUGAAAGAAAUGGAGGAAGUAGGAUAAAUUUUAAAAAAUAAAAUAAUAGAAAUUAAAGACGAGAAAAAAUGAUGAAUACAUCUUUGCAAAAUUUAGAAUAUAAUUAUUAGAGUAAUUUAGAUUUACCCAGAAAUGAUUGAGUUUGAAUCUACGUCUAGUUUAAUUAAGUCAAAAUAAGUGAUCCAAAUUUGUCCAUUUCAUACCCACUAAUUAAUGGGUUAAUUUGAUCACCCAUUUGAAUCCAAUUAAAUUACAUAUGCAAACUCAUUUGUUAAUAGGUGAGCCAAGUAAAUAGGUUACCAUUUACACUUAAAAAUGGAUGAAAAUAGUAGUAGAAUAGGAGACAAGUGGCUGUAAAAUUGGGUAAGAGAUAGGGUAAUUGGGUGGGAGCGAGAUAGAGCAAAGAGAAAAUAGGAUUUGGUGGAACAAGAAAGGGUUGUAGGGAUACAAGAAAAUUGGAUAGGAAAUGAAGGAACGAAAGAAGGUUGUAGGGAUACGAAAAAAUUGGAUUCAGAAAGUGAAAAUAAUAGUAGUGGAAAGUAGGAGGAACAUCGAAAAGAGAGGAGGAGAGAGGAGAGAAUGUUGUGUUUGGCCAUAUUUUUUCCUCCGUCCUAUAUAAAGCUGUGCAACGCACAGGUCAAAAUACUAGUUUUUAUGCAAAGUAGUACACAAAAUUUUGGAGGCAUAUGGCCAAUCGUGGAGUUGGAAAACCAAAAAAAAAGAAAAAAACACUUAAUAGUGUUAUAAUAUAAAUCAAUCUCUCAAUUUCAUUCUGACUUUAUUUCUAAAUUUUAGACAUACCCACCCCUAAAAAGAGAAGACUGUUGCAAAACUUAAAAUUUCAAGCGUUCACACUUGUGUGAGUGUGAAUAUAUGAAUAGGAUAUGAUAGGGUGUUAAUUGUUGGUUAUUUUAUUAUUAAUUUCCCCUUUGUCCUUGCCAAAUAUUGUUUUAAUUAUUAAUAUUUACUUAUAUUUUGUAUUUGGAUUUAAUUUCAGGGAAUGGAACAGAAACUACAAAAAAGGAAGGGCUUUCUGAGCAAUUUACUGCACACAUGGGAGUCUUCUGCAAGGCUCACUCAACGUGGCCCACAAGAGAGGAAACAAUUGGAUUUCCCUUUGGCCCUUAUUGAGCUGAUGAAGAAAGGGCUAUGAGAGCCCUAGGAACCAAGGAAACAAAAAGAAAAUUGAGCCGCAGCUUUUGUAUUCUUUCCUUGGCUUUCAAUUUCGGUGGGGACCACGAGAGGAGAAAAGGCUUUUUCUUCAUUUGGCCUUUAAGAGAAGUAACGUACAGAGAUGGGAAACAAGAAGCAAUUUGGCAGGACCCACCUUGUGGAUUUGGUUUUCUCUCAAUUCGGCAGAGUUUCCUUCUUGGACUUUGACUCUCAAUUCGGCGGGAUCCACGCACUAGGAGAGGCAUUAGUCCUCUUUGGCUUUAAAAACAAGUACACGGAUGGAGAUGAGGGGAUGAAUACUUUUUAUCUUUAGUUCUUAUCGAAGCUUUAGGAUAGUUUUAGUUUUUUCGUUUCUUUCUUGGCUCUUUUGAUGGCCUGGAUCUCAAUGGAAUUACUUGAAGAUUUUCUCAUGAGACGUGGCUAAGUUUGUCUAGUCAAGAACAACGGAGGAUUUGGUUCUACUAAAUUUGUGAGAUCGAAUUAGUUUUUAUUUAUUCCCAUUAUUCACUGGUAUUUGUCUAUCUUCUGCUUUAUGUUCAUAUGGUUGUUUAUUAUUCGAUUAUCCAGGGCCCGGAUUCUAGAUUAAUUCAAUAACCUGAAGCCAAUUAGGGUAGUUAAAUCCGUAAUUGUUUAAUUAUUCUAAACUGGUGGCAACUGGCAUGAUUGGGUUUGUGUCAGGGAGAUAGGCAGGCUAACUUAAAGAGACCCUCGUAGCGUGUUGAUUGGUUAGAAUUAGCCUCUUCUAAUUAUUCAUGCAAUUAGGGAAUUGAACUUCUAUGGUCGUACCUAGGAUUAUUUCCUGAUUAGAGAAAUAGUCAACGGUCGUACCUUGGCUAUCGACAAAUUGAGGAAGAGUUGGUUGUUUAUCGCGUGUAUGACAACUAUAACUAAUUUAUCAGAUAGUAACUGGAAUAAUCCUUGCAUCUGUGAUCGAAUUAAGUGAACCAUUUCCGAAGUUGUCUCUUGGCUAGAGUUCGUCCAUUAUUAUUUUUAUUGUGAUAAUUAGUUAUUUGAGUUGUAGUUAUUUUAUUUUAAUUAAUUUAUUCCAAGUAAUUUAGUUACUAUCAUUUUCAAAACCCCCCAUAUCUGGAACUUGAGAAGAAAUUAAAUUAUCUCCAGUCCCUGUGGAUUCGACCCUGCUUACCGCUAUAUACAGAAUUUGUAUUUUAUUUAAGCAGGUAUUUAUUAUUGCACAGGUUCGGCACCUGUCAAUUUUUGGCGCUGUUGCCGGGGACUGGUGCCAGAUUAAUUUGUUUCUUUUUGAGUUCAUCUUGUUUUUAUUUUUUAUUUUUUAUUUAUUUUUCUCUUAUUUUUUUUAUUAUAGUUUAUGGCUUCUAACACUCCGUAUUUUGGUGAUAGACUGGAUUUUGUUUCCGGGGAAGGCGAUGAGACUAGUUUUUUUGCUAAGUUUGCAUAUUCAGAGGCAGUAAACUCUAUUAGAGAAAGAAUGGCUGCUGCAACCUGUAAAAUUUGUUAUGCCAGGGAUCAUUCGACCGGUAUGUGCCCCGAAUAUCAAGAUAAUCUGAGUGUCCCACUCAAUAAUUAUGGAGAUUUUUCACCAUGGUCUCAAACGUGGUAUAACCCUAAUCCAAACGGGUAUGAUCAAGCAUGGUGGGAUAACUCCAGUUAUAAUUAUACAACAGGGCCACUAGAUUUUCAACAGCUAGAGUCUCAAGAACCGUCAUCCAUGUCAGGUAUGUCUCUUGAAGAAAUGGUUGAAUUAAUAGCCACUAACACAUAUCAAAUUCAACAGGAGGUACAUCAACUUCAACAGGAGACACAAAAAAUGAGUGAAGAGAUGAAAGAAGCAAGGCUUGAAUGGGCAUUUAAAACGAGCAAAUUGAUUUCUCCAGUUUAUGAAGAAUUGUCCUCACCGACUAUUAUCGACCAUGAGGAAGAUGAGAGUGCAAUUAUUCUGACAAAUGACAUGGUACUGCAAGAGUCUCGAGAAGAAGAAUCUAAAGAUGUAGUUGAAAAGAAAGUUGAAGAGCAAGAAUUGAGACCCCAACAUCAAAUGGUUCAAGUGAAUGAAUCCAGUGAACUAUCUCCAAAUGCGGUGACAUCUCCUCCAUUCCUUGAUCAAUAUUUUCCUGACUCUUAUUCUUUAAUUCCUGUUAGUGAGAUUGAUUUUAUUAUACCAGACGAUUUUGAAUUUCAUGCCAGGAAUAAAUUAAGAGUCAUGAUGGCAAAAUAUCUCGAACCAAUAAGUGCUCUUGAUGGAGUGAGUGAAGAUUUAAGAUCAUCACUUAUUUGUUUGGUGCCAUUUACUAGUCCAUGGAAGCCCGUAGCUCGUGUGCCCAAGAAUUACUCUAUUUACGAGGGCUAUCAGGAUUACAUAGAAGAUGAAGCACUGAAACGAGCCACAAGAUUUUAUCCUCCAUGAAUACACAUGAAAAUGUCUAGCCAAAGACAUUAAAGAAAGGCGCUACUUGGGAGACAACCCAAGACUAUUUGUUUCAGUUUUCAUGCAUUUUUGAAGUUUUAGUUAGGUGUUGGUAGCAAUUAAUAGUUUGAUUGGUGACAGGGAAUUGGCAUUUAGGCGUGCCCACGCCAGGUGGUCACGUCUGGGGAAAAGGGUUGGAAGGCGAGAAUCUGUGGACUCUAAGGCAGUUAGACGUGCCCACGCUAGGUGGUCACGCCUGAGAGAAAAAAAUUUUCGUUCAGGAUCUGCGGACUCUAUAGCAGUUAGACGUGCCCACGCCAGGUGGUCAUGCCUGAGGGAAAGAAAUUUUCGUCCAGGAUCUGCGGACUCUAUAGCAGUUAGGCGUGCCCACGCCUAAGCCAGAGGUUCCUUGAAAAAAAAAAUCAAAAAUUCAAAAUAAAAACAUUUUCCGUUUUACACCUUCAGUGUUGGUUAUCACAAUUCGAGUUUUGAAAUUUGAGUGUGCAAUAAAAAAAAAAUUUUCUUUUUCUUUCUUUCUUUUCUUCUUUUUUUUUCUUUCUUUCUUUUUUCUUUCUUCCUUCUUCCCCGCUGCCUCUGUUUUCCCCUUUUUCUUCUUGUCCUUCAUUCGUCCAGCUCACCUCGCGGCUCCAUUGAGCACAGCCCACGCAGCUCGCGGCCAAGCCGCGCCUCUCCUCCACUCUCACCUUCCAGGAGCGCCACCCCCUCAGCUUAGCUCGCCGCUAUCCAGACCGCCAACCCAGCUCCCUUUUCUCCUCUGCCUUGCGCGCAGCUCGCGGCCAGCGACCCCAGCGCCCGCCUCACCUCUGCAGUCGCGUGGCCUCAGCCGCGCCUCUCUCCACCUCGCGGCCACCGUCAGCUCUUCCCUCUCUCUCUACCUCACGGUCCACCACCAGCUCGCGCCACUCUACCCUCAACUCAACCCAGCCACUCUUCACACGCCGCCGCCUGCUUCAGUGCGUCCCCAGUCGCGCGCCGCCAACACCCCAUCUCUCUCUCUCCUCGCGCGGCUGCCCACCUCUACCAGCCUGCAAGCCACCACUCUGUCCUCCAGCUCAGCUCAACCCCCUCCAGCCCACCGCCAAGCUCCGAGCUCCACCGCCAGUCCACCAGCAGCUUCCUCCGCGCGCGACCAGAACAGCGCCUCCAGCAGCACAGCGCGCGGUCACCAGGGCAGCAGCUCGCACACAGGCGAGCCCAGGCGCGACUUCACAGCCGCGUUUCCUCCUCGCGCGAGUAGACCAGGCGCGCGUGCGACGCCCGCGCGGUGAAUUCCUCCACCUCUUUGCUGCCCCUGCUCUCUUCACUAGCACCCACUGCCUACUCCAAACAUCUGGUGAAUUCUUUUUUUUUUUUUUUUUUUCAGUCGCUAAGUAGCUGAGGCCAGAGUACUAGUUUUUCAUUAGCUGAUGCCAGAUUUUUGAUUUGCUAGCUGAGGACAGAAAUUUUGUGCUUGUUUGGGUGUUGUGGUAUAUCUGUGGUUGGUUGUUGAUUAUUUGGUAAAUUUUGUGCUCAACCGGUGGUAUUUGGGGAGAAUCUUUACUCUAGUUGCCUGUUUAUUUAGUUUUUGAGGGGUUUUUGCUCUGUUUAUUUGCUUAAUUAUUUUCUGGGGUUAAUUUUGGGUGGAAUUCAAUUUAUUUGCUACCCCAUUUGGGGGUGCUCUCUGGCAUUGAUUAUAUUGUUGAAUAUUAUUUGGGUUUUGACUACUUGAGAUUUCUAUUGCAUCUGGGGGAUAAAAUUUGAUGACUUUUGUGCCAGUUUAUUUGUUUGGAAAUUGUUGGGGGUAAUUUGGGAGUUACUUGUCAAUUGGGUCCCGUGGUACUCUCUGCCAUUCAGUGGUACUGAUUGGUGUGUUUGGCUUUAUCACAUGUCUUGGGUUGGCCAUUUGAUUUCAAUUUUCCUUUUGCAUGCACCAGUGGUACUGGUGAGGGUAGUACCCAAAAAUAUUUGUUACUCCUGUGUUAUUGGUUGCCUAAUCGACUACUGGGCAUUUGUGGUUGAGUUGUUUCUGUCCAACUUCUGAACUGUUGUUGCUGGAGUUGCCAUUUUCUUGGGUCACUUGCUGAUUUUAGCAGGCUGAAGUGGGUAAUUGACUGUCCAAUUGGAGACAGUUGUUACGAUAUUGGGUCCGAUUGUGUCUAAUUGCUGAAAGUUGUUGAUUUAUUAAGACACUAGCACAGUUCCUAGUUUGUUUGAGUUGCUGUUCUGUUGCAUUAUUGGGAGCUGUGCUCUAGUAUUGUGGCUACUUUCCUGUGUUUAUUUGUCGAAUUGGGAUAUGAAUGCGCCGUUUGCAUUUGCUUGUUGAAGUCGGUUGCCUUUAAUUGACUUGCUUGGGGUAUUUGGAGCAGUUGUUGCACUUUGGACGGCCUUAAUUCUGAAUUUGACUACAUGGGGUCCAUAAGUACUUAUUGAUUGCAUUUGCUAUAAGUGUUGGGGUCUGGUUUAAUCUGUGGGAGAUUGAAUUGUGCAUUUUGCUCAUUGAGAUGGCUUUAAAAAUUGUUAUUGCUUUGAAUUUUUGGCUUCCAUUAUUUGUUGGCAAUUGUAGUCUCUUGUUGCUUAGAGUGAUAUUUAGAGUCCAUGGUGAAGCCACGAAUGGCACCAGCUCCAGAUGUGAGUUGCUCCGCAAUUUCCACCUGAACCGCCCCUAUUUUGAUGACUUCAGGGAAGUACCGUUGCCCCUCUCCUUCCUUCUGCUCUUACAUUAUCACAUUGAGGGCAAUGUGUGAAUUAGGUGGGGGGGAUCAUAGUGGUGCUAGUAUUCUCAGUUUUUAGGUUCCGGAGGUUUUUCCUUUGUUUUUAGUUUGAUAUUUAUCUUCUUUUUCGUUUAUUUCCUUUUCUUUUUUUUUUUUUAGUGGUCAGCUCUUCUAUGACUACCAAGUUUGACGCUGGAUUGUUGCCUCUAAUUAUGUUAUUGCCAAGUUUUAUUAAUAAAAGGGUAUCAAGUUAAUGUGGUUGAAUUCAGGAAUAUCUCUUUGGUGAAUAUCGGUAAUUGCUUGACUUUUCCAAUUUUUGGUUAACUUUUCUAGGCAUAGGGAAUGAUUGUUGGCAUUUUCAUGUGAAUUGGUCCAGUUAUUAAUUUUAGUUCUCCAUAUUUGGAAAUUUGAGGCUGGCUGCUGUUCUUUUGUGUCAUUUUUAGUUAUUGUGCUAUAUGAUUGUAAAUAAGAGAUGACUGUACUCCGCUAGUUAUUACUACUGAGUAACCGGGGAUCUUCACCUAAAAUGUCGAUUCUCGCGUCAAAAGGUAGUAAUUGCUAUGAGUGCGUGAUCCCGUAGCAAUUGGAGCUGAGUAACCGGGCUCCUCCAUCUAUCAAAUGUUGGAGUUCGCGUCAAAAGGCUCUAAUGGCUAGGAACUAAGUCUUUUGUUAUUAUUGAAAAAGAAAAAAAAUAAAAAUAAAAAAAUAUAUAUAUAAAAAAAAAGCGUGAUAAAAAAAAAGUGAAGGUUGUGUAAGUGUGUGUCUAAAGUCAGCUUACCGAUCUAUGAGUUAAUGUUGAGAUUUGGAUUAAUAGUUGGACCAUUUGCUGAUAAAUGUGAGCAACCAUUCCUUUUCCUUAGAUUAGUUUGCUUUAAAUUGGAGAAGUUGGUGGUUGAGAAGCUAACCGGAGUGGUUUUUCUUGGAUCUUAACUGUGAUGCUUGAUAUAUGAUUUUCUUGGUGUCUUGGCAAUACGGUAGUUGGAGCAAUAGUCAUUGUCGAAUUUUUGGUAUUCAAUUGAUGUUCCCAUGCUUGAGGGCAAGCAUGAUUUAGGUAUGGGGGGAAUUGAUAGGGUGUUAAUUGUUGGUUAUUUUAUUAUUAAUUUCCCCUUUGUCCUUGCCAAAUAUUGUUUUAAUUAUUAAUAUUUACUUAUAUUUGGUAUUUGGAUUUAAUUUCAGGGAAUGGAACAGAAACUACAAAAAAGGAAGGGCUUUCUGAGCAAUUUACUGCACACAUGGGAGUCUUCUGCAAGGCUCACUCAACGUGGCCCACAAGAGAGGAAACAAUUGGAUUUCCCUUUGGCCCUUAUUGAGCUGAUGAAGAAAGGGCUAUGAGAGCCCUAGGAACCGAGGAAACAAAAAGAAAAUUGAGCCGCAGCUUUUGUAUUCUUUCCUUGGCUUUCAAUUUCGGUGGGGACCACGAGAGGAGAAAAGGCUUUUUCUUCAUUUGGCCUUUAAGAGAAGUAACGUACAGAGAUGGGAAACAAGAAACAAUUUGGCAGGACCCACCUUGUGGAUUUGGUUUUCUCUCAAUUCGGCAGAGUUUCCUUCUUGGACUUUGACUCUCAAUUCGGCGGGAUCCACGCACUAGGAGAGGCAUUAGUCCUCUUUGGCUUUAAAAACAAGUACACGGAUGGAGAUGAGGGGAUGAAUACUUUUUAUCUUUAGUUCUUAUCGAAGCUUUAGGAUAGUUUUAGUUUUUUCAUUUCUUUCUUGGCUCUUUUGAUGGCCUGGAUCUCAAUGGAAUUACUUGAAGAUUUUCUCACGAGACGUGGCUAAGUUUGUCUAGUCAAGAACAACGGAGGAUUUGGUUCUACUAAAUUUGUGAGAUCGAAUUAGUUUUUAUUUAUUCCCAUUAUUCACUGGUAUUUGUCUAUCUUCUGCUUUAUGUUCAUAUGGUUGUUUAUUAUUCGAUUAUCCAGGGCCCGGAUUCUAGAUUAAUUCAAUAACCUGAAGCCAAUUAGGGUAGUUAAAUCCGUAAUUAUUUAAUUAUUCUAAACUGGUGGCAACUGGCAUGAUUGGGUUUGUGUCAGGGAGAUAGGCAGGCUAACUUAAAGAGACCCUCGUAGCGUGUUGAUUGGUUAGAAUUAGGCUCUUCUAAUUAUUCAUGCAAUUAGGGAAUUGAACUUCUAUGGUCGUACCUAGGGUUAUUUCCUGAUUAGAGAAAUAGUCAACGGUCGUACCUUGGCUAUCGACAAAUUGAGGAAGAGUUGGUUGUUUAUCGCGCGUAUGACAACUAUAACUAAUUUAUCAGAUAGUAACUGGAAUAAUCCUUGCAUCUGUGAUCGAAUUAAGUGAACCAUUUCCGAAGUUGUCUCUUGGCUAGAGUUCAUCCAUUAUUAUUUUUAUUGUGAUAAUUAGUUAUUUGAGUUGUAGUUAUUUUAUUUUAAUUAAUUUAUUCCAAGUAAUUUAGUUACUAUCAUUUUCAAAACCCCCCAUAUCUGGAACUUGAGAAGAAAUUAAAUUAUCCCCACUCCCUGUGGAUUCGACCCUGCUUACCGCUAUAUACAGAAUUUGUAUUUUAUUUAAGCAGGUAUUUAUUAUUGCACAGGUUCGGCACCUGUCAGGAUAUAAUCAUAUUAGGGAAAAUGACAUGUUUCAUCCCUCACAUUUCGUAAAAAAAUUCUUUUCGUCCCUCACAUUUAAAACGAAACAAAUUGGUCCCUCACAUUUAAAAACCCAAGCUUUUACAUCCUAGAAAUCAACUCUCAGCUGUGAAUCAAACCAUCUAACAACCCGAUUAUAAAUUUUAGGGGUAGAAUUGGUAGAUCACUCUCAAAAAUAUAUUUCUAACAAAUAAAUUAAACAAUUAAAAAACCUGAACAGUCCAUUCCUCCUUCAAAUCCAACAAUCCAUCUUCAUCCCCGCCAAACUCAUCCCCGAACACUUCAAAAAUUUUCACUCCAUUCUCAUGUUUAAAUACUGUCCUUUCCCAAGCCGCAAAUCAUCACAAUCUUCAAGAAAUCUCUUUCAGCUCAGGCAUUUUCACAAACAUAUACGACUCAGACUCGAAUCUUUCCAUCAUGGCCAGAACCAAGCAAACAGCCCGCAAAUCCACUGGAGGCAAGGCCCCGAGAAAGCAACUGGCCACAAAGGCUGCCAGGAAAUCCGCCCCAGCUACCGGCGGAGUGAAGAAACCCCACAGAUUCCGUCCCGGAACUGUAGCCCUGCGAGAAAUCAGGAAGUACCAGAAGAGCACUGAACUUGUUAUCCGGAAGCUCCCGUUUCAGAGGCUUGUGAGGGAGAUUGCUCAAGAUUUCAAGACUGAUUUGAGGUUCCAGAGCAGUGCUGUUGCGGCUGAUUUACUUGGAGGAAAUCAGUGAAAUGCUGAGAUGGGCUGAUUGUAUUUUCUUCUGCCUUGUGGCCUGUUUUUGUAAUGAAAAUUUGGUGGUCAAAUGAAUGAAAAUCUUAUGAUGUUUGUUUCAGUCUUUUAGUACUGCUACUCUAUAAUAACAAUUUGAUAUAAUUGAUGCUGUAAUUUGUAGCUUCAAUCUUUGCAUGGCUGUUUUUGGAGUUGUUCCAAAAGAACUUACAGAAAGAUUAUUGUGUCAAAUAAAUUCAAUUUAAAUUUUGAUACGAUGGUUGGCCUGUACCAGUUGCUGCACCUGCUUUCUUGCCACUAAAUUUUGCAGAAAACUUAAUAAAUGGCCAAAGAAGCUUUUGCAGAAAACUUGAAAGAAACUUAGCCGAAGCUGGAAUAAGCUGGACUGAAUUACCAAAUUUGCAAAAGAUAAGGUGGAAUGAAGUUCUAACGUUGCACAAUAAAGUAGCAGUAAUUGAUUACAAACCAAAAUGCCAAAGAAAACUGGGUUCAAGCUGAAAAAUUACAAAGGAUAAGCUGGAAUGAACUUCUAGUGUUGCACAAUAAAGUAGCAGUACUUGAUUAUUAACCAAAAUGCCAAAGAAACUAGGUCCAAAACAUCUUUCUUAGGACAGUAGCAAAAGUGAAACUAAAACAGGAGUAGCAGUCAAAAAAAUUGCUUCAAUGACACUAGCUUAGUGGGAACACUAUGUGAAGUCCAACUGCACAACUGAUAUUCUUUCAAUAAAGUGCAUUCCUAUAAAGAGCAGCAACGGUGGAAGGACAUGUGCACCUUGUAUGGCCGACUCUGCGACACACUCCACACUUGUAGUUCUUUUCACCAUUCGAUUCCUGGGCAAGAAAAGCAAUAGAAAAAGGUUAGUCUAUUGAAAAUGAAUACGAUACUACAAAAUUACGUUGAAAUAAUUACAAAAUUGAAUUUACUGAACUGGAACAUGGUUUCUAUUUUCGGAGACUUGAUUGGAUGUAAAUAAAGUUGAUGUAUUCUGGCUUGCCAUUGGUGCUUCUGGCAUAAAUCCUUCAUGAGAAGAUGCGCUGCUGGCAGGCACACCAGUGGCAUUUUUAUUUUUCUUGUUUGAAACAAAAGCAGUCUCUCUAGUAUGAACUUGACUCCCUUCAUUUAUUUCAACCAUCAUGCAUUUUCGACUAUUGUGACCAGCCAUCUUGCAUUUCCUGCACUUGUAAGACAUCAGGCCUGUUCUACUCAACUUCUGCACCUGCUUUGAAUUCUUCUUAGGAGCUGGUACUUCAUCUGGCUCCCUCCUUCUUACUUUCUUAGGUCUUCCAGGCAACUUGAUUUUUUCCGGAGGAAGCAAAGGACCCUUGUUUGCCUUUGGCCAUAAUUCUUCUCCAUCCAUAGGGCCUAUAACUGGAGAGUAGGCCCUCAUAUAGGCUUCCUUUGAGUAACAAUCAUGAACAAAAGUUUCAGGUUCUUCAUCUGUCAAAGUGAUGGCACUAUAUGCAUGUGAACAAGGUAUUCCACUGAGGUCCCAUUUUCUGCAACUACAAGUUCUACUUACCAAAUCCACAGUAUAUCUAUCCCCAUACAUGCAUCUAACUUCAUAUUUCCACACUCCAGCUGCAGUAGCAAUACAUGUCUGAGCAUCAUCUUUAAUUUUUUCAAACUUUUUCUGUAUCUUAGGACACAACUGACCUUUUUGCUUCUUCAUCCACUCUCUUUUUUUCUCCAUCCUAACCAUCAAAUAGAAUCUGAUGGUCUCUAACAUACCAAUUAUUGGUUGUUCCCUAGCAUCCAGAAUUAUAGAGUUGAAACUCUCACAUAAGUUAUUCAGAAGGAUGUCACACUUGGAAAGUAUCCUAAAGUGUGAUCUGGUCCACUCCUUUGGUGUUGUAUGUUUCACUAGCCAAUUGAAUGCUUCUACAUCGAACUCCUUCAAUGAUUCCAUUUCACUAGCAAAUCUGCUUUCAUAGGAAGCUCUUGCAGCAGACCAUAUUCUAUCUUUUAAUGCAAGUCCAGGAUGCUCUUUCUUGAAGUUAUUGUACAUGUGUCUCACACACAUGCGGUGUUCCACACCAGGCAGUAGCUCAUGUAUUGCUUGAAUGAGUCCCUAAAAAUGGGUUAUUGUCAUUAAUUAAUUAAGCAAGAAAAUAUAAUUAUCCAAUUCAUAAGAGAAACUAUAACUAACAUUUUGCUUAUCAGUCAUGAAAGUCCACGUUCUUUCAUUUGUGAUCUGAAGAUCAUGCUUCAAUUCUGUGAGAAACCAUCUCCAUGUGUGCUUGUUUUCUAUUUCAACAACUGCAUAAAUCACGGGGAAUAAUUGGUUGUUUGGAUCUAUCCCUAAAGCAGUAAGGAGAACUCCUUUGUGUGGCCCUCUGAGAUGGCAGCCGUCAAGUCCUACAACAGGCCUGCAACCAUCCAAAAACCCUCUCCUACAAGCAUCAAUGCACACAUAUAAUCUUUCAAAUUGAUCAUCACCCUCAUCAUUUUCUGUAGUAGUCAUAAAAACAUUAGAGCCAGGAUUUUUUUCCUCAAUUGCAAGGCAGUAGUCCCAUAGCUUGUUGUAUUGCUCUGUGUACUUUCCCUCUAUCAAUUCCUUUGCUUUUGCUUUGGUUAUAUAUGCUACAUUCCUAGUGAUAGUUGCAUUGACAUCAGUAUGAACUUUAUUUACAAAGUCAUCUGGUUUGUAAUUGGGGUUCACCCUGAAGUCCUCCAAGUACUUGUCACAUAAAAACUUAAUAUUUGCCAUCCCAUGAUCUGAUGUUCUUCCACAAGUGUGAGUUGUCAUCAUUGUCUUUAUUAUAAAGUCCCCAGUUUUAUCUAAUUUAGAUGCAUAUACAAACCAAUUGCACCCUUUUCCCUUGCAAUAUGCUCUCACCCGUAUCAAAUCAUCUUUUUUGAAUCUGAUUUUUCUACCCCACUUGACUCCAUGUGCUCUGCAUGCUUUUUUGAACAGCUGUUUAUCAGUAAAAACAAGUUUCAAUUUGAACUUUGGGUCAUCCAUGUCAGUUUUAGGAUUAAACCUCUCAUAUUUUCCUGAUUUAGAACAAAUUCCCCCUUCAUUAUCACUUGAACUUGAGUUGCUGUCGAAUUCCUUAUCUGUUGAAGAAUCUGUCUCCUCAGCACUAUCAGAAGAAGCUUCUUCUAUACCAUUAUAUUUUUCAUGUCCAGCUUCAAGGUUGCUUUUAUUCACCCUAAAUUGAUCAGCAAUUUUAACCCAAUCAUUUUCCCCUUUACUAAAAGUCCUGUAAAAUUCAUCUUCAUCACUAAAAUCAUAAUCACUAUCGUGGAACUUCUCCCCUCCACUUGAUUCAUCAUCUUCCACUAAAUGGUCUAACUUUCUUUUACUGAUUUUUUUGCUAUGACAAAUUUUUUUACCAUUCCUUCUCGUCUUCAUUGCUACACUAGCGUGUUUGCCUCUAGCACAAUUAAUAGGUGUACCAUUAGUUUCACCUUCAUUAUUAGUAGUAGUAGUUUCAUCUCUGCUAAUCGCCCCAUCAGCUUCACACUCGGGAUUUUUAACUUCACCACCAUAACCGUCUUUAUCAUGGUCAACAUGAGCUUCUUCUUGGGCAUUACCAUCAAGAAAUGCUGUUUGCCUAUGCACAAAAAAAACAUCAACCAUCUUUUUCCACUCCCCAAUCCUUGCCAACUCCGUUGCAUCCUCUUCAGAGAACAUGUAAAGCAAGCCAUCUUGCAUUCUUUGACCAGGUAGCAAGUAGUAGUACCUAAUAGAAUGUUCUUCAUAUCCAAGCUCCUCUGCAAUCUUAUCUAGGGAACACAAAGACCAUCUCUCUGAGUUACAAUAGUGAUAAACUGCAACCAAACCCCCUGCGUAUGCUCUCUCAUGCGUAACUUCAAGCUUACCUCCAUGAUGGACCCUAAUAGAAAAAAAAUUGGUGUUUGUUCCUGCCAAUAAUUAUUGAGGCCAUUAAAAACUUGGGACCACAAUAGGUGAACAUGUUCACAUGCUAUAACCAUUAAUUUAUAACUCUAAUUUGUCUCAUCUUCAAUAAAUUAUCAACAUCAAAACAAAAAUUGGAUUUUUUUACUCCCUAAAUAUUCCAUUGCAUAUAGAUAAAAAAAAAAAAAUCAUUCAUUUGCGACCACAACAACAUAUUAGAAGACCCUAGUUUCUUGUUCUUCAUUUAAAUAUACACCAUAAUCAGGAUUACCACACAAUCAUUCAAUAAUUGUUGUAUUUUAUUGCACCACAACCUAUUUAACGUAAAUCAACAAAAUUUUUGCAGAUAAACAUAAAAACUUACCAUAGUCUGGUGCCUGCCGCCCUGUUUCUUCCCCUUCGUUGCCUUCCAUGAAAAGUUUUCUUCCCCUUGUUUGCUUGGUUCCGGCCAUGAUGGAAAGAUUCAAGUCUGAGUCGUAUAUGUUUGUGAAAAUGCCUGAACUGAAAGAGAUUUCGUGAAGAUUGUGAUGAUUUGCGGCUUGGGGAAGGACAGUAUUUAAACAUGAGAAUGGAGUGAAAAUUUUUGAAGUGUUCGGGGAUGAGUUUGGCGGGGGUGAAAAUGGAUUGUUGGAUUUGAAGGAGGAAUGGACUGUUCAGAUUUUUUAAUUGUUUAAUUUAUUUGUUAGAAAUAUAUUUUUGAGAGUGAUCUACCAAUUCUACCCCUAAAAUUUAUAAUCGGGUUGUUAGAUGGUUUGAUUCACAGCUGAGAGUUGAUUUCUAGGAUGUAAAAGCUUGGGUUUUUAAAUGUGAGGGACCAAUUUGUUUCGUUUUAAAUGUGAGGGAUGAAAAGAAUUUUUUUACGAAAUGUGAGGGAUGAAACAGGUCAUUUUCCCAUCAUAUUAUUAGGAUGUAACAAAAUUGUGUCCCACUAAUCAAGAAAAUCUUUGGCUGCAGGAUAUCCUUCCAACAAUUGCUUAACAACCGCUGAAGCGAAGUAAACUUCACUUGGCAUUGUCUAAGUGGAAAGUCCCAUGAAGUCCUGUUGCUAGGGAUGUUGAGAGGAAAAGAAAAUUUGGUUCUUCUACUACAGAAGUCAAUUGAAAUGAACCCUUCGUUUGGGUUAAGAAAUUUGACGAAGAAUUUGAAAUCCAUCUAAAUUGGUCUAAUUAUUUAAAUUGCUUAAUUAAGAGAUAUUUGGGUAUGGUGUAAUACAUCAGCUAUUAAAAAAAUAUUUAAAUACUAAAAUAAUUGAUAGUUUACAAAUUCAAAUAUCUCUUAAAUAAUGCGAACAACUAAAGAAAUUUGAGAGGAUUUUGAAUCUUUGGCCAAAUACCUCAAUCAAUCGAAAGGCAAUCUUAAACGAUAGAAUUUGCCGUGUACAUCCUGACUUAGGAAAAGCUUAUGGAAGAAAAGUUCUAAAUAUCAAGCGGUCUAAUACGGAACGGUCUUUACACUCUAAAGAAAAGUUGCUGAUAUGUCACAAUGUUGAAAUUUGUUAGAUUAGAAUUAUUAACAGAAACUUGCAGAAUAGAUCAGCAUCAAAGCUAGGCGAGAAAACUGAUGAUAAUUAAGUAGGUUCAGAAAUUCGUCGGUUAGACUAGUACAAGUUUGUGUACAAAUAUAUAUUCUUUCAUUUAUAUUUCUGAAUGUCACACAUUGCGGAAAUAUCCUAAUUAAGUUUGAGUUAAAGAGACAAAAUUAUAUCAACAUUAGGAAUCAAAAUACGAACACAUCAGUUGGAAAAAGGUAAAGAAAUAUUUAAUCCCACAUAAACACCUAACAGGAAUUGGCUCGCAUGGGGAAAUUGAUGAAGAAUGUUAGAUAUGUCGUAGCUUCUUGGCCGUUUGAGAUGACGGAAUUAGGGGUAAUACCAACCAAGCCAAAAAAAUCAAUCCACGAAAACAGCCUAAAAGAUUUAUGACUAGAGAAGAUGAAAGAUGAAAGAAAAUGAAGAAACAUUAAACUCCAUCUUAUUAAUUGAUUUAAUAUAUAUAUGUAUAUAGUUGGUUUUUAAUCAAAUCGUGGGUUGAUUUUUCUGUUUGAUUGGUUUUGCCCCUAAUUCCGUUAUAUUUAACACUCAAAAUUGAUGAAGUACUUAAACCGAACAAAUUUUUUUUUUUGGAUCAAGGGCUUAUAUACAGCAAUUUAUAGUUACGGGAUUAAAACCGUACAAAAUGAAUAGUUUUGGGACCUGCCGAAAAAGUUUCCUCUGUGUUGUGUGAGUCUCCUGUGGGCUUGCUUCUGGUCGGUCAGUUAUAUUACGCAAAUAAUUUCCUGCUCCAAAUUGGAGCAGUCCAACUCAGGUGGUCAAUUGAGUGUACAUUAAUUGGCGCUGGACUGGACUGCAGGUAUAUAUCUCCCGCUAAAGUCUAGACUACAGUCUUGAUCAUCCCCAAGUUCCGGGAACUAGAGGAGUCAAUUGGACUCGACUCGGAGGAAGGGAAAUUUAUUCAAAAAAGGAAAAAAAAUUCAGCGGAAAAGGUUUUAUAAGGCUAAUUUUGGAUAACUAGAGAGAUACUAAAUGCUAAAAUCUAUUGUAUAUGGUCAUUAAAACAUGUAAAAGAUUUACACGGCACUACAUAUAUUUCCACAAGAAGGUUAUAAACAAGUUAAGAAUAUAUGGUAUAACCGGCGGGUAAACCAUAUAUAUAUAUAUAUAUAUAUAUAUAUAUAUAGAAUUGGCCUAAGGUCACAGAGUUAGUGACGAUUCACAACCCUCUCAAACUGUUUAUGGUUCAAAGUAUGUCAACAAGACACAUAUGUAAAUUAAAAAAUCGAGACAAUACUACAUAAUUCUAACAUAAUAAAUAUGUAUUCAAUAAAGUUUCAACUCAAAUUGACUUUGACUAAAUUAGUAUAAUAUGUAAAAAUUUUAACCUACUCGUGCUAGGGUCAAGCUCAAUUUGAUAAAAGUUUCGAGCUCAAUUUGAUAAAAGCUUAUUUAGAUUUGACACGAUAAAUAACAAGCUUGAGUACUAUAGUGUCGAGGUUGAUUAAGGUCAUUUACACGUCUAAUCCCAAUUCCCAACUAAUUUAAUCUUAAACAAAUAACAAUUUAAGAACUUUAUACUAUACUUACUCCUAACUUUUCCUUGACUAGGUAAUAUCACUAUUUAUAUGUGGUUGUGCUCCAUAUUUCGUUGUUUAAAUUCUAGUAAUUGAAUGUUGGUUGAAAAUUCAAGGAGAAUUGAAUCAUAGCUCUUACUAAACAUUAAUAAUCUCCAAUCGAACUAAACAUUAAUAAUAAUAAACAAGUAUGCAGUUUUUGUUGUUAUUUUCUUUUCUCUUGGAUAUUAAUUAAAAGUUGGUCGUAAUUGACUUUGGAAGAUUUAAUUCGAAUGUGCAUGUAUUUGGGUUUGUUUACGUAUAAUUUUCAUACUACAAGUAACAAUUAUUUUAAUUGUAAAAUUGCACAUUAAAUGUUGGAGACAUAUAGCUAAUUGCGAGUUGAAAAAAUGAAAAAAGAAAAAGAAAAAAAGGACAUUGCUAACUCGAAAGUCCCUUGAAGUCCCAUCGUUGGCGAUGUUGAGAGGAAAAGAGAAAGGCUGGUUCUGCCAUUAUAGAAGUCAACUGAAAAUGCCUUAUAUACAUCCUGACCUAUUUUGUAGAAUGGCUAACAAAAAUUUCCAACGCCCUUUGCACGCUGAAGACUUGGUGCUUGUGGUUGUUAAUUGACAUCUCAGAUGUUGUAGAAUUAUUAGCAGAAACUUGCAGAAUAGAUCCACAUCAAAUUAAUGAAGGUGAGAAAAAAAAGUGACUAGGACGUCCAGAAAUUCAUGACUUAAGACUCGUACAAGAUUAAUUAUUGUGUGUACAAAAUUACAAAUAGUCCCACUUUUUCUGAAUGGCACAAUUCUCAAGGCUAUUCAUUGCAGAAAAAAUUCAUGACUUAGACUAGUUCAUGGUUUUUGUUCAUGGUUUUUUCAAAGGCAACGUUGGAAUAACUUGGAGAGAUAGAUAAAUGCUAAAAGAUUUACACAUAUCUUUCCAAAAGAUUGAUAGAAGUUGCAACACAAUGGAGUUCCGUAGGGGUGGCAAUUUUCGACACGACCUGAAAACACGACACAAAACUAACACGAAAUUAAUGGGUUUGGGUUGAGGUUUCGAGAGUUCGGGUCAGAAUCGGGUUGAACCCGAUGAACCCGAAAAGAAAACAGGUCGAUUUCGGGUCAACUCGUGGUGACCUGAUAUGACCCGUUUAUGACUAAACUCAGUUAUUCUUUUUUUUCAAAGGUAUUAAUUACUUAAUCCUAAAUGAAUUUAUUUAAUUUGUAUGAAGUUGAAAUUAUUAUAUUUGGACAAAUAAUUUAUGUUAUAAGUUUGAACAAAUCAUUUACCUAGAAUUAUAUUAUAUUGAAGAGGAAAGACAGACCUCCCCGUAUCAUAAUCUCAUUCUCCAUAUGCGAGAGGAAUUGGGAGUGCCAAUUGCACCGCAUUUGGACGGAGGGAAAUUAGUGUGUGUGCUGAUUGGUUAGCUAAACACAGCAGAUUAUUGAUGAAACACAGAACUAUUGAUAGCUGAUGUGUUAGGAGUUCCAUUUACUCAUUCUGUUGCAAUUUAAGGGGUUAUGAUGACCUCUUCCAAUGUACCCCAAAAAAAAUUAUAUCAUAUUGAAACGGUAGUAUACUACUAGGAAUGGAUUUCAAUACAACUGUUUCUGUCCUAUAAAAUAUCGGCAUUGACAGUUUAUUCUAUGUCUUCUUAUAUUGCUUUAAUUUCUAUAUAAUCUCACAAAACUAAAAUCAAUAACUUUUGAAGCCGUUGAUCCUUACGUGAAACUGUUACUAAAAUAGUAGGUGAUAUAGUAUUUUUUUUUCAUUUUAACGUAACUUAUGAGUCAAAUGUUGGUACAUUAAUUAAUCACAAUUUAGAUUGAACGAUUAAUCAAAUUACUAGAUAUUUGAAUCUAGUCCUAUUGGUAAGAAUUGGCUUGAGUCAAGUUCGGUGACUAAACAAGCCAAACAUGAAAAGCAUGUUAUAUUUAGUAAACUUUCAAACUCAACUCAUCUUGAACUUGAUUUAAUUAGUAGUAUAAAAUUUGAAAUUUAUCUAUAGAUUUUUCAACCUACAUGCACAAAGCUCAAGCUCAAUUUGACAAAAGCUUGUUUGAGUUUGACAUAAUAAAUAUCAAGUCAAAUUUGGAUAAAAUUUCAAACUCAUUAAAGUAAACAAACAAGUUUAAAUUCUAGAGUGUCGAGGUUGAUUAAAUUCGUUUACAUCUCUAAUCCCAACUAAUUUAAUCUUAACCAACUUUUGGGAUUUGUCCACACAAUUAUGCUGUCUAUAAAAUCCCCACAUUUAAGACAUAUAUAUGCUGCAUGCAUUGGCGUCUAAUUUCCUAGAUCCAUCACCAAUUUGGACCAUUGAUCAUAUAGGUCGAUAUGAAGAAACAACUUUACUGCUACUACCCUCUUGCAGUACUUGUUUUGCUGCACCAUCUAAUGAUGCCCGGCUGCACAGCCAUGAAAAGAUUAAGUUUAGGCACUGAUCAAUCCGCUCUUUUAGCCCUGAAAGCCCAUAUCACUUCAGAACGGCAUGAAUUCUUGUCAAAAAACUGGUCUUCUACAGCUGCCGCAUCCUCUGUCUGUGACUGGAUAGGAGUCCAGUGCAGCUCUCGACACCAAAGAGUAACUGCUUUAAAUAUUUCAAACAUGGGACUCACCGGCACAAUACCUCCGGAUUUGGGAAACCUCUCCUUUCUUGUUUCUCUUGAUUUGAGAAAUAACUACUUCCACGGAUGUCUGCCCGAAGAGUUGUCACACCUGCGCCGCCUGAGGUUCGUCAGGUUAACCUCUAACAACUUCACUGGAGAGAUUCCAAUGUGGUUUGGUCACUUUCCUGAACUCCGGUUCUUGUUUCUGGACAGCAAUGGUUUUAGUGGUUUUAUUCCUCCUCCUAUCUCUAACUUGUCAAAACUGGAAACCUUAAAUCUAAGAGACAAUUUCCUGGGAGGUACUAUUCCAGAAAAGAUGGGAAAUCUUUCGGUCCUCAGAGAGCUGUAUCUAUCUGGGGAUGACUUAGUUGGUCAGAUACCAUUGAGUUUAUGCAAGUUUUCUCAUCUUCAGGUGCUAGACUUGUCUAACAACAGGUUUAGCGGGCACAUACCUAAAGAAAUUGGAAAUCUGGAGAAGCUCAAGGAGUUAUACCUCAGCACCAAUAACUUAACAGGUAAUAAUUUUGCUUUGCCUUUGUACACUCACAUGGUCAAACCGCGGUUAAUAGUUUUUUUCCCCUGUUUGACACAAGGAUUAGAAAAGCGUGUUCAAGUGAAAUCAAAAGAUAUAUAUAUACUAUUCAUACUGUUCAGAUGAAAUCAAAUAAAUAUAUACAUGAAUUUUUUAAAAAAACUAUUCAUACACAUGAUCAACGAAAUGCAAUGGCUCCAUGGGGGGAAUAAUGCAUUUGAAGUUAAAUUUAAAAAAUCAUUUAAUAGAGAAAAAAAGAAGAAGAACGACGGCAAUAGAUUCUAUCUCGUCUUAGCCACCAAAAUCACCUAGAUCUUUCUCAAUAUGGUCAUAAUUAAUUUGGGAGGGAGAAGAAUUUAGAUUCCUAUAAACAAUAAAGUGUUACUGAACUAGCAUCCAAGUUUUUUUUUAUAUAAUUCUGUCAGCAUGAAUAAUUUUUUAUUUUGAGGGAAAAGGAAUGGGUUUGGUAGAUAAUUUUCUUAAAGUAUGUGAGUAGUAUUUUUAGUUCAAAAUUAUUAAGGAACUUUGUAUUUGUGGAGGAAAAUCAAGUAAGGGUGAUUUAGGAUUAUCAAUAGCAAUAUUUUGUUUACAUCAGCAAAGUGAGCCCCAAACAAAUUUCUAAAAAAGGUUUUUACUUUUUCAAACUUAGAGGGUAUUGCUUGCAAUUGUCAUAAACCUUAGGGAAGGUUUGUGAAACGGUUCCUUUGUUUUAAGUAAAUCCAUGUUUGCAUUCUGUCGGAUGUGGAUGUAAGAAGCUAAGGAUUGUAAACUUGAAAGGGCAAGACAUAUAUGGAGGUGAAUAUGGUGAAAAUUAGAUUAUUUCCAAACUUUUACGGAGGAGAGUUGUAAUAUUAUAAGUGGCUAAAGUUGAAAUUUUCAAAAAUUGGAAGGUCUAGGUUCAAAUUUGCUUUUUUCCUCGCUACUUUUUUAAAUCCUAAUUAUCCUUCUCUUGCUAUAAUAUAAAAUUAAAAAAAUGUGUAUAAGUGAAAGUUUGAGAAGCUACAAAGGGAAUAAUAAUUAGUAAGGGAAAUUUCAAUUUCUUUGGACAGCCUGCUGCUGCAACGUCCAAAAGUUUAAAACACAAAAUGUACGGUUUCAAGUAAGACUGUUUUCAAUAUAUCUCUAAAAUGAAUAUGAUUAAUUUUGUCUUUACGUUAAAUUGUUAGGUGUAAUUCCCCGAGAGAUUGGCAAUCUGUACGGUUUAGAGCUUCUCGUAUUGGGGAGUAACAACUUGGCAGGUAAAUGUAUAGCCUCACCACUACUUAUAUAUGGUCUAUUUACAAUCAUGCGACAAGCAAUAUUUGGAGUAAGUUUCGGGUGAAAUGAAUUCAUGUCAUAUCUAUUUGAAUGUCCAUAAACUUCAUCAGAUACUCCUACUUACUACGGAAAACAUCCACUAAAGCAAACUAAGAAGUUCCUGAAGAGGUCUAUAUUCCCUGGACGUAACUACUUAGAAAGUUGUCACAACAUUUACAUACUUUAGACAAGCAUAAAUCCAAUGAUUAUUAACCACUUUUUUACAUUUACAUACUUUAGAUCCUUGGACCAUCUCUUUUUUUUUUUUUUUUUUUAACCCCUUUCUGUGCUGCAUUGGAACGAUUAUUAUGUGGAGAAACAUUUUAUAUUAUUCGCUCUACCAUUUUUUUUGGUAUUUUUGAUGUUAGCUGCUUGCCGACUUGUACGAUUGGCAGGUACGAUUCCACGAGAGAUAGGCAAUCUCCAAAACCUGCAGGGGCUCAAUCUGGAAUUGAAUCAAAUCACGGGAAGCAUUCCAAGAGAAAUUGGGAAUUUGACGAUGCUUACUGAACUCUAUUUCGCCAACAACUCCGUGACAGGUAAAUACAUCUUUUUUGUUGAAGUAAAUCGAAAUCGGUUAACUAAACGCUUACAUCUUUUCUUUUUUAAUUUAUAACUGGUUUCUUCAGAGAAUUUUACAGCCUAAUGAUAGAUAUGCUUCCUUUGAAAAUGAAUCUGGUAUGCAGGUACAAUACCACGAGAGAUGGGUAACCUUUACCAACUCGAGAAUCUUGAGUUGUUUUCUAAUGGCUUGAAUGGCUCCAUUCCCCCUGGGCUCUUCAACCUCUCAGCAUUGCGGAAUAUUGACCUUGCAUCUAAUCUUCUAUCAGGAAAUCUUCCGCCGGAUCUAGGAUACAGACUGCCCAAGUUAUUAGCCAUAGAUCUUGAUGGGAAUAACCUUGGUGGAGUUAUACCAGUGUCCAUUACAAAUUGUUCCCAAUUAAGAAUGCUAGAACUUUCAGUUAACGGAUUCACUGGUUCCAUUCCUGACGCCCUCGGGGACCUUAGACUUCUGCAAUUUCUAGCUCUGUAUGGCAACAAUUUAACAAGUGAUCCUACAUCUAUGGAGCUGAGCUUCAUCACUUCAUUGACAAAAUGCAAAAACUUGUAUUAUUUAUACCUGGGCCGAGACCCCUUCAAGGGGCUUCUUCCAGCUUCCGUUGGGAAUCUCUCUGCUUCUCUACAGAUAUUGCAUUUAGGAAGUAGUGAAAUCAAGGGCACCAUACCAAGUCAAACUGGCAACUUGACCAAUUUGCUAUUGCUUGAUCUACGAUCGAAUCACUUGACCGGAGGUAUUCCAACAGCAUUCAAAAAUCUACAAAACCUGCAAGGUUUGGCUGUGGAAGAUAAUAAUCUUAACGACACCUUAGAUAACCUUUGCAAUUUGCAUAGCUUGACUUUAGUAUAUCUGACCACAAACCAGUUUUCUGGGUCUUUACCAGAAUGCUUUGGUAAUAUGACUUCUCUUCGGGAUUUUAAAAUAGGAAACAACUUUUUAGUCUCUGCCAUACCUAAUAGUUUUUGGAAACUCAAAGAUCUCUUGCAGUUGAACUUAUCCUCAAACUCCCUUAAUGGUUCCUUGCCUCUUGAAGUUGGAAAUCUGAAAGCUAUAACAUCUAUAGACGUAUCAGCCAAUCAAUUCUCUGGUGACAUUCCCAGCACCACAGGUGAUUUGCAAAACCUGUUGAUUUUAAAUUUAUCCCAAAACCAAUUUCAUGGAUCUAUCCUAGAGUCAUUUGGCAAUAUGCUCAGCUUGCAAGGACUUUACUUAUCGCACAACAAUCUUUCUGGCUUCAUACCGAAGUCAUUGGAGGCACUUCGGGACCUCAAAGAGCUUGACGUUUCUUAUAACCAUUUAAGUGGUGAAAUUCCUUCUGGUGGUCACUUUAGGAACUUUACUGCAGAAUCUUUUCUGUUCAAUGAGGCAUUGUGCUGAGAUUCCAGGUUUCAUGUGCCGCCUUGCCCAGGAACUAAUUCAAUUCACAGGUCCAGAACAAAAAAGGUGCUUCUAUUUGUAUUUGCUCCUCUGGGAAUCACUUCUGUGGUUGUCGCAGCCUUAGCAAUUGUCUUCAUGAUAGGUUGCAAUUUUAUUAUUAAUUUUCCUUAUUACCCGAGUUGAUGUGGAUUAAUUGUUGGAUUCUACUCACUUUUAUUGUUUUGCAUUUAUUUCAGGGAGUAGAAUGGAAAUAUGAUAACAAGUAUCAAUUUAGCAGAAAAGGAGCCCAAGUAGAGGUGUGCAUUCGGUGCAAAUUCGGUAAUUCGGUGCACUGAAUUCGGUUAUUCUACCUGUAAAAAUUUAAACCGUUUUCAAUUCCGAAUUGGGCAUAACCAAAUUCAUUCCGCAACCGAUUUCAAAUUCGAAAACGGUAAUGAAUUCGGUUAAACCGAAUUCAUCUAUGAUUUAUAAAUUAUUACUGAUUUGAUCCCUAAAUUUAUUCAUAAUUGAACACAUUACUUAUGUUCUAAUCAUUUUGUGGUUUAAUUGGCAUUUAUUUGAUCACUUAUACCUAGAAUCCUUAGUCUAUGAUUUAAGAAACACAUAAAAAGUGAUUAAUUUAAACUAAAAUAAACCUUAGACUAUACAAUGAUUGGUGAUAAUUUAUGAAUUUAUAAUUUACAAUGAUUAAUUAUAAGCAAUAUUAGUUAGUAGUUACAAUGAAUUUAUAAUUUACACUGAUUUAUAAUAAGUAAUAUUAGUUACAAACUUACAAACUACAAUGAUUAGUGAUAAGUUAUAUUAGUUACAAACUUAUAAUUUAUUUCAAAUCAAAAUAAAAACUUAUUUACUUACACAUGUUAUUGUGAAAGUCAAUACACUAAUACAUUGAUUUGCAAUUCACAUACAUUCACUUACAGUCUUACACUGCUUAGUUGUCUUGUCUAUACUUAAAGCCUUAAGAUUAGUAAAUAGAUAAUAUGAAUUUUAACUUAUUUGAUAACUUAUGCCUAAAAUCAUUAGUCUAUGAUUUAAGGAACACAUAAAAAGUGAUUAAUUUAAACUAGAAUAAACCUUAGACUGUACAAUGAUUAGUGAUAAUUUAUGAACUUAUAAUUUACAAUGAUUAAUAAUAAGUAAUAUUAGUUACAAACUUACAAAUUACAAUGAGUAGUGAUAAGUUAUAUUACUUACAAACUUAUAAAUUAUUUCAAAUCAAAAUAAAACUUAUUUACUUACAUAUAUUAUUGUGAAAGUCAAUACACUAGUACAUUGAUUUGCAAUUCAUAUGCAUUCACUUACACUGCGAACUACUUAGUUGUCUUAUCUAUACUUAAAGUCUUAAGAAUUAAGAUUAGUGAAUAGAUAAUAUGAAUUUUUAUGUUAAAUAUGUAGAGUACACUAAUACUUGCAAGUUAGAGAUUACGCAUUCAAAUAUUCAAUAAUUCAAACAUGAAUGAUGUAUCAAAUUACCAAUAUCUAAAUUUAAUUACUAAUUAUGUUAAUUGUUUAAUAUUUAGUAUUAUACAUAUAUGUGUUAAUUAUUAUCUAAUUCUAGUCAUGUUACUCAUGUAUAAAAUAAUAAGUAUUAUAGUUAUCUUAUAUUGUUAUGUAUUACUAUAUAUUGGUAUUAUUAUAGUCAUAUAACAAUUAACAAAUACUAAAAUAAUAUAUUGUACAUUAUUAUAUAUUAUUAUUAUUAUAAGUACAUGAUAUGAUGAUAAAUUGAUAAUACCAUAUACUAAUUAUUAUUAAUAGCAUUUACCUAUAUAAUAUAAUAAAGUAUUAGUAGUAUAUACUAAUACUAAAUAGCAUUUAUCUAUAUAUUAUAUAAUUUUAUAUACCAAUUUGGUAAUUCGAAUGCGGUAAUGCGGUACCCGAUUUCAAUUACCGAAUUUGAAUGCGAAAUCGGUUAUUACCUAAUUCAUAAUCUCAUUACCUAUUUCAUACCAUAUUAGAAUUCGGUGAAUUUGGUACGUACCGAAUUUGUACCAAAUUACCAAAUACCCGAUUUCAAAUUAUCAAAUUGAAUUUGAAAUCGGUUAUGAAUUCGGUAAGAACCGAAUUUGCUCACCCCUAAGCCCAAGUAAUAGAGAUGGUCCUAGGGGGCAUUUCUGGAAAAGAAACAAACUCAUGCCCAUUUUGGUAAUUGCCGCGAAGACAGCGGAGGGAGCUUCCGCUUUUCUUUUGGCCGCCGCACAAGGAAGAGGGAGGCAUCAGAGCAGGGAUUAGGAGAUAGCUAUUAGUAUAGAAACAAAAGAAAAGGCAGAGGACGAGGAGGACGGCUGCAUCUUUUUCCUUUAGCUUCACCUUUGACUUUUCUUUCUAGUUUUUGGGUAGCUUUUGUCUCCUCGGAUGUGAGGAGCAAUUGGAAGCAAUUGAAUGACUUUCCCUGCAGCUUAGCUUUGGACUUUUCUUCCCUUUUAGCUCUAGCCGUAGUUCCUUUCCAUUCGUAUGGCAGGAAAAGCAAAAACAAUCAAUUACAGCUUGUAGCUUGCUUUCCCUGUCGAAUAGAACGAAACGAAUUCGUUCAUUUUCCAAUUGAUGGCCGCUGCUUCCUUUACAAUUUCGUGUGGGUUUUUCGCAUCAAACAUGAACUAAUCUCUCCACUCUAGCCAAGGGACAACGAAGGCUUUGGUUUGCCUGAAAAUUGUGAGAUCGAUUUAACUUAAAUUUUUUCUUUUAUUUAUUGGUAUUCGCAUAUUCCUUGAUUGCUAUGCUCGUGGUUAUUUAAUUAAUUGAUUGUCGUGGAUCCGGAUAAUUAAUUGAUUGGGUAAUCUAUUAUUAAUUAGGACAUUAAAUCCGUAAUUAUUUAAUCGCCUUGAAUUAGUGACAACUGGCACGAUUAGCUUUGUGUCAGGGGGAUACGCGGACUAAUCUGAAAUAACCCUGGUAGUGUGUUAUUUGAUUAGAAUAGGGCUCCUCUAAUACGUAAGACGAUUGGGGAAUUAAAUCUUACGGGCGUACCUAGGAUUAUUUCCUAAUUAGAGCAGUGAUUAACGGGCAUACCUUAAUCACCGACACAGUAAGGAGGGGUUGACUGCCAACGCUUGCUUGGUAGUUAUAACCUAUUUAUUGAUAAAUAAUUGGAAUAGCCUUUGCAUCGAUGAUCAAUUAGGUGAACCAUUGCUGAAGUUAUUUCUUGGCUAGAUCUUUAAUUAAUAUUACCUUGAUUUUAGUGAAUUGCCAUUUGACUUUUAGUUGCCUACUUUAUUUUAUUUUUAAUUAUUUUCUUGUUUUAAUUAAUUUAGGCCUUUAAUUAUUGUUACUCUGAGUUUAGUGAAUUGUUGUUUAAUUUCUAGUUAGUUAUUUAUUUUUUAUUUUCUUAUUUACAUUUAUUUGAUUGUCGUCGUUCCUACAAAAUCACUCCCUGUGUUACUUUGGAUUUCUUAAGAGACAAAUAUACCCAAUCCCUGAGGAUACGACCCUACUUGCCCUGUUUACAGAUUCAUAAUUAUUUGUGGAAAAAAAAUCAUCCCAUUCGGGUAUAUCGGACCAAGCAAACUCUUCGGGAACAGGGUGAAUCAAGUAACCCAUUGCACACCUAGAGUCCCUGCUCCAGUACUUGGAAUUGGGUUUUGGUCAUUUUAACUAGCAAUUAGGUUUAAUUUUAUUAUUGUACAGGCUUCAACACCCUGUCACUUCAGAAGAUAUUGGAAGAAAUAUCAGGAUUCUAAAGGAACAAACAUGGUAUUGGUGCCAACGCAAGAAAGAGUUUCGUACUAUGAACUUCUUCGAGCAACUGAUAGGUACGGUGAAAGCAAUUUGCUUGGCAUUGGGAGUUUUGGAUCUGUUUACAAGGGGAUUCUCAAUGACGGAAGGUCUAUUGCUGUAAAGGCUUUCAAUUUGGAAUUGGAAGGAGUACUCAAGAGCUUUGAUGUAGAGUGCAAAGUCCUGAAGAACCUUCGCCAUCGAAAUCUUGUGAAGGUCAUCAGCGGUUGUUGGAACCAGGAUUUUAGGGCCUUGGUGCUUGAAUACAUGUGCAAUGGAAGCCUUGAGAAAUGGCUGUAUUCUGACAACUAUUUCUUAGAUACUCUACUUUUUUUUUUUGUCGAAACGAUAGGAUAAUUUCAUUAUAGUAAGGGAAAAAUUUACAAGUGCGAGCAACGGCUCGAGAGAACUUUACAAAAGUGUUCAAAGACACUGAGGAACAUUCCUUUCCUCAUCCACAAUAAUGCCUAAAGCAUCAACACUUAAUUUUCUACUAUCUAUCAUAUUUUCUUCCCUACUCAAGCAAAAGGAGCACAUGCAAAACAGUCUUUUCACAUUCACAAUAUCCUCCAGCAAUGUAGCCAUUCUGCUCCCCAAAGGCUGUGUUUUUGUUAGUUGUUUCAGCAUCUCCUUGUUGGCAAAAUUGAGCCUGAUUCUGCUCCACUGAUAUUGCGCAGCUUUACACAAGACUAGCUUUAAAGCUAGUGCAUCAUCCAGGCUUUGGUUCCCCAGGCUUCUUUCUUUCAGCUUCCAUUCUGCAAUCUUGGUGCCUGCAGUUGUUCUAACUGUGACUCCAAUGCCUAGAUUGUUUUGACCUUUCCUUGUAGCUGUUUGACAGGUGCCGAACCUGUGCAAUAAUAAAUACCUACUCGAGAAAAAUACAGAUUUUGUAUAUAGCGGUGAGUAGGGUCGAAUCCACAGGGACUGGGGAUAAUUUGUUUCUUCUAGAGUCCAAAGUAUGGGGGGUUUUGGAUUAAAUGCUAACUAAAUAAAUUAACUGCAGAAAAUAAUUAAUUAAAAGAAAUGAUUGGGGAAACUCUAGCCAAGGGUACACAUCAGAAAUGGUUCAUGCACUGAUCAUUGAUGCAGAAAUAAUUCCAACAUUUAGCAAUAGAUUAGUUAUAGUUGUCAUGCACGCGAUAAACAACCAACCCUUCCUUAAUUUCUCGAUAGCUAAGGUACGACCGUUAGCUAUUUCUCUAACCCAAAAAUAACCCUAGGUACGACCGUAGGAUUUAAUUUCUAGAUUGCAUUAAUAAUUAGAAAGGCCCAAUCCUAACCAACAAACACGCUACGAGGGUUUGUUUAAAUUAGAUCAUAUGCUCCCCUGACAUAAACCCAAUUACGCCAGUUGCUACUGAGGUAGAGAUAACGAACAAUUACGGAUUCAAUUACCCCUAUUUAGCAAAAAUAGCCUAUAUGAAUAAUUAAUUAUUGCGCACUAAUCAAUCAUACACAAGGCCAUAGCAAUUAAAAUCAAGGAACAUAUAAAUACCAAUAAAUGAAGAAAAUAAUUAAAACAGAUUCGAUCUCACAGUAAUUGUCGAACCAAAUCGUCAGUUGUCCCCUUGACUAGAAAAGCUUAACCACGCCUCAUGAGAAAAUCUCCCCGUUGGGGAAUAUUGUCGAACACCUGGCGUGUGUCAGAGGCCAGUCCAAAGAAAGAAACUAGAACUAAACUAAAAAAACUAAAACUAAAGCCCUAGAUGUCCUUUGCUUCUGUACGUUGUCCCCUUUUAAAGCAACAAAAGAAAGAUGACUAAAAGCUAUCUAGGUGGUCCCCACACAUGUGGACAAAGCCUCCAAAGUACUUCUUGUUCCAAGUCUCUCUAUGUUGCUUUCUUUGAAAGCCCAAAUGACUAAAUGCCUUUCACUAGCUUGUGGUCCCCACCAAUUCAAGGGCCCAAGAAUUGAAGCCCUUAGAAGUCUCCAUAUUUUCCAUAAAAGUCCCUCCUUUUUGGUAGUUUUCUGCUUCAUUCCUGAAAUUGAUCCAAAUACCAAAUAUGAGUAAAUAUUAACAAUUAAACAAUAUUUGACAAGGAUAAAAGGGAAAAUUAAUAAUAAAAUAACCAAUAAUUAACACCCUAUCAAUUCCCCCCACACCUAAAUCAUGCUUGCCCUCAAGCAUGGGAACAGCAAUUGAACACCAAAAGUUGACCAUGGCUAUUGCUCUAACUACCGUAUUGCCAAGAUACCCAGAAAAAUAUAUAUCAAGCAUCACAGUUAAGAUCCAAGAAAAAUCACCCCGGUUAGCUUCUAAACCACCAACUCCUCCAAUUUAAAGCAAACUAAUCUAAGGAAAAGGAAUGGUUGCUCACAUUUAUCAGCAAAUGGUCCAUCUAUUAACCAAAAUCUCGACAUUAAGAUCACAAAUAGGCAAGCUGACUUGAGAUCCUUUGGCGAUCCUCUGCUUGGCACUCUCAGAGCGAAGGUUGUCUGCUUUGAAACCCAACUGGAAAAUAACAACAUACAAGAAAUUAUCAGCUUUUAACAGGAAAAAGACCACAUAUCCAUUUCUUGCUAAGAGCGGUUCCUGACAAUGCAAACACAAACAUGGGUUUUACCUCACUCUGGCUAUCGGGAGGAACCACCGUAGCAGCACGCCUAGGUGCACCACAGCAGGGAUCAGCUUGAAAAGUAAAGGAGUAGUUACCUGCAGAUUCUCUUUGGUUAUAAUCAACUGUACAUUUACGUGCCAAAAAAAAAAGGAGAUGAAAAAACAAUAUUAACAAUAGAUUUGUAAUCUCUCACUCCAUCUCUACCUGCAUAUUUCUCUAGGUAUAAUCCACUGUAUAUUUAAGUGCAAACUGGAUAAAAGAAUGCAGAAGCAAAAAAUCAUAAUAAUAAUUGAUUCGUGAUCUCUCCCUCUCUCUCAAAAUGGAUAAAAGAAUGCAGAAGCAAAAUUGUAACAUUACUCAACUCAUAAUCUCUCUCUCCCUCCCUCCCUCCCUCCCUACACACGACACAAGCAUGAAUGAGUUGCCAAUUAAUCUAACUGACAAAUGGUAUCCACGAUCUCCCAGCACAAAGAGAUAGAACUUAUUGCAAACAAAUAUAAAGCUUCUCCCACCAAAAUCCAGAAUAAGAACAAGAGGACUACAGUAGUUAAGAAAUGGAAAACAUUAAUAUUGAACCAAUGAUUAUCUAUUUCGUGGCUACUGGCUCCAAUGGCAUUUGGACAAAGUAAGUAAAGUUUAAGAUCAGCAUGUUGCUGUACCAGGCUAAGAGCUGUUGUUCCCAGAAGCAGCAGGUACAGUUUCCCCUGGAAAGAAAAGGUUCAGGCCCAUAUUGAUAACAGCCAAUACAACUCAAAGUUUUGGUUAAAAGAUACCUCAACAAGAUGAAGAUUUGAAGCACGACUAAGCAAUACAAAUGCAAAUUCUCCUAUUUGUGCCAGUGACAUUCCAACCUACACAAGGAUGACCAAAUUCCGUCAUCAAAUGAUAUACAAGAAAUAUAUAAUGAAGAAUUAAAAUUGCACAGAAAGGUUUGUUAUCUCACUAGAAGAGAAGUUUUGUUGUUGUAGCCAAAUCCUUUGACAACUGCUGAAAUUACAAGAGUCUUCACAACAACUACUAAUAUCACUGAGGCAAGUAAAAUAUCGAUAUGAUUCCAGAGGAAAUGAACGUGGAUCAGCAUCCCGAUACUGGAAAGGAAAAGUGCCGCAAAGAAGUUCCGGAUGGGUUCCACCUGCAUGAAUAAACAAACUUAAAUGAAACACAACCAGGACCACCUAUUGUCUACUCAACCUAAACUUCCUACAAGCAUAUGCAUAUACAUGCAAAAGCACAUCUGUAAAAGGAAUAAUCAAUUUAUGCCUAUGGACUAUCAUACAAAGAAGUUGUCAUGGACGACAGUAUCUUCCACUGUGACCAAGUUAAGUUUUCAAUACCCAGAAGUAGCAUAGGUUGAACAUUGCAAACCUCGCUAAGCAGGAGGUUUCGAGGACUAUGUUUUCUUCAGCUAUCUGUUGAUUUCCCGUCUAUCCUUUAGUAUCAAAAAGCCAUUUGCUUAUUAUUUCAAUCAAUGAAGUGAUCUCCUAAACACAAGUAGCAUUGUUUUGAUGUGUAAUGUCAUACCAAUGAUAUUUUUCUCACAAACCUUUAGCCAAUUAUCAUCUGUUUUGUUCCAUAAAACUUGACAGGAUGUGUGAACGAAUAAUUGGUUGAAAAGCUAGUCAUCAACUGAAUUUUAACAAGAGUAGAUCAGCUGUUUAAUUUAAAAACCUGUUAUGGUCAAUAAACAUGGUAUAAGCAGCCCUUUAUAAACGAUGAUCUUCACAAGCUCCUCAGAACUAUGAGCACUCUUUUGUGAUCAGGAUGAAAAAUGGACAACAAAGCAGCAGCAAUGAUGCAUCAACUAAAUAAUCGUUGCUUUUGUUAUAGUUAAAGCUUUUCUAUUCUGUGCCAUAAGGGCACAGAAACACACAAAAGAGGGGAUAGACCCAGUACAAAAUUCUUACUUUAUCACCCACCCCCUACAUUAAGCUAAAACUUUUACAGACAUUCUAAGUCGGGCCCACCAUUUAUCCUGACCCAUAAGGCACAGAUUAGAAGAAUCUCAUUUGAAUUACUUGAAAAUAGAAGAAUUUUGACUAUUAAUAGUUGUCCUAAAGUGAAAAUUGACAAGUCCGACCUCACAUUAAGAACUAUCUCAUCAUACAAAAUCUUCUCAGAAGUAGAUCAACUAAGCAAAUAGUCUUAAAGUAGCUUCCAUUUAUCAACUAAUUAUUGCAACCCACAAGUUGGAUGCAGGAAAAUUAGACUUUGUGACCAAAAUCCAUAAGAAAGUUGAGCAAGGAGUCUUACCUGUUCAAGCGUAUGUUGAGCGAGAUCAGUUGUUGAGAUCAUGACUCCCGCAGCAAACGAACCCAACUCUAGACUAAGACCUAGCUUGUCACUACUCUGCAAUAACACAAACAUUUACGUAUGAUACUGCUCAUUGAGACAAAAUGAAGGGAUCGAUACAAACAGCAUGCAACAAGUCCUAAGCCAACUUGAUUGAACACACCAAAACACAUUUAUUAACAAAGCCAAUAAAUCAAUCAUAAGCUACCAAGAAUCAGAUACUAGAAACUGAGUGAACUGAAUUAAUAGAAACUUCAUUACAUCUCACAGCCUUACUCAGCCAAAACAUAACUUUUUUUCCUUUUUCUCAAGUGCUUGGCCACCCAAACAAAUAGAGUUAUUAUGUGAACCCAACAAUUUUGUGGAGCUUGAGCAUAACUGAUUCGUCAGACAUGGUGGGAUCUAUCAGUUUUCACAAAUAGCAGAGACAAAUUAGAACAGAGAGCAGAAAACAAAGGGAUCACUAGCACAAUAUUAGAGGAACCAAACUCACAUCAGCAAGAGAGCUAUGAAACAGAAAUUCAGUAUCAGUAAAGGAACAAACCCAGGCUACAAGUAGGCAAAAUGCAACUGAUGCCAGCUGAUACAAUUCAUUAGUCUGCAGCAAAAAACAUUUUCUAAUCAGGGAAACUACAAAACCAUUUAGUGCCCAAGACCUGUGUACUUAAUAGGAUUCAUGUGGACAAACAGAGGAAUCAGAAAUAAUAACAUUUAGAGGAUUGUUACAAGGUAAAUUCUCACCUGAGAUGAUAAGCUGAUCAUCAGCUUGAGGAACCAAGGCACACAUGUCCGAGACAAUAUUGUCAAAAUGGCCAAGAACACAAUUAACACCACCAACCUGGCUAGUAAAUUAAUCAGUAGUAGAAAGAAAAGAAUACGUAGCUCAUGAUUGGAACAAAAUAUACAAUAAGGCAUCUAUUGAAUCCCAAGCAACCCCAGAUGACCCGAAAAGAAGGAAAGAGAAAAGCUAAGAGGAAGGAUAUGAGUCAUUAAAUGGCUCCUGGUGGUCCAAAUAUAACUCUAUCCACCAGAAGAUUUGUUUGAAAAUCACAGACCUCAAAAAAAAAAAAAAAACUUUUCUUCAACACAAAUAUGACAGAAUCGAAAAGCAAACAUAAAUGACCACCAAAAAAAAAGUUGGAAACCAACCCCCCUCCCAGUCAGUAUAAUCAAGUGUACACACCCCUAUCUUUUUGAGUGUGUUUGUGUGUGAGAGAGUGUCUGUGUGUGGUGAGAAAGGAGGAGGAGGAGUAGUCAAAGUGGUCACAGACUUACGAUUUAGUCAUGGAUAUUACUCCUUGGAGAACACCCGAAGUUCCUCCUAGGACUGGAAGUAGUGCAAACAACAAGCCAACAGCACAGUCCUGAAAUUAUGCAAAGAGAUUGGAACUCUGGGCUAAAAUAAGAUUGCAUUAUAACUCAUCAUACAAAGAACUGAAACCUCAAUUAGUCUCAGGCAUGGGGCAUGAAAUUAUCACAACCAUGUCAAAUGCCUAUGGAUAAGUAAAGCCAAACAGGAAGCUUUUUGUGGAAACUCAUUAACACGGAGCUUACAUGUCACAAAAACAUAAAACUAGAAGUAUAGAAUGUUAAUAUUCAAGAAUACCACCAAGAUACCUGCAAGAUCAGGGUGCCAAUGGUCACUUGACCAUGAAGGGCAUUUGUACUGCUCUUCUCCAUCAAAAAUUUCAAGACCUGAAUGCAUAAAAAUGUUAGUAAUUUUAAGAACAAAUUACAAUGGAGUCUGCGCUCGUCAACCAUUGGCAGGAAAAAAGAAUUACCACUGCUGUUGACGACAUGGAGAGGAAUGAACCUACAAAUACCCCUCUGAAGAUUUACCACCGCACAACUGCAACAUGGAUUACAAAUGCAGCAUGUGAAAGGGAUAUAAAGAUGGCAUGCUUGGCAAGUACAUUCAAUGCCAGCAACGGAACAUCCACACUGUGUAUCACAACAACUAUGGCAAUGGCAGAAGUAACAAACAGUGAAUGUACAAGGAUAAGAAAUCAGGUUUUCAGUAGAUUUUUGGAAAGGGGAUGACCAGAGGCAAUAGAAUUUGGUAGAGAAAGGCACAGAAAACAUAGUCAUUCCCAGAACAAAUACUGCAAGAAGUUUAGACAGUGAAAAUCAAGCUGACUCUUAAUGAUCAAACCUAGUAUUUUUAAUGCUUCAUCUUAGUUCUAAUGAAUGUCUCAAACCUGUUAUCAUUUGAAGAAUUGUAACUUAAUCACUUUCAAGCUUUGUAUUAGAAUGGCAGAACUUGCUCAGAACAGAAGCACGCAAGUCAUAAACACUUGAUUACUUUACGGUGUGGUAUUGGAGAUGCAGACUUACCGAUGCAGUAAUUCCACAUAGGCACAUAAAUAGAAGAAUUUGCAGCAGACCUCCUAGAACAGCAACUGCUCGUACAACUCGAAGCUAGGAAAUGAAAGACUGUACGUUAAGCAUAGUUAUACCAAGAAGGCAUGAUAUUUCACAUGACAGGCAACAGAAGUAUAAAUGCAUAUACAAGAAAAAGGGGAGAAUAGAUCAAGCAAAUUCAGAACCAACCUUUGUAGUGGAGAACUCCAGGCCCAAAGCAAAAAGAAGGAAAAUUACACCAAACUGUGCCACUGUCUCAACCUAUACCACAAGUUUAUUGAAGGUCAACUAAUAUGCGUAAGAAAAAACAUUUUUAAUUUGAGAAUAAAUCAUAACAGAAACAAAGUAAUAGCUAAACAGUAUGGACUCAGGCAAGAUGUACAGGAGCAUUCAAGCAUUCAACGUGAUGAUUCCCCUCUUCAUAAAACAGCAUAACAAAGGUCAGAAUUACAAGAUUUUGUUAAGCACACAGAACAAUGCAACAAAGGGACAUUUUGUGUUAAAACUGAAGAGGACAAAGGGCCACUGGCAUCAGAAUGAUUAAGCCAGCCAACAACAAUAAAAGCUUGAUGCAAAGAGAUUAGGCUUUUGAGUAAAAUCUGGAAAUCAAAUUAUAUCAGUGUCUUAACUAAUGAAAGCAGCGUACAUACUUGAACCAUUUCACUCACAACAUUAAACCCACCAGGGCCAACAACAGAUCCAGCUAGCAGAUAUCCGGUUAUUACCUGAGGAAAUAGUUAAAACAGUAUUAGUACACUAAAUCAUCAUAGAGCAUAAGCAUAAGCCACAAAUACAGUCAGGAACAAGGUAAAUAUUCUAGCAUCAGACCGGUUGCCCAGCACAAGCAAACGCAAUUCCGCCACAAGUUGCAGAUACAAUGACAACCACAAGAUCAGAUAUCAACCUACAAAUCAACCAGUUAGGUAAGAGCUGAAGCACAAAAGAAAUGGACUAAACAUAGCAAACUCAACUGAGCAAGUUUACCUUAAGUCUAACUGUAGGACUGGAUAUUUUGAUUUGAAGUUAGAUAUAAUGAAGACAUUGUCCUGAAAAAUAACAACAGUUAUAUAAUAUCUACUUGUGUCCCACAAUAUUCGUAACUUCAUCUCUUUUCCCAAGUCCCCUUCCCCACCCCCCUGAAGCAAAAACUAGAGCCCCUCUAACAUCUUUUAGUGCACAUGGAAGUAAAAGACACCAAUCUAAGAUUCUUACCUUCCUGUCUAUCAAGGUUGGGGUCUCUUCUGCUCCAUUGUCAUUAUCCAGAUUGAAAACAUGAUGAAGCUUAAAAGAUCUAAAAUCAUUUUCAACAAAGACGAAGAAAGGUCAGUUAAUAGACAAGGAUACAAAUGAACAAGUAUCAUGUCAACAAGAAAGUUCCUAAAGCUCGUAUGGUAGAAGGAUAUACUUUUCCUCUUUUGCUUUCGUUUCAUUUUUCUUGGGCUUAACUCUAGCUACAGUCUCCAAAACUGCCUGUUAAUGAAAAAGAAGUAAGCCAUAGAGAUUUCAUAAAGAUCAAAGAUAUAGAUGAAUCACAAGCCAAAUAAGCAAGAAAAGAACACUCAGUACUCAAAGCAGUGCUGGAUUAAGUCAAAAAACUAAAAAGCAUGUCAACCCAUUGCAGCAAAGAUUCUUUCCUGCCUUUGUAACCCACAAACUGGCAUGCACACUUACACGUGUGCAGGCAUAUAAAAAAUUAAACAAAAAAGAAUGCUCGCAUAUUGAAUUGAAUACAAAUUUAACUAGCAUCCAAACAAAGUCAAUGUGCAUUAGAAAAUAACGAGCCUAUAUACAUGCAACACUUCAGCAUCAAGACCUGACAGAGCAGGUUUUCUUGUUCUUGUCCUGUUGCCAAGAUUCGUUAUCAUAUUGCAAUGGACCAAAUAAUCAGUUUCAUACUUGGUACAUCUUUUACUCAUUUCGUUGAUGGGAGGUUGGAUGACUGGCUAAUUUCUUAGGCAUCCCCCAACAAUGAGACUGGUUGAUCGCCUUACUAGGAUGGAAGUUUCUAAAAAUCUGUCUCGACCCAGUAAUCUUUUACAACACCACAUCAGCAACUUGAAUAACUAUCUAAAGGAGAUUUUCCCUCCAAGUGAUUUUUGCUUAAAUGAAGCAAGGAAGAACUGACCUAGGCACUUUCCAACCUUAUUGGAGCUCAGUAAAUCAAACAGAACAUUAUCUCCAAACUUAGACUAAACGAAGUAUAUACCAAGAUAGACUGAGCAGUGAGGAGGCAGCAAAACUACACAGUUGCAGCAAAUAAUUGGGAAGUAUUUGCUAGACAAUUGAGUGGAUACCAACAAACAAGGGGUAAUUGAGCAAGCACAGACAAGUCACACAACACCUUUGGAAGUAAAGGAUAAAAAGAAACACUCUGUCAGAUCAUGCCUGACAUCAAUAACACUCAUGAUAAGAAGUACCCCAAAACCCAACUAUGUGAACGCAUGCAUGUCUGAAAGGAAAUAUACUCUAUCCAUUUACAAGUUUAUAAUAUUUAUAGGCUAGCAUACUAUCAUACCGAACUAGAUUUUUUUCAAAGCAAAAGCUUGAAAAGUUCCAAAAACCAUGACUUAGUAACAGCAUGUACCUGCUGCUCUGCAACGCUGUUAUUGAAGCUACCAGCAUCAUUUGCUGCAAAAUUAAUGCAAGUCCAAAAUUAGGCAAUGGUUCAACAAGACUGGGCAUAUCCAUAUCCAUCUAUAAGAUACACAAAAGGUGAUCGAACUACAUACUAUAAUUGAAUAGCUACUGACAGUGUCAUACCUUAAAGAAAAUUGAGAGAGAGAGAAAGAGCUGGUAGCUUCUUCCAUUUUUUCUUUUUUGGUUUAUUUUUGGGGAAGGGAGGUGGAUUCAGGAAGGAACUCAUAAGAAAAUGCAAUCUUGAUUAACACAAGAAUAGUUCUGGAAGACGGAAUGAAAUCAAGAACAUAGAAGCCUAACUUGUUAGGUACACAUUUGACGAGAAAGUAGUUGAAUAUACUCAGUAUCUAGUUAGGCUCAUCUCUUUUAUGACUAGUGUAAAAUAUUUUUCAAAUAUAAAGAAAAGGACAAAUAUAUACCAGUUACUUCAACAGUUAAUUAAAAACAGAGAUCGUAUAUGCACGAGGUAGUUUCAACAUUGCGUUUGGAACACCAAUAAUGGCAUUGACAGUUCACUAACGAACCCCAAUGGUGAAGUGAAAUUCCAAAUCACUAGGUGUCUAUUGGUGCUGAUAACAUUGAUCCAAAUUAUAGGCCAGUGUUCUAAUUCAGAUCAACCUAGACAAGGAAUUAUGCUAAAUGGUCCAACAGGCUUUUCCUAUUUUUCAGAAGUUUUGGAUUUUUGUUCCUCUUCUGUAACCAACCAUGACAGGCAUAUAGCGUGCAGGAGCAUGAUGAACAUCCUGACAUCUCCAAUUCAUCCUUUUCGUCAAUCUUGAGAAUUUUAAGAUCAAAGUCUAGCUCACUGCUCGAAACAUACAGCAUUCUUCCGAACAUAUAGAAUUCCAACUGGAUUCCCAAGUUUGACUAAAUCCAUCAUCUAAUUUCUCAGAUUAUCGAGGAGAGGCAUCCAUGAGAUUCCAACCAAAACUCCCCUAAUUGCCAAUCAGCUGAGCAGCCAUUUUUUCACCUCUCAACCAGCAAUUUUUUAUAUUUGAAACCAAAUUAUUCUCAAUUCAAACCAGAACAAUGUGAUAGGAGCUUAAUCAAAAUUCCAACCCUAGGUCAAAUCAUUCGCUAAAAUGCGCAAUAGGAAACAAAAAUCGAUACAAAAAAAAAACAGACUAUUAAAUACGUAAACAAAAUAAUUACAAAAUAAAAAAAAAUAAAUCCACUCAGAUCUGGGAUAAGUUACCUUCAUUCUGAUCUUCACUUUCAGUGAACUCUUCUCGAGUGCUCGAUCGAUCAUGUCGGCAAAACUAUCUUCCUUAGCCUGAUUCCUAGUGCCAUUGGUACUAUCACUACUAUUAACACUAUUCUCAAUCGUCGCAUUCAACUCAACAGAGACAUUCCCAUUACCACAUCGAAGCUCGCCGCCGACGAGAGCGGCGAAGCAAUUAGUACACCCAGGCAAACAAAAUCAAGAGCGAAGACAAAACGCCAGAACCGACACUCGGAGGAGAAGAAGAAGGAGAAUGCGGAUGACAAGGAUGACGCAGACGACGCAAGAUGCGGAUCUUCUCCUCCUUCUAAUAGUCAUUUGGAUUUGCGACCGCGACGGCCACGGCCACGGCGCCGGCGUAGGCUACGCUGGCCCCCCCUGCGCAGGUUAGCAAGAUCUGUGCACGAAAUAGAAAUUGACGGAAACGGGAGCAGUAUCAACCUAUAGUAGAGCACAGGUAACUGCCGGAAAAUGCCAAAACGGUGUCGGUCUGUCGCUGUCCAGGUUUCCGUGUCGUAAUACUUAAAUUGGUAAAUGUGGAAAAAAAACACGCGACGUAGAGUACGAAUAUUGGUGAAUCUUUUCGGGUGGUGACGGCGAGUGGCACUCUAUCUCUGUUACUGUCCUGUGGCGCAACCUCUUGCUCCACUCCCAAAUUUUAGAGAGAGAGAGAGAGAGAACCAGUUGACUGAGUUAUGCAUUAAAUAUUCACAUUUCUAUCAGCGUUAUACAUUUGAUUAUUUAUUAACCUUUUAUCAUUUCUUUUUUGUAAAUUUUUCUACUGAAUGCUCAAUAUGCACUUACUUAUUCACACACCUAAAUUUCAACGAAAUAUAUAUAGACACGCACACAUGCUAAUAAAUAUUAUUUUCAUUGCAUUUAUUAAUUUUUUUCAAUUAAUUUUAUCUUUUGAAAAAAAAAUUUACCUUGUCUAAGAAGCGUCCAUAAGACAGAAUUCAAGUGUAUUUUGAUCAAGUUACAGUUAAAUAGAAAGUGAGUACAUAUAAAUGCAGGAAAAUAUAAUAAUUAUUAAUGUAUGUAGUUAUAUAGUAGUAGGUUCAGGGUGAGUACUAAUGAGUGCUAAAAAACUUUUUCUUUAAAGCAUAAUUAGUUACUUUUUCUUUAAACAAACUUACAUAGAAUCAUAGAUAGUGAUUUCGUAAUAUAAAUUAUACAUAAACUAACAUUUUAAUUUAUUACUUUAUUGAAUGAACACUUUUUGGAUACUACAAUUUUGCUAAUCCAAAAAAAAAAAACACUGGCCCUCUUAAUUUGUAGCCAUUAUUGCAUCUCUUAAAUAAUCCCAUAAAUUAUUUCUAUUGGGAUUUGUUAAUUUAAGAGCUUAAUAAUUUACAUUUGUUUGCGUGCAAAACAAAUUACUGUGUGUGUAUAUAAUGACGAUUGGAAUUUGGGGGGUAGGUUGUAAAUAAUUAGGAUGGUUAGAGAGUGAUUAGGAAGACAGAAGACGACACCAGGAAGGGAUGUUUUGUUGGCGAUGCGUCUCGGUCACGUGAGGUUCAUGGUUCAAAGUCGCGGUCACGGUUGCGAUCACGGCCUAGAUCGUUCCACAUCGGUCUCGGUAUAUUGGUCACGGUUUCGGUGAGACGCGAAUUGUAAAAUAUUUAAUAUUCUAAAAUUAUAAAAUAUGAAAUAAAAAUAAUUAAAAAUUAAUAAAAUAAUAAAAAUUUAAGUUGAUUCGGAAUGACUUGAUGUGAUUCGGGCCGUUUCAACCCUUCACGAUGACGUUUCGGCCUGUCACGUAUCUCGAAAACGUUUCAUAACGUCGUCUCGGCUCGGACUACGCCGAGACGGAGACGACUGUCUCGGCCGAGUCUUCGAACCAUGGUGAGGUUAUUAACAACUCUAGAGGACAUCGGAUGGCUACUUUUUUGUAAUUUUUUUUCCUUUUUCUUUUUAAGUGUUUCGAAAGGGACUCCAUAUAUGUUUAUUUUGUUCGACCAGGAAUUCAGGACGGAUUGGACGGGAGACUCCGAGCAAAUAAUAAAUACGAAUGUGCAAAUGUCAGGUAGGAUGUAUUUUCAGUGUUUAAAUAAUAUUCGAUUUAUUUUUCAGACCAAUAUUAAUCAAGUGAUCCUACAAUUUUUAGUUUCAUUAUCAAAUUCUUCUCUUAUUACUCUUUCUUUUGUACCAUCUAGAGUCUUCCUCUAGAAAAAAAAAGAGGAGUAUAAUUUUGAUUUCAAUGCUAUAUUUAUACUUUCAAAGCACUAAUGAGCACUACUUAUUUUGAUUAUGAACUCAAUACCACUAUUAUGCUCAAAUGAUGUACUAUGUGAGUUUCUCCUCUAAAUCCGUCAUAAUUACACAAUUUCUUUAUUUAUUUUCCUUCUUGAAUUAAAAAAAAAACACACAUUGACUUAAAUUUGAAGACGAUGACUCUAAUACUGAGAAAUUUGAAAAAAAGGAUUUUCACAACUAUAGAAAUCUUAUGCAAAUUCAUUCUAAAUGAACCAAAAAUUCGUGGAGAAUUAAUCAUAAGAAGAUAAUAUAUUUUAUUUAUAUUUAAUAUGUGGAGGAAAAAUAAGGUCUAAUCUAAUGGAUACAUCCCAUUAAAGAACUAGAUGAAUUAUUUGUAAGGUUGCUCGUUUAAUGGUCUGCAAUCACCAUUAACUCAUUUUUCAACUACCACUCUAGUCUGUCCUCUUCCUUUCUCAAUUUGGUUUGGUGGACCAUUAAAUAUUGUGGAAGAUUUGCCUAAAUCGCUUCGCUAAGCAUUCUGGCCAUGCUGCUGAUGAACUCAGCUGUCGGAACAUAUUCAUGAGAUCACCACUCAUGCCAGCGCCUGAUGGCAUCGGCCUCUUGAAAUCAUUCGAGUCAUAUUAUCAUUUUUCUUCUGGUGCACAUGUUUGCGAGUUGCUUGUAAUGCUCCAACAUCUUCAUAACAUCUCCUACAUGGCAACCAGAGCCUUGUGCUAUGCGCCUGAUCCGAGAUUCCUUCAUAAUCUUUGGGUUUGAGCUGUUUAAUUCUGUAAUAUCAAGAUUGGAUCAGAUGAACGUAAAAACUAUAACCUUUCAUCAUGAAGCCCAAAUAAGCUUAAAAGAAUGCAGUAAAUUAAAAAUUACUUGCCUUCACUCGUUAGUGAAUCCAUCAUGAUCAGAUAUUUCUUCAUUUGUUCUGGUUUCACAUUUUCCUGGACAUUUGGCUGCAAAUCCCGGACUUGACUUAACAAUAAAGGACCCAUCUGGACAGUAAUAGAAGGGUGAUCUCAGAUAUUAUGAUACAACUACGAAUGCAAGCAACCUGACGCUUCCAUACCUUGUAAUUGUGCUUUACAACAGCCUGAUACUUUUUGAAGGUAAAGUUUUCUCCAUCAGUAAACAUUUGGCACAAGUCAGCCUGUUCAUCCAGAGACACGGAGUCCCGAAAUCUGUCCACUAGCUCAGCUGGAUGAUGCUUACCUGAUUGUAAUUGCGAAGAAAAUAAGUGCAGAACUUGAAAUGUUUAUGGGAUGAGAAACCAGAAUGAUCAAAUAUCUCAGUGGAAAUAUGCAUUAUUAAGUAAUAUAGAUAUAGUUACCUAGGAGACGACAAACAAAAGCCUUGGCAUCGAAAGCUUCAAACUUAUCCAGCUGCUCUCCGUUUCCUAUGAAUAUGACAGGACAUUUUGUUGCUGCCACACUGUAGCAUAAGGUGAGAUAUCAAACGAAUCCUUACAAUGAAUAAACUGAAUGAAAUGAAUCACAGAUAUCAAAGAAAGCCUAAGCAAGAGAAACGAAGAGUAGAAAUUCAAAUCCUUAUAACCAUGGUUCAUUGUGGCGGGUCACCAUCACGUCGCGGUUGCGGUUGUUUCACAUCCGUCGCGACAUAUCGAUUGGAUAUUAGGUGAUACUCACAUUAUAACAUAUAAAAAAUUUCAAAAAAAUUUGAAAAUUUUAUUAAAAAUAGAAAAUACCAAAAAGGCACAAUCUGAAAAAAAAAAAAAAAAUCCGAAUCGACUCCGAAUAGACUCGGAUAUUUUGGCCAAUUCCAUGCAUCACAGAUUCGAAUCGAUCAAUAUCAGUCGAGUCAAAGUGAAUUACCGCGAAUAUGGAAUUCUCUAUGAUUCGAGAAUCGGUAUCGUACCUGUCCCCUACGUUCCGGUUAUAAUUCGGCUGAGAUGGCGAACCAUGCUUAUAAUAUUGGCAAUAAUAUAUUUAGAUGCCUAGAUCAGAAUAUUGAUGUUUUUCUUAUUAAUUCAUUUAUUGGUUGGGAUGAACAGAAGCUUGAACUUUUAUAGCUUUGCAUUAUCGAAGGUGAUGUCUGACAUAAAAGAUAAAGUCAUGACUAAGUUUUCCUAUCUGUUCAUUAAGGAGAUGAUUAGUGGCAGCAGCACAGAGAUCUUUUCCUUCUCAACUUUCCUUUUUUAACUCUUCCAGAAUUUGGGGCUGGAAAAGCAGGGGAGUCUGAGCAAAUAAGCGAUAGAGGCCAAGCAAAAGAACAUGCAGAUAAUCUAUUGCAAUAUACGCCUAGGAUAUUUUUAACUUGUUUAAAGUUUUUAGGUAUACUUUGCCCUCAUGUAUAUACUUGCAUACCAUAUAUGCCGGAUUCAUGUGGUAAUCCAAUCAUCAUUGUCCAUGAGAAACAGAAGUCUAAAUUGCUCCUCUACUAGUGUAAACUACAAAUGAAGCAAUCCCUACACAUGCACUUAACAGGAAAAAAAAAUGGCUAUUAACCUUCAACAACAGCUCAUCACAUGCAUCUAAAUGAAGAGAAAGAAUUGAGAAAAGGAAAUGUAACUGAGAUAACGUUAAGUUGAAGGAGCAGAUAAUGCAGCUCAUAGAUGAGGCAAAGAAACAAUAUAAGCAAGAAACAUCUAACUUGGCUACCAUACUUACGCACUGAUAGCACCCCUCCCUUAGCAUGACCAUCAAAUUUAGUGACAAUCACACCUCCAACAGAGACACUCUGUUUGAAAGCUCGAGCUUGAUCAAAUGCUGCUUGACCAAUGCUACUAUCAAUCAGAAACACCACGAGAUCUGGUUUCUGGAACGUUACCGGAAAAGGCUUUUAAAAUUACAACUAAAGACAUUUAAGCUUGCACUCAAUUAGACUCGUAAUGUUGAAGUUACCGUUGCCUCAUACAGUUGACGCAUCUCUUCAAGAAGUGCGACCUCUUGUUUGUGACGCCCACUUGUAUCAAUAAUGAUCAGAUCACGGUUUUCAUUCUUGAACCGUUUCAGUCCUUCCAAAGCAACUUCUGUAGGAUCUGACUCUGUGGAACUGUUUAGGCAAAAAAGAAAAGGGUGAUUAUUGCAACUUACAAAUUCCUAUGAAAUGAACUUCAAGAUCAGCAAUAGUCCACUGAAGGAAUGAAACAAACAUGAUCAGAGUCCUUCUAAAAGCUGCACGAGGGAAAAAAGUCAUAAUCUAAAUUGAAACUGCUGUGUAACUAUUUACUAUUUCAAGUUUUUUGAUCAAAAAAUGUCAGCAACUAUAUAGCUUGAAGAAUUCAUCACAAUUGCUUUGCUGGUUGUAAGCCCCUCAAAGGAUAAUCAACUUUUUAUUUUAUGAAACUUCACAACAAAUUUAUUAAACUUUAACAAACUAGGGACGCAUGAUGACAAAAUGUAAAACACUAGAAUUCGUAAUGCCAUUUUAACCACGUUAUAUCCCAAGCAUCUAUUUGACUGCAAAUUAUGCAUUCAAAGUUUCAGUUACCUUCCAUAAUAGGGUAUUUCUACUUUCACAGCAUCUUGUUUUAACUGGUCAAGAGCACCAUCUCUGAAUGUAUCAGCACAGAUCAAUGCUGGUUUCCAUCCCUUCUUCUGAUGAUAAUAGGCAUAUUUGGCACACGUGGUGGUCUUCCCAGUUCCUGAAAUUUAAAUCGUGAAUGUUGAAAAAAACACAGAUCCAACACUAAUUAUUUCACAGGUGUUACCCAUACCAUAUAAACAGAGAUAUAGAUACUAUACUGAAUUAGCAAUAUAUUGAAGAGAACCAUACCUUGUAAACCAACAAACAUCACAACACUAGUUUCCCCCUUUCGCGGGUAAAGAUGGUUUUCCCGGAUUUAACAUGUUGCAGAGCUCACUAAAUAUGCUCUGCACAAAAUUGAAGAGAUUGUCGCAGUCAAAGGCGAAUUAGUGCAAGAAAUAAGAAGCAAGCAUGAUAUGCUCUUUGCCAGGAAUUUAGGCAGAUGUAUAGAAAAUUGUAGACCUUGAAUCAUAAUUUUGCAGUAGAGAAAACUUGAGAUAAGACCCUAUCUGGCCUUUUCACAAAGGAUGUACCAAAAUAGAAUCUUGCAAGUAGGAUAUUAAGAGUCCCUAUUUAUUGUUUUGAUUUCAAUCAGGGCCAUACACACAUUCCCCAGGUCAGUACUACUAUUUACCAGCAGUCUCAUGAUCAUCUACCAAAGAGCAAUAGAAAGUUGUAAGCUUGUAAUCCCGAAAAAAAUAGAAAUCAAUCAACCAAUAAACUGCUUAUCUGUCUCAACCAAUAACCUCCUAUACAACCAGCUGCGAAAUCAGGCAACAAAACAUUCACCAUACUUAAUUUUGCUUCUACCUUCUAAAUUUUCACAUAUUUCAAACUUGAUGUGGGCAUUAGCCAAGUCUAAAUGCACUGCAUGCAGUCAAAAAAAUAACAAAAGCACGGAAAAUUAAACCAAGAAAAAGAAUACCUCUUCAAGAAUUUUGCGCUUAUUGAUCCCUGAUGGCAGAUUGUUGAGAUUGGCACUCUUCUUGACAUUGUUCACCAAUUCCUUAACUAAAUGAAAGGGCACAUCACCUCGAAGAAGUGCCCGGGUGAUCUCAUUGAGACAUUCAUUCACUACGCUCUCAUCCACAACAGUAGCAUUCUUCAUAUCCGAAUGGCUUGGGUAAGCCGGUCUUUUAACUCUACCAACAUUAUGAUGAUUGAUGCCGCCUUCUUACUCUAACCAAAUAUAUCUAUCAAGAACUGCAAGAUCAAAGAAAACUUCAGAAACUCGCAUGCACAUGCAGAUGCACGUCAAGGUACAAAAUUGUACAAGCCCACAUGCACAAAAUUAAUACCAGCCCUCAAAUUGAAUUGGAAAAUUGGGGAAGAGACAGAAAAAGAAAAUUAGCAUGUUAGCGGAGCCCUGGAAAUCAAACAACGAUUACAAUACCUUUGCAGAGUUUUGGUGCAGAUUAAGGGAAAAACUAACAAUAAUAUUGGUUGGGGAUACUAACGUAAUUUUUCGUUUUUCAUAAAAAUAGCUUAAGAUUAGAAGUAAGCCAGAGAUGAACUUUGAGUAUUAUUAUUGUUUGAAACGUCCCUCUUACUAGAAGAUUCUAGAAUGAACUUUAAAUGCUUCUAAAGUCUAUUGAAAACGUUACAAAAAAGGACCAAAAUCUGAAAUUUGUCGUAAUGGUCCUUAAUCCUUUAGACACAUAAGUGAAAUUGAAAUUUGUUGUAAUGAUCCUUAAUCCCUAGACACAUAAGUGAAAUCAUUAAGAUACUAAAGUUUGAAAUCUAAAAUUUAUUAAGCUACUAAAUUGUCAAAUAGUGAAACCAUUUAAGCAUAUUUUGCAUUAAAUGAUAAGUAAACAAUAUUUUAAAUUAAGCGAUGAGUGAACAACGUAUCACUUAUUUUUUGAAUAAGUUUUGCCUAAAUAAUUUAGAUCCAUUUAAUUUAUUAAGAUUUUCUAUUUUUUGUUAUCAAACACCACUGAACAUAUUAACAUCUAAAUUCAUUAAAUUUAAGUGAUAAAUUAGAUUAUCAAAUAUGUUCCAUUAACAGUUAAAUUCAUUAAAUUUAAGUGUUAAAUUGAAUUAUCAAUAUGGUCAUAAUCACACAAUUUGUUUGUCCAUUUGUACCGGACGAUUUUCAGCUACAUCAUUAAUAACAUUAGUCUUGCAUAUCCUCUGAAAAAAAAAAAAAAAAAAGGCCAUAGUCACAGCAUGUCCUUACUACAGUGAAAGUUAUUUUAAAAUACAGCAAUUAACAAGCAUCCAUGGUAUAUUUUCCACAUUGCGUACCAAUGAUCUAAACGCAAAACAUACCCCUAUCGAGAAUUUUUUUGAAUUUUCAAGAUAAUUUAGAAGUAACCAAUUUAUAUUUUCGUAAUUGGAAUUAUAGCAACGUAUUCUUGCCGAAGGCUCACGUUCCCCAUGGUUUCUUGGUCAUUAAGAGGAGGAUUAAGUAGCUAACUCCCAAUCCCAGAGAAAGGUUUCAGAACUCAACAGCGUAAAAAGAUUCAUGUGACACAUAUAUUACAUGGCUGAUAGAACCAUUUCAGCUCAGCAUUUCAUGGCUGACAGAAGAAUCUGAUACUCUUGUCUGAACGAGACUGGACCUUUGCAAUGAAUUCCAGGAGCAAGUUGCCAGUUCAUUGAGUGCUCUGCACUGUUUAACCCGAAUAACUUUCAGCCUUCAUCUCUUGAUCUUGCUUCCUUACAGCCACUCCAAAAUAAAACAACAAUUUCAGCAGUACAGCUUUGUAUUAGACUUGUAGCCUGUCUACAUAUCACCACUUAGAGAGAGAGAGAGAGAGAGAGGAGAUGAUGACAUCCAUGGCGUUUUUCUAAUUUCUCCUAUAUCUACAGACUAUUCUUUUCGUUUUCCAGGAGUACUUGACUAGCAUACCAAAGAAAAAAUUGAGGAACCUAUUUUGAUUUCCAAGUAGUAAACAUUUUGUUUUUUGUAAUAGGAGCACAAAAAGGACUCUAUGGCGGUUAAAUUUUCCCUGGUGAACUCUGCAGAUCUAUGAAGGACUUCUUGGAGAGGUUGAUAAUUGAAUCUGCAAUCACUCUUGCACUGGAUUUCAUAUAACCACCUAAAAAUGCAAUAAAGUUGCAUAAGAUAAAUGCGUUGUGGACAGUAAAAAGAAAGGGGUCCUAAAUCCUGUAGGGUAAGGUUCAUAAGCAAUUACCUGAUGUAAGCAUGACAAGAGGUAUGCUCCUCUCACGAGCAAAACUAAACACCUUUUCAUCCCUUGUGGCAAUUCCCUCCGGGCUGAUCUGCAAAGAUAUGCAUUUGAUAGUUAACAUUCAUGAAAUCUUCAUCGGCAGCGUUACGUUUGCUUUCUGUCUUCUUUUGCUUUGACACACACAUGACAAAAGCAAAGCGAAUUUGACAGUGUCCCAGUUAGAUUUUAAUAAUUUCCCAGACAGAUAUAUGACAACCAAAGAACCAAACCAAAAGAAAUACCUUCAACCUGCCCAGAGGAUCUCCGUCCAGAAUAUCAGUGCCAGCAUUGUACACGAUCAACUCAGGACUAAAAUUCCGUGAAGCAACCUAGAAAGUACCAAAUAAGGCACUAUUUAUAUCAACAGAUGAACAAUUGACACAACUAAUUUGAUAUCAAAACCAUAAAACUUCAAUGCAGAUGGUAAAAUUUACAAUAUGUAAUAAUGUAGCUGGAAAUGCAAUAUAUCAAGCCACCAAAUUACAGCUGGACCAAGAACAACAAUGUUGCUAGUCCAGAAGCAAGUCAUCAAUGAGCAUUUUACUGAAUGAGGGAAAAAUAGAACAUUACAUGCAACUUAUGGAUGAAAACCCAUGUUGCAGGGAUGAACUCCCCCAACUUUUCCACCAAAAUGUUACUGUAUGUGAAAAGCGACUCAUAAAGAUUAACAUCAAGGACGACAAGAAACAAAUUCAAAUCAGCCGGUGUGCCUAAAUAUGAAAAUUCUUGAAGAAAAUUCAAGCAAAGUUGGACAUCAAGGUAAAUGGCCUUGGCCUUCGUAUCAACUUCAGCAAGAACUUGUCAUCUCUCUCUCUCUCUCUCUCUGUAGUUGCACAUAAAAGGCAACGUAUGUGAACCAAUUUGAAAGAUGGAGGGAACAACAAUUCAUAUAACCCCCCUUAGAAAUGCUGCCACCAAUAAUGCUUGUUGGCAACACUUGUGAAUGCGUUUAGCAGAACAGAACAUCGAUUUUCACUUUUGCAGAAGCAUUCAGGAACUAACAAAAUACAUGAUGCAUAUGUCAAACUACAUGCAGCCAUGCAGGUCAUCUUUCUCAAGGAGAAUUUCAGUGUCUGCUUUUCUUUUUCCACUAAAGACCUGAAAAUGUAAUAUUGGAGUUCAUAUCUGUACUUAAAAGAAAAGGAAAAGAACUUGAGAAGAUUUUCUACAACUCAAUGGACGAAAAAUACAAGAUUGGAAAUGACAGAUUUAUAUACCUCAAGAGCUUCAUCUAGUUUUGACAAGUAAUCGCUUGUUAAUGUCCCAGUCUGUUUAAAAAAUGUAAAAGGAUGUCAUCCAACUUGAAAACUUGAAAGAAUCCAAAUCAACAAACCUCAGCCAAUAAAAUCUCAUUCUGACCGGCACUUCAAUUUGCUGAUCAAUAUACCUCCUGGCUUCAUAGUCCUAAACAACAAUGAAGAGAAAAUUAAUGGCUCAGACAGAAUGUCCAUCAUGACACAAGUAUCUCUUUUGUGCUGUUCUGAUAUCACCACUUGGUGGAUGUAAGUUUGAACAAAAAUAAUAGGAAAAGAAAAAAGGAAUAGGUGAGAGGAAAAUCCCAAACAAAAUACCAAUUGUAUAUAAACCAGCAAACGUGAUUGCUAUAAAUACAAACGAGGUUCAGAAGAUGACUUACAAAGGGAUAAAUAUGAGGAUUGUACAUAUCAAGAAUAUAAACUCUUCCUGCCAGUAUGAUAGAAGACCAAUCAAUAUCAUGAAAGCAAAACGAGGCCAGGAGAUAGGUUCAAGGUCAUACUGUCACUAGAAAAAUCCAAUUCAUGCCCAUUUCCUUGGUGUGCAUCGAGAUCAAUAAUCAUCACCCUGUUGAUUGUUACAAUUAAUGAGCAAGGGAAGCAUCUGACCAUGAAGAGCGUGCCCAUUGCUAAAUCCAUAAAAAAAAGCAUCUGAUGUAUGCAUAUUACCUUGAAAUAUUUAGACGGGCAAAGGCAAAAUGUAUGCAAAGAGAAAUGUCUGCAUAAGCACAAAAUCCACCUCCUUUAGCAGCCGAACAAUGAUGGAACCCACCCCAACGUUGAUAGCCCAUCCACGUUCUUUAGCAAGCUUUGCAGCCAAUAUAGUUCCUCCAACCUAGAGUUACAUUUAGCAUUAACUUUUAGAACCAAAGCAAGAAGAAAAUGAAGCCACAUAGUUAAUCUCACCUGCUUGCGAAAAGGAGAAAGAACUUUCUGCUGCACAACACAAUUGGGCAAUACAGCAACAGGGGGGACCUAAAUGCCAUACAUCAAAUGAUCAAGUGAUCAGAACCUAAAGGGUUAUCCAUAAAUUUGAUUACCAUAGCUAUCAUUUGCCAGAAAAGUACAUUAGAAAUCACAUAACAAAUAACGACAGCAUGGCAAACCUCACCUCAACAAUGAUGGCAACAUUUGAGCUACUCUUUAGGCUAUUCAAGUAUGAUUCUGGAUGCACCUAUCACAUAUAAUAGCUAGCUAAGAAUAUUUGAAGUCCUCCUGCAGCAGCAGCAAAUUGAGAUACAAUCCUCCACGUAACAAUCAAAUUACCCAAGAAUGAAACUUGACUGGAUAGAAGCAAGCUAUUCACAUGUAAGAAGAGUAUAAUCAAAAGUUUUGGAUUCCUUGGAUGAGGUGCAAGAUAGAUAGAUGAUUUAUACCAAAUGAGUUACUUUGAUGACCAUCUAGCUACAAUCGGAACCAACAAUUUACAAGGUACAUACUGGUGCUGAACUUGAGCUCUUCUAUUAGUUUUAUCUUGUACAAACAAUGUCAAAACUCCAAGGCAAACGCAUGACGGUGUAUACAUACUUCCAAUUUAUCAUUUUUCACAAACUGUUAGUAGAAUAUUUCUUUUACAUUUCGGUAGUCAGUGUCUUUUUUUCAUCACUUAUUUGUGGGUACGCUUUCAUAUUACAAAUAAAUCUUUGAAAUUGGCAGGGCUCAUUCCACGAGAGAUCGGCAAUCUUAGGAACCUCAAGGAAUUUGGCAUAGAAAGAAACCAAAUCACAGGCUCUAUACCCAGAGAAAUUGGGAAUUUGACCGAGCUUACAUUGAUUGUAUUUGCGCACAACUUCUUAACAGGUACCAGAUUACAUUUAAUUAGUGAUAUUUCCAAAAUCAUGUUCCAUAACAUCUUAAAUCUCUUAUUUCCUGGUUCUUUAAGAAUUUACACUUGCCACUUCCAUUUGCAUUAUUUGAUAGGUGUAAUACCAGAAGAGAUGUCCAACCUUCACAAACUGGAGGCACUUUAUUUAAUAUUCAAUGAGUUAAAUGGCUCAAUACCGGUUGGGAUCUUCAACCUCUCAACGUUGAGUGUGGUUUCAUUGGGAUUCAAUCACCUCACAGGCAAUCUUCCUUCAAAUAUUGGUUACCAAUGGCCAAAUUUAGAAAAGUUUCAUCUUGACGGAAAUAACAUCGGUGGAAUUAUGCCAGCUUCUAUUGUAAAUUGCUCUAAAUUAACCAUUCUAUCCCUUCCAGGAAACCGAUUUACUGGCUCCAUUCCAAACUCCAUUGGGAAUCUUGAACUCCUGGAAUCUCUAUUUCUUUCUGACAACAAUUUGACCAGUGAUCCUACAUCUUUGGAGCUGGAGUUUCUUACUUCGUUGACAAAUUGCAAGCAUUUAAAGACUUUAGAGCUAGCUGAAAAUCCACUUAACGGGGUUCUUCCAGCUUCCAUUGGAAAUCUUUCUACAUCCCUACAAUAUUUCAAUGCAAGAGCUUCUAAUAUCAAAGGCCCCAUCCCAAGAGAAAUUGGCAACUUGAGCAGUCUACUCUUGAUUUCUCUAGAAGACAAUCAGUUAACUGGAGAUAUUCCAAGAACAGUCCAAGACUUACAAAACCUUCAGGUGCUGUCUCUCAUGAGAAACAAACUAGGGGGCAGUCUAGAUAGUUUCUGUAAGAUGCACAGCUUAUCUGAGUUAUAUCUUAGCCAAAACCAAAUUCCAGGCAUUAUUCCAGAUUGUUUUGGCAAUAUGACAUCUCUCAGGGAUAUUUACCUUCGCUCCAACUUAUUAACCUCUACUAUUCCUAGAAGCUUGUGGAAAUUAAGAGAUCUCUUAGUGCUUGUCCUGGCCUCAAACUCCUUAAUUGGCUCAUUGCCUCUCGAGGUUGGAAAUUUGAAGGCUGCCAUAAAUAUUGACAUGUCAAUGAAUCAAAUCUCUGGGGAGAUUCCUUUGACAAUGGGAGAUUUACAGAACCUCCAAAACCUUUCUUUGGCAGACAACCAGUUGCUAGGAUCAAUUCCUGAAUCUUUUGGAAACCUGUUCAGCUUAACAUCCCUAGACUUGUCAAAUAACAGCCUUUCUGGUUUGAUCCCAAAAUCAUUGGAUAAACUUCAAUCCUUGAAAGUCCUUAACCUUUCUUCUAAUCAUUUGAGGGGUGAAAUUCCCUCGGCUGGUCCUUUCAGAAGCUUCACAAGUGAAUCCUUCAUUUCCAAUGACGCUCUGUGUGGCGAUCCAAAAUUUGAUGUUCCACCAUGCCAAACCAAUCCACAACAUGGAUCAAAAUUGAAAAGGGUGCUUUUAAUUACACUUUGCUUACUGGGGAUUGCUAUUGUGGUCGUCUUAGCCUUGGCCGUUGUAUUCAUAAGAUUCCAGAGGAAGAAAAAGGUUCCAAGUGCAACAGAUUUCUUUCCUGGUGUAACCAGGAAAGAAAGAGUUUCUUAUUAUGAGCUGUUACAAGCAACUAAUGGGUAUGGUGAGAGCAAUUUAAUUGGCUCUGGGAGUUUUGGAUCAGUUUAUAAAGCGACUCUAGGUGAUGGUAGGUCAGUGGCUGUAAAAGUAUUUAAUUUGCAACUAGAAGGUGCAGAGAAGAGUUUUGAUGUGGAAUGUGAUGCACUCUGCAACCUUCGCCAUCGAAAUCUCGUGAAAGUCAUCAGCAGUUGCUCUAAACAUGAUUUCAAAGCCUUGGUCCUUGAAUACAUGUGUAAUGGGAACCUUGAGAAAUGGCUGCACUCUCCUAACUAUUUCUUGAAUGUCUUCCAAAGAUUGGACAUUAUGAUAGAUGUGGCAAGUGCUUUGCAAUAUCUGCACCAUGAAUACUCGACACCUGUGAUUCACUGCGACUUGAAACCAAGUAAUGUCCUCAUUGAUGAAGAUAUGGUCGCCCAUGUAAGUGAUUUUGGUAUUGCAAAGUUCUUGGGAAAGGAGGAGAGCACUGCAUUAACCAAGACCUUAGCAACAAUUGGUUAUAUGGCACCGGGUAAUCUUAACAAUGUGUUUCUAUUGAAUUUUUUUUCUUUUUCUUUUUCUUUUAUAAUGAUUUGUUGGAUUGAUUGCACCAUUUCUUGUAGAAUAUGGAUUGGAAGGAUUAGUGUCAACAGCAUGUGAUGUCUACAGCUAUGGAAUCCUGCUAAUGGAAGUCUUUACGGGAAGAAGGCCUAGUGAUGAAAUGUUUGAUGGAAAUAUAAACUUGAAGAGUUGGGUAAAAGAUUCUAUGCCUAAUGCAACUGUUCAAGUUAUAGAUGCAAAAUUGUUGAAGCCUAAUGAAGAACGAUAUGCAGAAAAGUUGGAAUGUUUGUCGUUAAUCAUGAGAUUGGCCUUAAAUUGUGUUCCUGAAUCUCCCAAGGAAAGGCUCAGUAUGAAAGCUGUUGUGGAUACAUUGCAUAAGAUCAAGCUAAGAUAUCUUGAGUGUCAUGUCACGGACGUAAAUAAAUAAAGAAUGCAAUAUUCCAAAGCAUCUUUCUGUACGGAUUAAGAAACUAUAUAGUAAAUAAGUUUCUCAAAUCUUUGGGGGAAAAAGCCAACUUGGAUCGUUUUCUCUGAUCCCCAAAACCCUGUUUGUUUGAAUCUGUAAUUUUACUUGCAAUUUACUUCAUAUUUAGGCACACCCAUUUAUUGGUCCUAUAUUUAGGCAUUUUUAUGUAUGUUUAGCUUAAUUUAUUAAAAAAGCUAAUACAUAAUGUCUCCUCUUCAUGAGUUUCCAGGGACAUCUCAAAAUAAAAACCCUUAAUUUAUCUUUAAGUUAAUUAAUUUGUCUAACAGGUGCCCGGCGGAAGCACAAAUUAAGAUACAGAUUAGGUGUUCAUUGUUAUUUAUGAAAAGAAAAAUUAAACGUAGCUAAUUUUGUGUGUGUAUACUGCACAGAGCCAGGCUUGAAAAUUUCAUAAUUCAUAGUAGUCAUUAACUAUAUAUAUCUUCUAUUAACACUAGUAUGCUAAGUGUUUUUUUGUCAAUUCAGCAAAAAAGAAAGUAAUAAUAAUAAUACAGGCAAUCUUCCACUAGGAUUCAAUUUAUUCACAGGCAAUCUUCCAUCGAAUUUGGGAUCCAAGUUGCCCAAUUUAGAGCAAAUACAGGUCGAUGGAAACUAUGUUGGUGGACUAAUACCGGCGUCUAUUGCAAAUUGCUAUUACUGUCUCUUGCAGUCAACCAAUUCAGUGGCUUCAUUCCUAACUCCUUUGGGGAUCUUAGACUCCUACAAUACUUGGUUCUAUUCCGGAACAAUUUGACUAUUGAACCUUCAUCUUCUGAGCUGGGCUUCAUCUCCUCCCUGACAAAAUGCAAAUACUUGACAUAUUUAGCAUUGGAUGAGAAUCCAUUCAAUGGGGUACUUCCGGCUUCUAUUGGAAGCCUCUCUGCUUUCCUUCAGAAAUUUUAUGCCGGAAGUUGUGGAAUCAAGGGUACUAUCCCUAGUGAAAUUGGCAACUUGACCAAUUUAAUACUACUUGCUCUAGGAAACAAUAAAUUGACUGGAGGGCUUCCAACAACAGCCAAGAAUCUGCAGAACCUGCGAGGAUUAUCUCUUUCAAGAAACAACAUCAUUGGCAGUCUAGACCAUUUUUGUUUGCAAAGCUUGACUGAAUUAUAUAUAUACCAAAACCAAAUUUCAGGGUCGCUACCAGAAUGUUUUGCCACUCUGACUUCUCUUAGGAUCCUUGAUCUAACAAACAACCUAUUAGCCUCUGCUAUACCAAGAAGCUUUUAUAACCUCAAAGACCUUUUGCACCUAAAUGCAUCCUCGGAUAUUUUGAUCGGUCCCUUGCCUCAAGAAAUUGGAGAUCUAAAGGCUGCUAUAUCCAUUGACCUGUCAAUGAAUCAAUUCUCAGGGGAAAUUCCUAGCACAGUCAGUGACUUGAAAAACUCGCUUAACCUUUCUUUAGCACACAGCAAUUUAGUAGGAUCUAUUCCAGAAUCAAUUGGCAAGAUGGUCAGCUUGGAAUCCAUCGACCUGUCACAUAACAAUCUUUCGGCUACGAUCCCAAAGUCACUGGAGGCACUUUAAUGUUUCUUAUAACCAUUUAAGUGAUGAAAUUCCUUUUGAGGGUCCUUUCAAGACCUUGACGAGUAAAUCCUUCAUUUCCAAUGGUGCAUUGUGUGGAGAUUCAAAGUUUCACGUCGCAAAAUGCCAACAUGAUACUUCAAACCCUCGGUCAAGAGCAGAGAAGAUACUUGUAAUUGUGUUUAUUUCACUUGGAAUUGCUAUUGUGAAUGCCAUGGUUUCAGCAUGUCUAUUCAGAAGAUAUCGUAAGAAAGAAGUGGCUUCAGGGGGAACAACCAGGGUCGUAGUAUCAACACAAGAAAGAGUUUCACACUAUGAACUUCUUCAAGCAACUGACGGAUACAACAAAAGCAAUUUGCUUGGCAUUGGGAGUUCUGGAUCUGUUUACAAAGGGACGCUAAACGAUGGAAGGACAGUUGCUGUAAAAGUAUUCAAUUUGCAAUUGGAAGGAGCACUGAAAAGCUUCGAUGUAGAAUGUGAAGUAUUGCGGAACCUUCGCCAUCGAAAUCUUGUGAAGGUCAUCAGUAGCUGUUCUAACCAAGAUUUUAAGGACUUAGUGCUCGAGUAUAUGAGCAAUGGAAGCCUUAAGAUGAGAAAUGGUUAUACUCUGAAAACUACUUCCUAGACAUCUUGCAAAGAUUAAACGUGAUGAUAGACGUGGCUAGUGCAUUGCAAUAUCUCCACCAAGAGUAUUUGACACCGGCCGUUCACUGUGAUUUGAAGCCUAGUAAUGUUCUACUUGAUGAAGACAUGGUAGCCUGUGUAAGCGAUUUUGGAAUUGCAAAAUUGUUGGGAAAGGAAGAAAGCUUUGCAUUAACCAAGACUUUUGCUACCAUUGGUUAUAUUGCACCAGGUAAAAAUUCCUAGUUCUAGUAUUCUUUUGCUUCCUUUUUUUUUCCUUUUUUAAUUUGUUCUAUUUCUUUUUUUGGGUAGAGUGUGGAUUUGAAGGAUUAGUAUCCACAGCAUGCGAUGUUUAUAGCUAAUGAAUUAUGUUAAUUGAAGUUUUUACAAGAAGAAGGCCGAGUGAUGAGUAUUUGCAGGACAGUUAAACUUGAAAAGUCGGGUAAACGAUUCCAUGCCUGACGCAAUUCUUGAAGUUAUAGACCCCAAUUUGUUGAAUACGAAAGAUGAACAUUUGGAGCAAAAGUUGGAAUGUAUAGGAUCAUUGAUGAAAUUAGCCUCAAAUUGUGCUCUUGAUUCUCCUAAUGAGAGACUUAAGUAUGGAAGAGGUUCUUGAAUCCCAGAAGAAGAUCAAACUCAAGUUUCUUGAGUGUAGUAGAGGUUGAUAAAUUGUACCUCAUGCAUAUCGUGUAGAAAAUUGGCCAAGCGAAGAUAAGAACAGAGAAAUUUAGAAUUUUAUGCCCAUGUAUCUGCUUACUUCAUUAAAGGACCGGUGACUAAUUCUAUGAUAAACUUUUCAAAAACUGAAGGAAGUUUGACCUUAGCAACAACAGCAGCAAAACUGUUAGAUUUUUUGGGACAUAAACUAAGAAAUAACAGUUUAGUAUUAUAAAAAAAGCUUAUAAGAGACUUGUAUUGAAAUUGAAAAUAAGCUUACGUCAUUCAUUUAUCAACUCACUAUAUAUAAUGACUACAUGAAACAAACUAGCAAAAUAUCUAACUAACAAUUAUCCUAAAAAUCUCAAUAAAAUAUAAUCUUUUUUUUUCAGACGCAGGGGGUAUCCGAACCUUCGGCCUAACUAAUCACCCUACGGCUCGAGAGAAGAGACCCGAUCCUUUCGAACACGUUAACAAACCAACAUGAUAUUUGAUUAACAAAUAUCCUUAUUCUUUCAAUAACUAAAUUAUUUUGAUACCAAACAUAAUCUAGCAAAAUCUGUAAAAAAAAAAGAUGGCAUAUCUCAAUAAAAACCCUUUAUCUUCUCAUACUAAUAUUUUUCUCCCUCAAAGUACAUUAGCAAGAUCAAGAUAAACAGAUUCCGUUACAUUAGGAGAUAAAUAUAAACAAAUUAUAAUUUUUUAAAAUGAAUACUUAAAAUAUCAUUUUAUUUCCAUCAAAAACAUGUUUUUCACUCGUCGUUUUAUUGCACAUCCAUUACGUUAUAAAAAUUGUUACGAUAACUAUUUCUAAAUAAUAUUUCAAAUAAUAUUCUUAUCUAAACACAUUUAUUAUAACUUAGUAUUAAUUUUUUUAUAUAUUAUUAAUGUAUAUAUUGAUAAUACAGUAACAUACAUCGAAAGUCGCUAAUAUUAUACAUCCUAACAGUGUAUGAAGAAUUAAUCUCUGCAAAAGUGAAGGGAAAGUUGACUGAACUAAGCUACCUAUUAAGGUCAAAUUUUGAAGUCCUGAUCUUGGGAAUGGGCGCACUUAAAGGUGACAUUUGGCGACUUGGCUUGAUAGGAGCCGCCAUACAGGGAUAUAUAGAUAAGCUCAAAAUUGUGUUUACGCCAGGUGCCAACAAUAUAUAGGGCAGGUGUCGCGCUAAGAAAAAACAUAGAUUCGAUACAGCUCAUCAAUUUCCCCGUCCCAUCAUUCUUGUUGAAUGAGUAAUCAUCUCCCAAGCCCAUCAAUUACGCCCAAUCCCAUUUCCUUGUUGAAUUAUUAGAUUCGCAACAGCCCUAAAUUUGAGCUGUUGUGGGCCCAAUUUAACCAGCUGUCCAUCAACCAAUAGCCAGCCUGUAGAGAUUGCUGCCCGAACAACCUAACUCGCUGCCCGAAACUCUUGCCCGCCCUAAUCUCUCUAUAAAUUCCAGCUCCCAUCGCUCUCAAACUCUGCUGCCACCAUUCUUUCUAGGCUCUCUCCCUCUCUCUCCUCUUAUUCAGUACCUUGAGAGCAAUGGCAGUCUCACGCUCCGCAGCUUCGGUUGUACCAUUGUUGGUCGUGGUGGCCAUGGUCUUCUCGCUAGUCGGAGCCUCGUUCGCCGCCGAGGCUCCUGCACCGGCUCCCGCUUCUUCCGCCGUGUCAGUUUCGCCGUCAUUGGUGGCCGGAUUCGCCGUUGCCUUCGCUUCUUUCAUCUUCGGAUCUGGAUUCAGAGUUUGAAGUAGUACAGUUAUUUAUAUUAUUUGCAGGAGAUAUUUGAUUUUGGGGAGGUUUUGUACAUGUGUUUAUUACUACUUAGCUAUGAUGUUAGUGUAGUAACCGCUGCUGCAGUUUGUUUUUCCUUUUUCAUUUUUUUUUUAUUAUUUUGUGAGUUUCUUCGAGGGGUUUGUUUCUAGCAUGUUAUUGCAGAGUUGCAGUUUAUUUUAAAUUUCUCUUCACUAAUAUUUCGUUAAAAUAUCUUUUAUUGAUUUACAAUCUUAAUUGUCUCAUUGCACCGUUAUUAUUUUUUAAUUUUUGUGGGGUAAUUAAAAACACGGGGAAAAAAAUCCCCUAUUAUUCUACAAUUUUUUUUUGUUUUUACCCUUGGUAACUAAUGAAUACUAGUACUAUUAGACAAUUUUAUGUGUACCAAUAAUUACAAGUAGGCCUAAAAACAAUAGCAGACAGGAGUGAAGCAUUAUGUGACUUAAUUGAGUCUAGCAUUUAGUUGAAACUCGAGUCUAACAACACACAGAUUAAGACUCCUAUUUUAGCGAAGAAAAAUGCUUGAUUAAACUAGAAAUUCGAAUGAGAAAAAGUAUUCAAUCAAGAUGCUUGAUCAAUAAAUGGGGCUAAUACAUAAUUUCCAAUUUGUGUCAGGAGCGGAAUUUAUAUAUAAGCCACUAAAUCCAGCGUUGUUCUAUUUCGCUUCUCAACCAUCACAAUGGUCCUAUCCUCCAUCGAGCAAGCUAAACCAAAUUAUGGCAACUGAGCUAGGGGUGUACUCAAUUCGGACUCACGAGUAACUCCAACUUCAAUACAGUGUUCAUCUAGUUGGAAUCGAAUUCGACCUACUUGAUAAGAAAAUCUAGUCUACUUUGAGAGUAUUCGUCGUCAAUCUUAUCAAGUAAGAUAUUUAUAAUAUAAUUUUUAAUUAUUUCUUAUAAAAUUAUGAAAUUCACGAAAAAAAACCGAACCUUCCUCUUAAACCUUGAUUAAUGACUCAUCAGAAAAAGAAAAUCCCCGAGUUGGAAAAGAAAGGUGAUAGAUACUCAAGACCAACUGAAUUUGCUUUGGAUUCUUCUCCAAGUGUACUUUAUCAAAUACAGGGCACAUUAAUCUUGCCAAAAGUACGCUGGCGUACUCCACUUGACAAAAGCUUAACCUUCUUUACCCAUUGAUUAUCAGCAGCAGAUGAUCACCUUUUAGCACGAAACCUACAAGUCAAUCAAAUCCAAAGGGGGGGUUCUACUCGGAAUCGGAAUCCAUGUUUCCCAUAGCCCUUAGUCCUCGUGGUCUCU